rnacentral:lncRNA from 1 species
ACAUUGUCUUGAUACAACUUUAUUUGUAUUUUAUUUCAGAAUUUAAACAACUAGUUUGGGCGGGUCACACACGACGUUGUGUGACACUUUAUUUGUCACCGCUGCAUCGACAUAUCCAUCGACUAAACAACGGUGAUCCAACUAUAUAUUACUAGAGACCUUUCCUUAUCAGUAGGCACCAACUCCGGUGCCAACGCUGAAUGGCACACUAGUGGUGGUUCUAUACAAGGGCACAUUGACACGGCACAUCGUUGGCAGGGUACGGAGCGCAAUGGAAGUCAUCACCUCAAGCUGAGCUAUCUGGUGUGGAUGCAAAAAGGUACCCUGUGCCAAUUGUUGUUGUUGAGGUUGUUGCCCGAGUUGCUGCUGCGACUGCUGUUGGGGUUGGGAAACGCAUUGGCCCAACUAUUGCGGUUGCUGCUGCUGAGUUUGGAUGGAACCCUGAACCUGUUGUUGUUCUUGCAGGACGAUGGAGUAGAUGAUAGCACGGAUUGCCUCAUAGCGGGAUUGCUGGGGGAUUUGCGGCAACUGCUGGCAACAUUGUUGUUGCAUCACAUGGCAACUGCUCUGCUGCAACAUUUGCGACCUAGCAAGACUUUGUGGCAUUGCCACAGGGCUGCAUUGCUGCUGGAGGAAUACCUUGCAUGGGUUUAGUUGCUGCAAGAUAGAUGGAUGAACAAAUGGUAUUUGUUGUUGCGGUAGAACUGAUUGUUGUUGUUGCGAAAAUGGUGGUUGUUGCGGUAGUACUGGUUGUUGUUGUUGCGAAAAUGGUGGUUGUUGCUGUGAAAAUGGUGGUAGUUGUUGCUGCGAAAAUGAUGGUUGUUGCGGUAGAACUGGUUGUUGUUGCUGCAAAAAUGGUGGUUGUUGCUAUGAAAAUGGUGGUUGUUGCGAUAGAACUGGUUGUUGUUGCUGUGAAAAUGGUGGUUGUUGCUGUGAAAAUGGUGGUUGUUGUUGCUGUGAAUAUGGUGGUUGUUGUUGCUGCGAAAAUGGUGGUUGUUGUUGCUGCGAUAAUGGUGGUUGUUGUUGUUGCUGUGAACAUGGUUGCUGUUGUGGAAAUGGUUGUGGUUGUUGUUGGAUAGGUUGUUCUUGUUGUUGGUGCCAUAAUGUUUGUUGUGGUGGUAAUGGUUGUUGCUGCGAUGGUCUCUCCAAACCAGGGAUGUGGCUAUUCUCCAUUUGUGCAAUGGCACUUGUCGCCGCAACGGCGAGGAGGGCAAAGAUGAGGAAGGUCUUCAUGGUGGAUUGGUGUUAACUAGUGUUGCUUGGUUUUGAUGCUUGUGCUUGUGACGAUCUUUAUACUUCAUGCCUAUUUAUAGUAGCCCGGGCACCACCUUUUUCUUCUUUGCAUUAGCUUUAAUAAUUUUGUUUGGAUGCAAAAAUGAUUUUUGGUACAAUGUGUUAGGUUGCACUAGCUACACGCGUACUUUUGGAUUGAUCAUCAAAGUUGCUUUUUAGUUGUGCAUAUGAUCACACAUAAAGUACAGAAACCUUGAUGUUUGGUAUAUAUGACUCACCUUAUUCACUUUACAUGUCACACACUUAUCUGGAUAGUAUCACUUUUGCAACCGAGUUUGGAACCUUGUAUAGGCUGUCAUCCAUAAACAAGAAAGGCAAAACUUGUGUAGGACUAAGUGUAGAACUAACUUUGUAUUUUUCCUCUAAAAUGAUUAGAUGAACCGACGCCUAUAGAGCAUGACAUGACUCAUCGAAUUCCCUUUACAUGUAAAGGAUGGUAAUUGCUUACAAGCUACUCCUACUAGCAUAUAUCCGGUCCUAACUCUUGACACGUCAUCAUCAGUUUCGCCUAUUUUUUUAGAUAAAUCAUCAGUUUCAUCUAUUUGUGAAGGGUUUUUUUGGGGGAAAUGAUAGUUUUUUUAUGCUAGGGGGAUUUUUUUGGGGGGGGGGGAUGACGCUAGGGGGAAAUGAUAGAUGGGGCUGGAACAGAGGCCCCCAGCCUGGAGCGAGAGAUUAGGCCCAACAUAAGUGCCGUGUGUUAGGGCACCAAUUCGAUUUGGGCUAUAGUUCUCGUAGGCCCCAACGACACAAGCCCAGCCCACACUCCGCGGAUCUGCGUCCCUCCCUUCCUCGUCCUCCUCGCCGGCCGGACCGCUCGCCGUCGCAGCCUCUCCCGGACGCCCACCGCUCGCGGCCCCUCCACGUACCUCCGCGGCAGCGGAGACGUCAGCCUCCCUCCCACCCUCAACAUCCGGCCCCCCACCACCACCACCACCGCUCGACAAAAAAGGUCACUUUUGAAGCUCCUCCGUCGAUUGUGGGCCGUACGUCGACGGCAGCCACUCCGACCUCCCCAUCAACACAAGGUAUCGAUUUGUUUCGUCUGUCUCUUCCAACGAUUCAAUGCACAUAAAUCCGAGAGGCAGACCCAUCUCCAUGCUAGCUGCACGGAUUAGGAGGGUCAGGCAUCAGAAUUCAGCUGGGAAGCCUGACAGUAAUGUACAUUUGUGGCUUUAGUAGCUGAAUAUAACUAUGUGCUUUCUGAGAAUUUCACUUCAAAAGUUCCAAUAAUCAUCAAAUUUCCCCCUAUGCGCGCUAAGCAGGUGGACCAUAUAUUUCUCAUGUCGACGAACGAAAAAACAAAACUCCACAACUAGAAGUCUAUGAUAUUGACACGGAACCGUGCUGUAGGGUCGCAAGUAAAAAUAUGAAAAGCAUGCCUAAUAAGCGAGAUGACGCAGUUCCUGACCGCCCCGCUACGACUAUUGGUUCCAGCGUGGCGUUUGAAUUAUGCCGCGCUAGAUGUCUUUUGUCCGGCGAGGAACAAGUGGGGUCAAGCGUGCUUCGGCAAUUCCCGCCGUCAGAAGACUUCCUUGUAGUCCGGUGUAGAGGUGAGGUUGUGGGGAGAUACAUCGACUAGCACUACUAGGGAAAAGGCUAGCAGCAGCGCGGGUUUUAGAUGUAUCAGUAGUGCGGGUACCCGCGCUACUAAUACGGCGCUACAGCUAACUCAUAGCAGUAACGCGUGAGCACCCGCGCUACUGCUACACAAGUGUAGCAGCAGCGCGGUUAUGAGAAGCUCGCUACCGCUAGUAGCGCUAGCGCUCUUUGGCCGGACGCUCUACUGCUAUUGAGGCGCUGCUGCUAACUUUUGUACACUCGCUACUGGUAAUUUAAGUAGUUUUUUGGCAUAUUUGUUUUGUAUUUGAACCGGCUUUGUAGAAGAAUCUUUAGCACAUAGAAAUGUCAUCAUGAUACACAUACAAAUGCCUGCGAGACCACAAAUGUAAUCAUAGCAUGUACAUACAAAUAGUCUCUUCAUAAUCAUCAUCCAACACAAAGUGAUAUCUUGUCAUCAUCUCGAAAAUAGCAAUACAUGCAAGUCUCGAAUACUUGCAACUACAACAACGUCAUCCAUCUAAACAAAGGUAUACGCAAGAAGUGCUAUCACUAUGAGUGAGAGCGGAACCAUGCAGUACAUGAGGUGGCGGUUAUGAGUCCUCUCUUGCGCUAGCGUGAACCUCAAGUAACUAGCUUCUCCUUCUUGUCUGCUUUUGAAGCCUUUAUGGCUGGCGCCCGUGAACCCAUUCACUUGCGCCUGACACUCAUGCCACUCGUUGUACACCCCCGGAACCUUCCCUUUGUACACGACAUAGCAUUUCCAUCUCGCCAUCAAGAAACUAGGUACCUGUUAGAGAUGCAUGUUCAUGAAGAGGAUGUACAAUCAUAUAUAUGCAACAAAAUAUACUAGAGCAACACUAAGAAAGAAAGGUUAGCAACUAGAUGCAACAUAUACAUUACGCAAAUUAAUUAACUAGAGGUACGCAGGUCAUCGUACGCAAACUAACAAAGUAGCGUUACGCAAGUUUGGCAGGGACCAUGGACAUCACAAAGUUUCAUCGCUACAAAAAGUAUACAAGUUCAACCGACACAUAUCAUCAUCAUCGGCAUCAUAAAUCACUAGAAGUUCCAUCCUUCCAUAUCAUCGAGGACGAACCCUAGCUGCUUGAACGGCGUGAGGUCUAGACGUUGCAUGCCUAUGCGAGUUCGGACGUCAGCUCGCGAUAUAGGGCCGUGGUGGAACAUCCCCUUCUCAUCGACGACUUCUUUCAUGAUGAUCAUCGCAAUGUCGCUUUGGAUGCGAAAGAAGUCAUCUCUAAGUUUAUAAUUCGCUUCUCCAUGAGAUUCUAGCCACUUGUGGAUAUGAUCAUCAUUUCUGCUGUUAAUGCGAAGCUUUUGGUGAUCCGUGUUGAACUGAAUCAUGAGAUGGACGAUGUAGAAUCCAUCCUUCUUGCUUGGUUUUGGGACGUGGAUGCAGGAGAAGUUAGUUUUAUGCGCGAAACCCAUCUUCUUGUUCCUUUGUUUCCUGAUAUGCACGUGGCCACCUCUAAAGUUGAAGCCUUGGAGAGCAUCAUCUAGAAUAUUCAUUAUGUGGGUGUAGUCCUUUUUCUCGUAGUCUCUAGAAGGGUCAAAAUACACGGCGUGGGAGACUUGCGGGUAAAGAAUGAUAAGGACGGCGCGCCCGUUGCUGCGGGGAAAAGACACCUCAAAUUAUUCCCCAUAUGAGAGAGAAGGAAUGAUUGAAAUGUACGAAAGGGUUGUCCGGAACUGACUUACUUUGGAUGAUAAGGCACGAGGACAAUUUCCCGGUCCUUAUUCUGUACCAUGAAGUUUUGGAGGUACUCCCUAGCAGUUUCACGCUCAAAGUCGCCGAGACUCAAGAAAGACUCGUGCAUGUAGUACGGAUCCGCCACACAGAUUUGCGAGACUUCUUCACUCUUCACGACGGAGCUCAUAUGUAGCGCAAAAAGGCGGACGAUAGUAAAAUCAAGCCGCCUUGUUAGAAACAUCUCAAAGAUAUGGUCAAACCGCAGGAAGAACACCUCCGUGGGCCGUGUGUCGACGUAGCACUUCCCCUCAGGCACACGAGCUGCGUAUGUCGGAUAUCCUGGAUCCUUUGAGGCUAGUAGGCUUUUCUCAGUCGACAGCACGUGGUCGUGCAGUCUCCUGAGAUUCCCUGAUAGUGCCUCCAGCGGUUUCGGCGGUAGCAUCGGCUCGCCCGUGAGAUGGAACAUGACCGCACCUUUCACGGGUACACGCUCUUCAGAAUGCAUCGUCUGGCUGCUGUGUGCUCUGGCUUGUUUGGAGGCAGUUACCUUCCCCAAUCUCUUCCUCUCCUUUUUCUUGGGCACACCUUCCAGACCCUUCCUUAACCCCUGCCCAAGUGUUCCCGGGCUAAGUAUUGUACGACCCUCACGCCCGGCUAGUUGAGCCUGUGUUGAGGCGGCAUCUUCAGGCGUGUCCUGUGAGGAUUUCAUGAAGAGAGACUUUUUGCAUUCCAUGGUACGGCCCUGCCCGGGCAUAUCAUCCAUAUCCUCAUUAGCAAGCUGAUAGCCCGAUUCGUCAUAUGGUUGACUCAUCAUAUCUAUGUCACAGUCAUACGCGUUUGUAUUGAGGUAAUCCAUCGGGUCGACCUCCGUCUCAUCAUCCAUUCUCUGUUCUACAGGAGAAAUUACAUCAGCCAGUACUAUUGCACCCCCUUCAUCAUGUCGUCCGCCGCUCUCACACGGCACUACUACAGGAGCUGGUAAUUGCGUAGGUGGGGUGGUGGUCUCCGCACAUGCUUGCUGAUGUGUGGUAGUUAUUGGUGUGCUCUCGGCCGGCUCCAGACGAAUAAGAUUCUUCGGCCAUAGCAGCACCCAACCCUUGCAGCGUCCAAUCCGCGGCGGGGUCUCGUCGUCCGCUCCCACCUGCUGUACUGGAGGAGGCAAAUCCUCGUGCCCCGAUUUCACACUGGUCAAGCUAACCCUGAAGUGCCCAGCGGGGAUCGGCUGGUUGUGGAAUGUGCGUUGAGAGGGGUCCAUUAUCAUCCCCUUUCCCACGUCCACCUUCUGGCCUUUGAUCAAGUAGAGUAUGGUGCAUGGGGUUUCUUUCGCCUGCAAACACAUAUGUCUGUGGUGUAAAACAACCGAAAGGCAACAAAAAUGGAAUAUUAUAUAUAUAUAUAUGUUGGUGCGACAUGUAAUUACCGUGACGGCGUCGAGCUCAGCCAAAGACGAAGGCCCACCUAGCGCGCCUGAGACUGAGGACGGGCUGCUAUGAGCUGGAGCGGCUGCGAGAGGAGGCCCGGUUGCUUGAGCAAGUGAUGGUGCGAUGGUGUUGUUCAUGGAGUUGCUCGCGACGAAACUGGGCAUUGGGAAAUCAUGUACCGUCUUGUCUGGAUUUUCCUUCGCCCAGUUGAUGAUAACUGGAACCAAGUUAGUAGCGAAAUCAUUUCUGCAGGCAUUUACAGCUGCAUUGACUGCCUGCUGUAGCAACUCAUAUUUGUCCUUGGCUGCUUUUUUCGCGUCCUCGGCUGCUUUUUUCUCGACCGCAAGCUUCACCUUUGCGUCGAUGUCCGCCUAACUAAACUUCUUUUUCUGCUUCUUGGCCUCCGGGCCGUCGUUGUAAAACACCUUCCACGUGGCGCCGUCUCCAGCGCCGUGCACACGACCAUAUUGCGGCCGCUGGUCCAACGGGAGUCCCUUAAGUUCGUUCAAGGCCCAGUUGAGAGGUGUGUCCCACUUGGGCCUCAUCGGAGAAGUAGGGCUUUCGGCUGCAAGCCGGUGUUGCUUCUCCAGUAGUCUAAUCAAUUUCCUCGUGAUCUUGUCCGUGUAAAAAACCUUUUUCUCCUUGUCCCACUUGUAGCGGGCCCUGAUGAAGUCAUGCUCCAAGGGGUUGGUGAACUUCGCGAAGGGGUCUGGGAGACCCGCGGCUUCACGUUCCGCGUCCUCCUUAUCCCAUAUGGGCCUUUUACCGAGGUAGCCACGGCUUCCGAGGCGAUGCUUCCCCAUGUUCCGGAGCUGAAGGCUUUUGAAUUUCGCAGCCUUAGCCUUGGCUGCCUUGGUAGCGCAAGUGUCCUUGAACUUUUCGAACUCCUCUUCCGUAAGUGUCGGAUUUUCCUCCAGAAUCUUGGACAGGGGUUCAUCAGCCUCAAUAGCUCGUUUCACCCUCCCUUUCCAGGAGGCCAAAUCAUUGCUGAACAUGCCCAUGGCGUGAUUGUUAAUCUUUUUCAUCUUCGGAUCAUCCCACGGUUGUUCUAUGUUAUCAUCCCGGUCGGGGAACUUGAAUCUCUUCUGCAACUUCGUUAGGAGCAACUGCGUCAAAUGUUCUUUACUCCUUAAGUCAUCAUCGUUGAUGCUCGCGCAUUCCCGUAGGAUGCAUCCUACUUGGUUCCCAUAGCACUUGCGAGGUUCUUCCGGCUCUAACGGCUCAAACUUUCCAGGUGCCAUCUUUGUGAUCACAAGUCGUCCAAUCCCUAGUUUGUUAGGUUUUCGUAUCCUCUGCUUCUUAUGCUUCCUCUUUUCGGUAUCGGCAUCGGGGCCGGUACCUUCCCCGCCGGUCUCGGCGCCGCCAUCGGUGCCGGCGCCGUCGGUGCCGGCACCGUAGGUGUCGAUGUCGGCGUCAGUACCAUCAUCGAGGCCGACCUGCAAACCUUGCUUAGCAGUCAAAUAGUCGAGGUACUCUUGUUCACCCUCAUAAUCCAUCUCGUCUGCAUCUUGGUCAGAAGGCCCAGUUUCUUCGUUGUUCGACAUGUUUCCUAUGAUUAAGUGGCCUCAUUUAUUUCUAAAAGUAUGAAUAAAUGAGAAAUGACAUAAAAAGAAAUCUAUGUGCCAACACUCGAUAUGCCAACUAUGUAGCACAAAUCAUGCCUUUAUUCACGGGAAAUUUCGGCAUGACCUUUGCUAAAAAAUGGACAUAUCGAGCGCCUGAAAUUCACCGAAACGGAAAUGAAUCAACAUUCCUGCGCAACAUAGGCCACUCGGAUCAUUUUCCAAACAUGACAUGUCCAAAACAUGACAUAUGCACAUAUCACAUGUCCAGUUCAAAUUUCCAUAUAAAUUCAGCUAAUUCAUAACUAAAUAGAUAACCUAAUUAAUUAACAUGAAGANNNNNNNNNNNNNNNNNNNNNNNNNNNNNNNNNNNNNNNNNNNNNNNNNNNNNNNNNNNNNNNNNNNNNNNNNNNNNNNNNNNNNNNNNNNNNNNNNNNNNNNNNNNNNNNNNNNNNNNNNNNNNNNNNNNNNNNNNNNNNNNNNNNNNNNNNNNNNNNNNNNNNNNNNNNNNNNNNNNNNNNNNNNNNNNNNNNNNNNNNNNNNNNNNNNNNNNNNNNNNNNNNNNNNNNNNNGGGGGCGAGCGACAUGGUCGGGGGCGAGCACGCCGGAGUCGGGGUCGAGAGCGGGACAGGGGCGAGCGCCGGGGCUGGCACCGGCGCCGGCAGGGUCGGGGGCGAGCGCCGGGGCCGGGUCGGGCACGGCGGAGCGACGGGGGCCGGAGAGAGAGUGGGGAUUUGGGGGGAAAUGGCGGGAUGAAGCUGGGCGAGUGCGAAUUUUGGGUUAAGUGGACGUAGCAGUAGCGGGUUAUGUCAAAACGCGCUGCUACUAUAUUCUGUAGCGGCAGCGGUUUAUGAGAAACACGCUACUACUAUGGUGCGUAGCUGCAGCGCUUUAUGGGAAACUCGCUACUACUAUGGUGCGUAGCGGCAGCGGUUUAUGAGAAACACGCUACUACUAAGAUCUAGCAGCAGCGGUUUUGUGGAAACGCGCUGCUACUGCCGUCGCUACUGCCAGGUUUCCUUUUUCUUUUCCUUUAUUUUAUCCCACUUUUAUUUCCCGAGGGCAAUGAACGAAGGGAGGGCGAUAUAUAUUGCAUCAUUUGACGGUUAAAUAUGUAUGCAAAAUAGGAACAUAUAUAUUACACAUCAUUGGACCCAUGCAUAAUAAUGACUAAGUGUGUAUACAAAUUAAAUAGGAACAUAUAUAUAUUACACAUCAUUGGACCCAUAACAUACGUUUCCUCAGUGCUGACGUUUUCGUUUUUGAGUCAGCUUCUUUCCCUUCUUGUUCGUCGAAGAAUAAUUGAGCCCCUCAUUGUGACUUUGCCUUUUCCAUGGAGUACGAUUUUUCUUAGGUAAUGUAGUAUUGAUUCUUCUUUUGACGUAUACUUCAUCAUCAUCAUCAUCUUCCCUCAUUGGGUUGCUGUACUGAUCAUAGUCUUCCUCGUUGGCGACUCCAUCCAUUCCAAUGAUGUUCCUUUUGCCUCUCCUCACGACAACACGGCUGGGAUUGCGCGGGUCAGUUAUGAAGAAACAUUGUGUCACGUGCUUAGCGUGUACCCAUGGCUCGUUUUUUGCGAUAGCGUUCAUGGUAGCGCUCUUGGCGUCGGGUAUAGUCAUGGUAGUGAACAUCCGGCUUUCUCUUUCGACAUUCUUAGCCCAUCUGACACGGAACAUCAUCGUGCUGUGCAGUCCAGAGUAGUCAAGCUCCCAGAUCUCCUCGACCCUUCCAUAAAAUCGUUCAGUUGUGCCGUUGUCGCUGCCGGUCAUGCAUUCCAUCGUCACCCCUGAGUUCUGAUCAUCACUGUCCAUAUCUUUUGCCUCUGUGUAGAAUGUGUAUCCGUUGAUAUCAUAUGCCUGAUAGGUUACGAGGUUGGGCGAGGGGCCAUGUGCUAAGGCGUAUAUGAGCAAUCCGUCCUUAGAGCCCUCCUCCGGUGGAUUAGCAAUAAUAUGCUCUUUGAACCAAUGCAGGAAAGUGGAGUUGUGCUCUCUAGUAACUUCGGCGUCCGUCCUGCAUACCCCCCGGUCACGAUACUUCUUUGUGAUAAUUUCUUUGUGCAGUGCCACGAAAGGAUCUACCUCGUCUAGGUGUUGUAGCACUACCAAGUUUGCUCUGUCAAAGUCGCUGCGUCGAUCUGAGUAUGCCACGUGCAGUUCCCUGCGACCGUUGCAGUGACCAUCUCCUUUGAGCCUCCCAUCGUGCUUGUUAACGGGCAAACCAACACUAACACCAGGCGGCUGGUCUGCGCCAUAUAAAAAAUUCUCACAGAAAGAGAUGCACUCUUGUGCCAAAUAGCCCUGGACGAUGCUUCCAUCCGGACGGGACAUGUUACGAACGAAUCCUUUGAUGAUCCCAUUCAUCCACUCAAACGGGAUCAUGUUGUGCAGGAAUGACGGCCCCAGGUCUAUUAUGUCAUCCACAAUAUGGACACACAGAUGCACCAUCACGUCGAAGAACGCGGGCGGGAAGUACAUCUCAAGCUCAUUCAGUAUCACAACGAUCUCUUCCUGUAGCCUUUGGAGCUGCUUCACACUGAUCGACUUUCGAGAGAUGACAUCGAAAAAGUUGCAGAGACCAAUAAGCGUGUCACGGACGUGCUUGUCCAUUAUCCCUCUAAGGGCAACAGGUAGUAUCUGCGUCAUCAUCACAUGACAGUCAUGAGACUUCAUCCCGCUGAACCUUUUCUUGUCCGUGUCUAGAUAUCUGCUUAUCUUGCCACAGUAACCGGAACUAACUUUCACUCCGGUAAGGCACUUAAAGAAUUGAUUGAUCUCAGCCUGACUUAAGGUGAAGCAAGAGGGGGGGCAAUAAUCUUCUUUCUUUAAUUUCUUGCCCUUCUUCUCCCGUGCCUCUGUCUUCGUCUCUGUCUCGUCUGACAUUUUACGGGGCGGCAUCUGCAGAUCUUCCCUGAUUUUCAAAUCUUGCAAGUCUUUUCUUGCCUUCGGCCCAUCCUUGGUCUUAUCCGGCAUGUUCAUCAGUGUUGCGAGCAAGCUCUCAAGGACAUUCUUACAGAUAUGCAUUUGAUCAAGGCAAUGAGGUGUAUCGAGUUUGUGCCAGUACUCCAAGUCCCAGAACACGACCUCGUCUUCCAUACCUUCAGCAGCGGCUCCGGCGCCUUUCUCAUCGUCUUUCCCGGCGCGGGGCACUCAUUCCAGUUUUUCAAUAGCUCAUCGAUUUCGGCACCGCUCCGCUUACGUGGAGGUCCUCGAUGCUCAGCGUGACCAUUGAAUAGAUCUCCACGGUUUCUCCACGGGUCGUCCUGUUCAAGCCAUCUUCGAUGCCCCAUGUACAUGAUUUUCGCAGACCCGCCAUCUUUCCUUGACGUUAGCUGCUGAGACGUUGUAUCAUCCAUGCACCGCGUGCAUCCGCAAUAUCCAUGGCACACCUGGCCUGCCACAUAUCCGUAACCGAGAUAGUCCUGCACUGUCGUGAUCAGCGCGGCUCUCAUGUUGAAAUACUCACCUUUGCUGGCGUCCCAUGUCUUGGCCGGUGUUUUCCAUAACGUGUCUAACUCCUCUUGAAGUAGCCCCAGAUACAAAUUAAUAUUAUUUCCUGGUUGUUUCGGCCCUUGAAUAAGCAUGCUCAUGUGAAUGUACUUCGAUUUCAUACACAACCAGGGGGGGAGGUUGUACAUCCAUACAAACACGGGCCAUGUACUAUGGUUGGUGUUCUAGUUGCCAAAUGGAUUCAUGCCAUCGGUACACGCGCCGAGCACGAUGUUCCUUGCAUCACAUUCAAAAUACCGUUAGAAGCUGUUCAACGCUCUCCACUGGCUUCCAUCCUUCACGUGUCUCAGCUUCGGAUCAUCUCCAUCGUCGGGCUUCUUCCUCUCCGCGUGCCAGCGCAUUAGCUUUGCUUCCUUGGGAUCUACAAAAUACCUCUGAAGACGGGGAGUGAUCGGUAAGUACCAUACAACUUUCUGGGGACAUUUCUUCCCGGCCUUCUUGUAUCGAGAAGCAUUGCACACCGGACAGCUUGUUUUUUCCGCGUGCUCCUUCCGAUAAAUUAUGCAAUCGUUGAUGCAUGCAUGGUAUCUAACGUGUGGCAGAUCAAGAGGGCACACGAUCUUCUUGGCCUCAUCAACACUAGUAGGACAUAGAUUACCCGCGGGAAGAAUAUCCUUUAGGUACUUGAGAUGGUCAUCGAGGCUAGUGUCGGUCCAUUUGUUUUUAGCCUUCGUCUUCAGGAGUUGGAGCGUGAAACUCAACCGGGUCACCUCAGGAUUGCAACCAUCAUACAAUGGAGUGUUCGAGUCUACCACCAGUUGCUCCAGCUUAGCCUCCUCUCUAGAAGCAGCUCUCUCAGUACUCGUCUCCUUGCGAAGCAAUGCUUGAACAUGAGGGUCCCGCACAAUUGAACUUAGUACCGACGAACUCUGCUGCGUGGAGUCCAUGUCGUUCUCUCCGCCGCCAUGUCCGGCCCCUUCUCCUCCGCCAUGUCCGGCCACUUCUCCGCUGCCAUGUCCGGCCUCUUCCCCGCCGCCAUUAUCGAUCAUCUCUUCGUCUUGCCCCGUGUCAUCAUUGCCUGCCCCGUCGGCAUCCUCAACAUCUUCAUCCUCAUCUUCAAUUAUCCACCGAGUAUAGCCAUCCAUGAAACCAGUCAUGAGCAGGUGCGCUUCGACACGACCAUCGUCAUGGGGGUCGAGCCAAACUAUUCCUUUGCAUUUUCAACACGGACAUAAAACCUCUGUCCGGUUAUUUUCUUUCAUGUCUUGCACCGCCGACCGCAACCACCUGUCCACCAUUGUUCCACUGACCAUCGUCAACUCUGCACGGUAAUAAUAAAAAAAUUGAUUGUAAAAAUGCAUGCAUGCAUCAAAGUCAUAAAAAAAUUUGGCAUGACCUUCCCUAAAAAUAGGACAUAUAUGGAUCUAGAGUUUGCCCGAAAUUCGCCGAAACGAAAAUAAAUCGACAUUUCGGCAAAACAUAGGCAACUCAAAAGCACAAUUUGGCGGCGUCAACUCAUGCCACAGACACAAUUUCCACAAACAUAUCACACAUACACAUAAACACAUUUCCAUUUUGCAAAAGCAUGAAAUUUUCAUCACCUCUAUCUCGAUGGCCGGAGAUGAUGUUGUAGGGAGAUCAAAAGUGCACAAAGCUAUUCUUGACAAAGAUAGAUCUAGUUAGGGGGCAAAUAGGUCACUUAACUAAAUCCUACAUCUACCUAGCUACCUAAUUUGGAAGGAGACAACUUCAACUAGUGGAGGGGGAGGAAAAAGAGAAAGAAGAUGCAUUAAUUAAUGGAGGUGGUGUAGUUAUGUAGGAGUAAUGAAGAGAGAGAAGGUGGAUAGAGAANNNNNNNNNNNNNNNNNNNNNNNNNNNNNNNNNNNNNNNNNNNNNNNNNNNNNNNNNNNNNNNNNNNNNNNNNNNNNNNNNNNNNNNNNNNNNNNNNNNNNNNNNNNNNNNNNNNNNNNNNNNNNNNNNNNNNNNNNNNNNNNNNNNNNNNNNNNNNNNNNNNNNNNNNNNNNNNNNNNNNNNNNNNNNNNNNNNNNNNNNNNNNNNNNNNNNNNNNNNNNNNNNNNNNNNNNNNNNNNNNNNNNNNNNNNNNNNNNNNNNNNNNNNNNNNNNNNUGUGGUGGAGGGAAGAGAGGAGAGGGGGAGGUAGGGGGGAAGGGAAAAAAGGAAGGGGGAGGGGAGGGACGGGUUGGGGGUUGGUGGGGUUAGCAGUAGCGCGGGAGAUAAAACGCGCUGCUGCUAAGAACUUAGCAGCUGCGCGCUUUGCGGUAAGGCGCUACUGCUAACUGGGACAAAAAAUUGUGGCAAUUUGAAACUUACCAGCAGCGAUCUCGAGGAAACCGCGCUACUACUACGUACUUAGCAGUAGCGCUGUUAUUGCGACCGCGCUACUGCUACUUAGAGUUGGGGGAACACCGCCGGUCGAUAUUUGUAGCAGCGCGUUUCUUGUCGAGCGCGCUACUGCUAAAUCUUUAUCAGUAGCGAGUUUACGUAACCCGCGCUACAACUACUUAGCAGCAGCGCUCUAUUUUGAACCGCGCUGCUGCUAAGAUUCUGUGUAUAGGCUUUUCCCUAGUAGUGUAGGAAGGAAUGACCACAUGAAUGAGCAUACGUAUGAUGUGAUUAAGUCUCUCGAUUGGGUAUCUGGUGCCUUAUGUACGGUGUCUUCUUUUUGUCAAGCUAUGACAUCUUUCAGUUUGAGUGUCUGAUAUUAGGGUUGCAUACGUUUUGUUAUUCAGUUGCCUGUUGUGAACUCUACGGUUAUAUCAUCUCGAUGUGUGAGUCAAUGUGUUUGAACCAAUGUAGAGUUUCAUGUGAAUGUUACAAGUGUGAUUGAUAUGUUCAUGUUAUCCGCGGUUGCCUUGGUAAGAAACUGAAAGAGCAAACCGUUAUCGUGCUAGGACAAAAGUCAUCACUCAAUAUAAGUGCUUCUCUAGAACAGCCACACCUUGUGAAAGAAGAUGGCAAACACCCAAUCAUGUCUGGUUCGAUAUGGGCGUGGCUAUGGGUAGCUUAUAGCGACAUGGAAGCCAGCAUCGCUGGAAGAAACGCCCGGGUGGGCCGGCCUAGAGACAUUUCUUGAUAUCUACCCUUAGUUUUGUUUUUCUGCCCUUCUUUCUUUAUAUUUAUAUUUUUCCCGACAUGUUCACUACUUGAUGCUCAACUGGGAUCUCAUCCUUCACAAAUACGGAGAGCCAUUAUUGUUAGAGUUAAUCUUGACAUGUGUGUAUGUGCAUGUGUGCAUUGCAUGUUAGUGGUCUAGAGAUGGCCGGGUCGAUGCGUCUGUUCUGUGCUGGAGUGAGUCCAGCAGUUUGUUUUGGUCAGGUCGUGGUGGCUAGAGCCAUUCUAGGAGAGGAUCAAGUCAAGUUGUUAGCUGAACUCGGCUGGGUAGUGUUUGGCCGUUGAGGAUAGGCUGUACUAGUGGUGGGCAUGGCCGUGCAUAUAGCUAGCGAUUAGUUACACUAGUAGAAAACCACCCAUUAGUCCCGGUUCGUAAGGGCCUUUAGUCUCGGUUCAGGAACCGGGACUAAUGGGUCGUUACUAAUACCUCCACCCAUUAGCCCCGGUUCAAACACGAACCGGGACCAAUGUGCCUCCACGUGGCCCUGUGCGGCGAGCCCAGUCAGGGGGCCUUUGGUCCCGGCUGGUGGCUCCAACCGGGACCAAAAGGCAUCCACGCGUCUGCAUUCUAGUGGUUUCUGGUUUUUGUUUUUUUUUUGAAAGGAGGGGGGUUGGGGGUUUUGGGGAGUUAAUUUAGGUGUUUCGUAUAUUGUGUUAACUAGCUAAUUAAUAGAGAGAAGUGUCCUCUCUUAUGUCCGUGCUUGGUCGACGCUACGUAGUAUAUAUACAUAAGUAAUCGAGAGAACCAUUCAGUACAGAAGUUCGUCAUGCAUACCGAGAGAAGUGAUCGAUCGACCUCUCCUUCUCCGAGAGAUUGGUCGAACAACAAGUUUUUUACUGGCUACAUACAUGUACAAUAUGUAUAAGAUCUCUUAAUUACAAACCCAUAGCAUUUGAAAUCAACUUCCACAUGGUAUUCUCCGGCUUUACUGAUGACGUGUUCAAGAAAGAAUCCCGCUAAUUCCUCUUGAAUUGCUUUCAUGCGAUCUGGUUCUAGGAGUUCACCCCGCAUCUGCCACGUCUAAUUAAUUUGAAGAAGGGGGUUAAUUAAUACAUAUAUAUGAAUGAAACUCAACAGAAAAUGAUGGUGUAAUAAAAUGAAAUUGUGAAUAUUAUUGCUUACGCACUUCAUAUUGUCUUCUAGAGUAGCCCCGCUUGUUUCUCAAAGUUGCGUUGUGGAUGAACUCGCACACGUAGUAUCCACAAAAAUCAUUCCCUUCCUCCUGUCACAAGCACUUUACGAGAAACAGAGGUCAAUCAAACUGAUAAUGAAGCAUUAUAAAUGGCAUUGAUGAAAGUAUAGCUAUAGAAUCAACGGGAGAUGCACGCAACUAGCUAGCCAGUAGUACUUACUUUCGGGUAUACAUAUCGCAGCUCCUUCGGCAGUCCCGGAGCUUGUGCGGUGAACUGUUUCCGAACCCUGCAAGACAAAGAAAAUAAUUAUUAUUACUUGAGAUAUCAGGAAAUGAACAAAAAGUUGCCGAUAUGGUGCGAUAAUGAUCGAUUGAACUUACUUGCUGAGCAUUUCAGUCAUGUCCACAUAGGUGCUGGGAUCUUUCCGUCUCGAGUCUAAGACGGUUACUAGUCCACGCUCAAGCUUAAUCUCCAGAAGAAUAUAGUGGUACCUGCGCACGCGUGCAUAACUCAUCAAUUACAUUAACCUCGCUCGAGUAAUAAGGGAAACCGAAUAUGCACACGACAGUAACACUCACGGGCCGUUGUAAGGAAAGAGUAUGGUAUCUUUGUUUUGAUUUUUGAUCAACGAUUGUAGCAAGUUGUCCUCGGCCUCUUCGACGUUCUUUUCAACCAGAAAUACAUCUAUGAUAUUUGUGUUAAUGAACCCAAUAUCAUAAAUUUUUUGUUUUUUGCACUCGACGAUCUUCAAUCUGCAUAAUAUAUUGAGGAUAAUUAAUUAUAAAUACAUGCAAUGAAAGAUCCGAGCUAUAUAUAGAGACUUAAUGUCAGAAAUAGUACUUACAUGCAGUAGCAAAAGACCAUUAAUUUAUCGAGGGCCUUUUGAUUGAAGAACUCAAAGAACUCCUCAAAUGGAACACACAACAGAUCAUUUGAAAUGAGGUCGUGCUCCUCUUUAAUAUUCAAAUACAAACUGUUCGUCCCCUCAGACUCUCUGCAGGUUUUCAUGUACCAAUUAUGGAAUCUUCGCAUCAUUAUUGUCAGAGAUUUUUCAUCUUUGACGAGAGGCUUCCCGUACUCGUAUCUGAAUACGUCCACCUCCAUGAAAUCAGGAAGUGCAUCGUCAGGCAGGUAAUCUUCAAGAUUGCCAUAACCGGCCACCGUCCCCGGAGGAUUAGACACAUUGAGCGGGGGGCACGAUUGCUGUGCUUGUUCGCCGAGCUGGGCAAUUUUUUUCCCCUUUGCUCGUUGUUCUUUUGACCUUUUAUCAUUGACAGUAGUUCCCGACCGCUUGGCUUGGAGAUAUGUCUGUUCAGUAAUGCGCUCAUAGUUGGUUCUCGGCGGAGACUUUGGUGGUUUCCUCAGGGCAUCGAGAGUGCGCUUUGCUUUCACCGGAUCUACCUUCUCCUCCGGAGGUGGAUGUCUCUUUGCUUUCACCCCUUCAAAGAACUCCUUCACGUGGGCCUGCACGAUCGUAUUGUUUUCCUCCUUGGUCCUCUCGUACGGUAACUUCUCUAGAGGCUUUAGAGGUGGACCGUAUCUGUAUUGCCUCUCUCUUCUUGUGCUGCUAGACGCCGGAGCAGACGGAGCGGCUGUGGCGUCUGUCUUCUUCCGUGCUUGCUUAUGAGGCGGAGGAGAAGGACUACGACGCGCCGGAGCAGCCGGGGCGGCGGCGGGUCUCUUCCGCCCUUGCUGGCGAGGCGGAGAGGAGGAGGCGGAGUGCCGCCACAUGCCGGAGAAGGAGGCGGAGUGCCGCCAUGCGUGCCCUGAUCGUCACUCGCCGGAGGAGGAGGCGGUGGAGGAGGCGGAGUGCCGCCACGCGUGCCCUGAUCGUCACUCGCCGGAGGAGGACGCGGUGGAGGAGGCGGAGUGCCCUGACUCGCUGAAAGAGGAGGAGGAGGCGGAGGCGUCCAGUUCAGAAGGUUGAUGAGCUCCUUCUGCCAUAGGCAUGGAGUCUUCAGAGCAGAACCCAGCCUAGUCUCCCCUUCACCGGUAGUGUGCUCAAGCACGAGGUCCUCAAAUCCCUCCGUUAUUUCAUCCACCAUCACCUUAGCAAAUCCUUCUGGAAUUGGCUGGCAGUGAUAAGUUGUGCCGGGUCCACUAGGAUAAACUUGGCCAACAGCCGCCUUGACCUUCAAAUUCAUCCAUCACACAAUAAUGUGGCAAUUUUGAGACUCCGUGAUACCAUCCACGGGAUAGCUGGCAGGAGCCGUCAAGACAUGCUCCGGCUGAAGCAGCUCAGUGGAAGCCACGCUGCUUCUCUGCUGAGAUGGCGGGGUAGCUUCGGGGGAAGCUUCGGCAGGUCGUUUGUUGUGAUCUGCUGCUUCUUGUUCCUCUAGCCCCAUUACCCUUUCGUGCAGCGCCUGCAUUUGGUCCUGCUCCAGUUUCUUCCUCCUCUCGUAGGCUUUGUAAACGCCUGCGUCCAGAAAACCAACCUUCCACGGAAUGGAGCCUGGCGUGCCUCGUGUCCGUCCAGGGUGCUCGGGAUUCCCAAGGGCCAUUGUGAGCUCGUCCUUCUCCCUGUUUGGAAGGAACGUCCCUCGUUGUGCUGCAUCGAUAUAGUGUCGAAGGUUCUUGACUGGUGUUUGCAGUUGCUCGUCCGUCCACUGACGCUUCCCUGUUACAGGGUCCAAGGUUCCGCCAGCCCCGAAGACCCAAGUCCGGCAACGGUCUGGCCAGCGCAUUGUCUCUGGUUCGAUUCCUUUUUCAAGCAGAUCAUGCUCAGCCUUGGACCACUUAGGCCGGGCUUUGAGGUAGCCACCUGACUCCGUGCGAUGGUGAAGCUUCUUCUUCGCAGCAUUUUUCUUGUUUGUCUCCGACAUCGUCUUACUCUUUUCCGAUGUCUUGUGGGCCACAAAUGCGGGCCAGUGAUCUUUGAUCUUCUCAUAUUUGCUGAUGAAUUCUGGUGUCUUUUUUUUCUCGAGAAACUGGUUCAGCUCUUUCCUCCACCUCCUCAUUAGGCUUGCCAUCUUCUUAAGAGCACAAGACUUGAUUAAUUGCUCUUUAACUGGCUUCUCCGGAUCCUCCUCUGGCGGUAGGGUGAAAUUUGCCUUCAGCUCAGUCCAAAGAUCUUCUUUCUGCAUAUCAUUGACAUAAGACACCUCAGGGUCUUCAUCCUUAGCAGGCUUAUACCAUUGCUGGAUGCUGAUCGGGAUCUUGUCCCUAACAAGAACCCCGCACUGAGCAGAAAAUGCCUUCCUUGUCCGGAUGGGUUCAAUCGGUUCGCCGUCGGGCGCGAUUUCUAUGAUCUCAAACUUUUCAUCCGAGAUCAACUUUUUCUUCGGGCCUCGUCUCCUUACCGAAGUUGUGCUCGAUCCGGAGGGCUAGAAAUUAUAAGGAAGAAAGACGACAGUAAUUAAUAUGUGUACAUAUACCAAAACAAUGGAUGCAUCAAUUAACUAGUCAGCACGGGCUUAACUAAUAUAUAUAUACCUGGCCGGACUCGGUUCGGUGACCGGAGCAGUCAGCACGGUCUCCUUGUACCUCCAUUGUGUCACCGGAGCCAUCAUGAACAUAGUCCUCCUCUUGUACCGGCAUUAAUGGGUCGAAGCCAUCAUAAACAUAGCCCUCUUCUUCAUCCAGUCCUUCCAGCUGACCAUCGGUGUCGAUGAGAAAUGACGCAACAUCAUCACUUCCAUUUGCGAUUAUGUCCCCCAACAUCGCUUCUGUUUCUUCGUCUCGGGAGUGCUCCAUAGUUUCUGCAAAUAUUUACAACAUGUCAAUUAUUAUUCAAACAUGGUACAAAUGGAUAUAUAUAUAUAUAUAUAUAUAUAUAUAUAUAUAUAUAUAUGAAAAUGGAUUGGUACUCCUAGGAGUACAUACUCUCACCUACACCCGUCAUCGUUGGAAACAUUCAUCCCGCUAACUACUAAAAAAAGAGCUAACUAACUACGGAUAAAGCCUUUGGAUUUAAAAAUUAGUUGAACCGCUUCCUUUUUUUUCAGCUCUCGUAGGCGUGCCUUCCAGGGAUUCCAUUUGAAACGGCGUUCUCAUCUCUUGCCAGCACCCAUGAACAUAAAAAAACAGAGCAUCGGCUCGCCUCCGCCCCGCCGACUGACCGGAAGACUUGGUCGACAUGGCCGACGAUGAUCCCCGUGCUUCUUCCCUCGCAAACUAGGCUUCAACCACCACGUCCAUCAAUCAGAGGAAGAUUGAUUCAUCAUCUGUAGUUUGCGAGGGUACGUGCAAUUGAUGUUUCCCGAUUUUUCUGUUCGGCUACCACAACCGUGUUCAUGUUCCCGCUGACCCCUUGAUCCAUUCCUGUCCAGUAUGUCAUCGUCCGAGAAGAAAAUAGGACGGAGAUGAUUGAUCGGCCAGAUUGAUCGGCCAAGUCUACUAGUACCACUGGUGGAAAAAAGGCCUUUGGUCGCGGUUCGCAACUGCCAUUAGUCGCGGUUGCGCAACCGCGACCAAAUAAGCGCGACUAAAGCCCCCCACCUUUAGUCGCGGCUGCUUAAGAACCGCGACUAAAGGCCCGUCCAUGUGGGCGCCAGGCGGCCGUCGGGACGGAGGACCUUUAGUCGCGGUUCUUCUGGCCAACCGCGACUAAAGGCCGCCACAGGUUUAGGGUUUUAGCCCCCCCCCUAAACCUGUUUUCUGUUUAAUUUGUAUUGUUUUAUUUCUUUUGUGCUUUAUUUUAAUUUUGAAGGAGUUUCAUAUAUUCUACGGUACUACAUACAUGCAUAUGAAUGUACAAUUUCAAAUAAAUUUGAAAUUAGAACCAAAAAGAAUUCAAGAGGAAUAUACAAUAUAUAUUCAAUAUCAUCGGAUGACCAUAUACAAUUUUGAACAAGUUUCCAUACAUGAUUUAAUGCAUAUAAAGUUCUACGUCCUCGUAAUAGUGUUCUCCUUUAGGAUGGAGGACUUCCCUGCUGAACCAUCCAGCUAGUUCCUCUUGAAGUGGUCGGAAGCGAGCUUCUGGACUAAGCAUCCACCGGAGGUUAUUCCUCUGAGCAUUGGUAUCACUCGGAACCCGCUCAGAGGUGUAUCUCCGGAUCAUCUCACAGACAUAGUAUCCACAUAGAUUGGUCUCCGGUGGCUGAAUAUCCCCAGCAUUCUUAGCCACUGACCUUUUGAAUUCUAGCUCUUUUUUGAAUUCACCGACCUUUGUAUCUACGAACCGUCUCCAAACCCUACGAGGCAAAGAAAAUUAAAUGAACAAGAGAGUUAUUAGUUACUUGAUAUUAGGAAAUGAACGAAAUAGGCCGAUUGAUAUAGAGCGCAAAUGAAUGAAAAUAAUUACUUCUGCAGCAUUCUUCUCAUGCCGCCCCAAAGCUUUGGAUCCAUAUUCACAGAGUCGUGGACGAGACAUUCUGAGGUGUUAACUUUAAUUACUAGCAGAAUCCAGUGGAACCUGCGGACACGAUACAUGCACAGUACGUCAUGCAUAACUCAUCGAUUAGCCGGCCACAUACCAUGCAUGGAGUAAACAAAAGAGAAUGUGCUCAAGACACAAACACUCACCCAAAAUGGUAAGGAAAUAGAAUAUCACUUUUGAGUUCCUGCUUUGUAAGAAACUGCCACAGGUCUACCUCCACGUCGGCGGGGUGACGCUCCAACACAUGUCCAUUAACGAUGUGUGGGUCAAUGAACCCAACAUCAUGGAUGUUCCUUACUCUGCAUUCCUUAAUCUUCAUUCUGCAUGUAUAAUAGCGGACACAACAAUAUAGUUAGGACAUAUAUAUAGUGCAGGCAAUAUGAACGAGAUGGGGUAGAAAUUAAUAAAUCACUUACAGAACGUAGCAACUGAUGAUAGAUUUAUCGAGCUCGCGCAGAUUGAAAAGCUGGAACAAUUCACUCAGUUCAAUUUGUACAUAGUAAUGUUUGAAGUGAUGCUCAUGUCUAACUUCCGCAUAAAUAUAUUCUUUGGCGUUUUUAUUUUUUAUGUAACCCUUGUACCAUUUCAGCAGACCUUUCAUUUGUGGAGGUAGAUCCUUUUCCUGCGCAGGCUCGACGAGAGGCCCAUUCUUGACAUAUGUAAUUACUACCUCCUUCACUGGCGCCUCAUCAAGGCCUAACAGUUCACGAAGAGUAAUACCUAAGUUGGCCGCUUGUUCUAUGGCACUCGUUACAGUCAAUCCCUGUGCUGCCGCAGCUUGUAUGAUCUCGGGGGCAUCCGGACAGAAGGCUUCCACUAUAAGCGGGGCAAUCGAUUGUUUACUUUGUUCCCCGAGCUGGGCAACUUGUUUCCCGCUUUUUUUACUUUCGGCCUUCUCCCGCUCUUUGUUCUCCUUGAACAUGAGUGCCUGCCUGCGAAGUUCACGUGCAUAGUCGUUAGGCAGAUUCUUCGCGGCUUGGGACGGUGUGCUCAAAAAUGACUUAGCCCACUUGUUUUGCUCAUCAGAAAAUACUGGCUUGGGCUCGAGCUCUCUUUUCUUCUUGCAGUCCGCCUUCCAUUUCUCCAAAUCAGCAGCCGCGGCCGCGUCGACUUCCUCGGCACUACGUUCCCAAGGCCUUGUGGGGAGAGGCUUCAGUGAUGGCUCCGGUACCUUUGUGGUCUUAGGUACAUAAGGGUCCGGGUUAAUAAUCCAGGACUGCUUCUGCUUCUUUGCCGGAGGUGGAUUGGGGGGCGGCGUCUGAUCACCCGCCGGACGAGGACUGGGGGGCGGCGGCUGAUCACCCGCCGGACGUUGUGGACUGGGGGGCGGCGUCGGCUGACGUGACGGAGGUGUAGGUGAACCGCCACCACCACCACCACCACCACCACCGCCACCGCCACCACCACCACCGUAGGGGGGUGGACUUGUUGUCCUUGGCGCCUCGCCUGGAAACUUGAUAAACUUCUUUUGCCAUAGAAUGAAAUGGCGCUUGACAUCUCCAAGUCUUUUCUCCCCUUCAGGUGUAGCAAUGUCAAUCUCCAGGUCCUCAAACCCUUGGACUAUGUCCUCCACCGUGACACGAGCAUAGCCAUCUUGAAUGGGGUUGUUGUGGUGGAGUGCUCCAGGUAAACAUGGUAAAGCACUGCCGAUGGCUACCUUCAUGGACAUGUUCCCGAUAGGAUAAUACAGAUGACAUUCUUCUCCGCUGCUGGCUUCCGAGAUCUGCUGGAUGAUCUUCAUGCUGCACCCGAGCUGCAUCUCUUUCGGCUACUAGUACACUCAUGGUUUUCUUCAUCACAUCCAUUUCCGAUGCCAACCGCGCCACAACAUCUGCUUCCCGAUCCACCUUUCUCUUACGGCUUCUGUAACCGUACGGGUCAUCGUUCUGGGGGAACCCUAUUUUCCACGGAAUGUGCCCCAUGCCUCGUACACGUCCUCCGUGUUCAGGAUUCCCGAGGGAUUUUGUCAGCGCGUCGUUCUCUCUGUUGAACUUGAUCUUCCCCUGUUGAGCAUCCCUCAUUGCGUUAAUAAGGGCUUGGGUGGGUUUAAUUAAUUUGCCCCGGUAAACACACUCCCCUGUCUCCGGGUUCAGCGUUCCCCCAUGCCCGUACCACCAACUUUUGGCCCUUGGGUCCCAUCCCUCCGUACCUGCACGGAUUCCUCGCGCCCUCAGCUCGUUCUCCAUCUUCUCCAACCUAGGCACCCAAAUGCGAUACCCUCCUGGCCCCAUAACAUGAUUGUACUCCUUCUUAGCCGCAUUUUCCUUAUUUUUUCGAUAUUUGAAUGAACUGCUCCGAUUUCUUUUGCUUCACAAAUUCUGGCCAAUCAUGUUUCAGUUUCUCAUAUUGUCCUUUGAAAUCCGGAGUCUUGUUCUGCUUGACAAAGUCAUGGGCUAGAUUUUGCUUGAAUUUCCGGAAUGCGUCGGCCAUCUUAUGAAGAGCGAACUGUUUGACUAGCCUCCUCCUCUCCUUGUUUUCUUCAAUCUUGUUACCCUCCUCAUCGAAUUUGUUGUAUUCCGGAGGUAGAACGAAAUGUUCCAUAAGCUUCUUGAAGCAAUCUUUUUUUGUUCUCUUAUCGACAAAAGUGAAACCAUCAAUUCGUGCCUUCUUUGGCUCAUUCCACUCCUGGACGGUGAUCGAGACGUUGUCUCUAACAAUGGCUCCGCAUUGGCUGACAAACUUGGUGGCGUUCUUGCGGGGCUCCAGCGGCCUGCCGGUUGCACUGUCGACAACCUCGAUGGUGCAUGUUUCUCCUUGUUUCAUCGUCUUGGUUGCGCCACGCUUUGACGACGUACUCGAUUGUUUCGACGAUCCGGCCGAGGGCUAAAAUAAGAAAGAGUCGCGCGCGUUAGUACACACAUAUUUAUUCAAAUCAGUUAGUUUGUAUCACCAGAGGCUCAAUGUAUAUAUAUACCUCGGCGCCGGAGGUGGUUGCUACAUCCAUUUGAAGAUCGUCGUUUAUCGACGUUUGUUCGGCAUCAUCUUGCUGACGGCGCCCUUCAUCUUCACCGUCAAGGUUCAGAUAAGAAGAGAUAUCAUCUUCUUCUUCUCCGGUCGGCACAUAUAGAAUAUCGCCGUUUAUGAUGCCGAACAUAUGUGCUUCACCGUCCGGAUCAUAGUUGUCCAUAAUCGGGUCAGCUCUAUCGUCCGCCAUUAUGUCAGUCCUGAAAACAUGUAGUAAAAACAAAUUAAUUAAGUGAAGAAGGGGGGCGGUGGCGGUGGCGGUGGCGAAAGGGUGGUGGCAAAAGGAGGGGGCGAGGAAGGGGUGGGAGAGGGUGUCGCGGUAGAGCGCGAGACGGGGCGGCACGAACGUCAUUUUGUGAAGAAACUUUGCAAGCAAUUAAACAUUUGUCAAUGUUUGGUAAAAAAAAUACAGGUAGCGUCUGUUGCUCCUAAUGAUUGGAAACGGUUUCCAAUUGCCAACGAGGAUUUAGAUCGACUACUACUACUAGUUGCAUUGCUCCCCAUCGGGACGAUGUUGCUCCUAAUCCCCUCCUUUGGAAUCUAUAGUACUAGUGCAUACUAGCUGGCCGUUGACCGUUGUUGCUCAUCGCGUUUUCUCAAAGUCCACUGAUUUUGCUCAGGGCCAGUUCGGAGAUUUUGCUGGUCCACUGAUUUUGGAUCAACGCCGGGAUGGCAUGGGCGCUCGGCGAUGAUGCGAAGUAGACUUGCACAGGCAACGUGAUGUACAUGGAUGUGUCAGUACGGUACGCUCGGCGAUGCCACGGUAUGGAUGACUUCUCGAGUGGAGAUUGGAGAACCAAGUUCGCCGGUGAAACGUCGGCUCCUGAUCAGAUCUGGGGGUCGCGAACUAGCGAUUGGAUCUCGGAAGGGAGUUAGGAAAGCGAACAGACGUGCGUUCAAGGCUACAACUUUUUUUUUCAGGAUCUUGAAAACAGCUACGCGUUCAAGGCCCGGUCCUGAUUUUGCUCAUCUACCCGGGGCGGCGUUCGCACUGCGCGAGGGCCGACUCCGCGGGGUGCUGCCGCGUCGCCUCGUCGACGCUGAGCGAGUUGGCGAGGACCGUGUACAUGGUCGGCACGUCGCCGGCGGAGAGGGUCAUGCUGUCCCCGACCAGCGGCGGCCACGGACGGGGAGGGCGGCGGCGGUGACUGGGAAGGAAUGAUAGGAGAGGAAGGAAGGUCGCGUGGGGUUGAGGGCGGNNNNNNNNNNGGCGAGGAGGGACUCCUUGGCGGAGAGGCGCUCCGUCUCGCGGGCGUAGCUGGCAGCGGGCUCCCACGCCUGCGCGUACACGUCGUCCCGCCGUGCGUUCAAGGCUACAACUUUUUUUUUUAGGAUCUUGAAAACAACUACGCGUUCAAGGCCGGCCCGGUCCUGAUUUUGCUCAUCUACCCGGGGCGGCGUUCGCACUGCGCGAGGGCCGACUCCGCGGGGUGCUGCCGCGUCGCCUCGUCGACGCUGAGCGAGUUGGCGAGCACCGUGUACAUGGUCGGCACGUCGCCGGCGGAGAGGGUCAUGCUGUCCCCGACCAGCGGCGGCCACGGACGGGGAGGGCGGCGGCGGUGACUGGGAAGGAAUGAUCGGAGAGGAAGGAAGGUCGCGUGGGGUUGAGGGCGGGCGAGCGAGGCGGCAGUACCGAGGCUGGCCGGCGGCGCGCGCGCGGUGGGCGAGGGCGACGGCGGGCGGCGUCGAGGGCGAGGGCGACGGCGGGCGGCGUCGAGGGCGCGGCAGAGACGAACAGGCGAGAAACGGCGGGCGGCGUCGAGGGAGCCUUGUAUUUAUAGCCCCCCCNNNNNNNNNNNNNNNNNNNNNNNNNNNNNNNNNNNNNNNNNNNNNNNNNNNNNNNNNNNNNNNNNNNNNNNNNNNNNNNNNNNNNNNNNNNNNNNNNNNNNNNNNNNNNNNNNNNNNNNNNNNNNNNNNNNNNNNNNNNNNNNNNNNNNNNNNNNNNNNNNNNNNNNNNNNNNNNNNNNNNNNNNNNNNNNNNNNNNNNNNNNNNNNNNNNNNNNNNNNNNNNNNNNNNNNNNNNNNNNNNNNNNNNNNNNNNNNNNNNNNNNNNNNNNNNNNNNNNNNNNNNNNNNNNNNNNNNNNNNNNNNNNNNNNNNNNNNNNNNNNNNNNNNNNNNNNNNNNNNNNNNNNNNNNNNNNNNNNNNNNNNNNNNNNNNNNNNNNNNNNNNNNNNNNNNNNNNNNNNNNNNNNNNNNNNNNNNNNNNNNNNNNNNNNNNNNNNNNNNNNNNNNNNNNNNNNNNNNNNNNNNNNNNNNNNNNNNNNNNNNNNNNNNNNNNNNNNNNNNNNNNNNNNNNNNNNNNNNNNNNNNNNNNNNNNNNNNNNNNNNNNNNNNNNNNNNNNNNNNNNNNNNNNNNNNNNNNNNNNNNNNNNNNNNNNNNNNNNNNNNNNNNNNNNNNNNNNNNNNNNNNNNNNNNNNNNNNNNNNNNNNNNNNNNNNNNNNNNNNNNNNNNNNNNNNNNNNNNNNNNNNNNNNNNNNNNNNNNNNNNNNNNNNNNNNNNNNNNNNNNNNNNNNNNNNNNNNNNNNNNNNNNNNNNNNNNNNNNNNNNNNNNNNNNNNNNNNNNNNNNNNNNNNNNNNNNNNNNNNNNNNNNNNNNNNNNNNNNNNNNNNNNNNNNNNNNNNNNNNNNNNNNNNNNNNNNNNNNNNNNNNNNNNNNNNNNNNNNNNNNNNNNNNNNNNNNNNNNNNNNNNNNNNNNNNNNNNNNNNNNNNNNNNNNNNNNNNNNNNNNNNNNNNNNNNNNNNNNNNNNNNNNNNNNNNNNNNNNNNNNNNNNNNNNNNNNNNNNNNNNNNNNNNNNNNNNNNNNNNNNNNNNNNNNNNNNNNNNNNNNNNNNNNNNCGAGGAAGACCAAUCGGCUUAAGGUCAGGAACAAAGUCAACACAAAACUCAAUUACCUCCUCAUUUCCAUAGCCCUUGGCGAUGCUUCCUUCUGGCCUAGCACGGUUACGAACAUAUUUCUUUAAUACUCCCAUGAACCUCUCGAAGGGGAACAUAUUGUGUAGAAAUACAGGACCGAGAACGAAAAUCUCUUCGACUAGGUGAACCAGGAGGUGCGUCAUAAUAUUGAAGAAGGAUGGCGGGAACACCAACUCGAAACUGACAAGACAUUGGAUCACAUCGUUCUGUAACCAUGGUAGAACUUCUGGAUUGAUUACCUUCUGAGAGAUUGCAUUGAGGAAUGCACAUAGCUUCACAAUGGCUACUCGAACAUUUUCCGGCAGGAGCCCCCUCAAAGCAAUCGGAAGCAAUUGCGUCAUAAUCACGUGGCAGUCGUGAGACUUCAGGUUUUGGAACUUUUUCUCCGCCAUGUUUAUUAUUCCUUUUAUAUUGGACGAGAAUCCAGACGGGACCUUCAUACUGCUCAGGCAUUCAAAAAAGAUGACCUUCUCUUCUUUGGUCAGAGCGUAGCUGGCACGACCUUGAAACCAUUCCGGAUGCCGGUCAUCAGGGUCUUUCAAACGUUGCUGGUCCUGCCGUGCUUCCUUUGUAUCAUUUGUCUUCCCAUACACGCCCAAGAAGCUUAGGAGGUUCACGCAAAUAUUCUUCGUAACGUGCAUCACGUCGAUUGCAGAGCGGACAUCUAGGACUUUCCAAUAUUCUAGCUCCCAGAAUAUAGAUUUCUUCUUCCACAUGGCUGCGUUCCCGUCUGCUCCCUUCGGAACUGAUUGUCCGCCAGGACCCUUUCCAAAGAUGACUUUCAAAUCCUUGACCAUAUCAAAUACCUCAGCACCAGUGCAUUCCGCAGGCUUCGGCCGGUGAUCUGCCUUGCCGUUGUAAUGCUUGCCUUUCUUUCUUACUGGAUGAAUUUUCGGAAGAAAUCGAUGAUGCCCAAGGUACACGUUCUUCUUACAAUUUGGCAAAUGUACACUUUCAGUCUCAUGUAAGCAGUGCGUGCAUGCAUUGUAUCCCUUAUUUGACAGUCCCGAAAGGUUACUAAGAGCAGGCCAAUCGUUGAUGGUUACGAAAAGCAACGCUCGUAGGUCAAAUUCCUCUUGUUUGUGCUCAUCCCACACACGGACACCACCCCACAGCUGUAAAAGUUCAUCAACUAAUGGCCUUAGGUACACAUCGAUGUCGUUGCCGGGUUGCUUCGGACCUUGGAUGAGCACUGGCAUCAUAAUGAACUUCCGCUUCAUGCACAACCAAGAAGGAAGGUUGUAGAUGCAUAGAGUCACGGGCCAGGUGCUAUGGCUGGAGCUCUGCUCGCCAAAAGGAUUCAUGCCAUCCGUACUUAGAGCAAAUCUUAUGUUCCUUGCGUCAGCUGCAAAAUCUUUGAACCAUCUGUCGAUCUUUCUCCAUUGCGUUCCAUCUGCGGUGUGUCUCAACUCCCCGUCCGACUUACGGUCCUCUUUGUGCCAUCGCAACAACUUGGCAUGCUCUUUGUUCCUGAACAGACGUUUCAACCGUGGUAUUAUAGGAGCAUACCACAUCACCUUGGCGGGAACCCUCUUCCUGGGUUUCUGGCCCUCAACAUCGUCACCAGGGUCAUCGCCUCUGAUCUUAUAACGCAAUGCAGUGCAUAUCGGGCAUUCAUUCAAAUUCUCGUAUUCACCGCGGUAGAGGAUGCAGUCGUUGAUGCAUGCAUGUAUCUUCAGAACCUCUAAACCUAGAGGGCAGACAACCUUCUUUGCUUCGUACGUACUGGCGGGCAACUCGUUAUCCUUUGGAAACAUACUCUUCAACAUUUUCAGCAAGUUUUCAAAUGCCGAGUCAGCUACACCUGCCUCUGCCUUCCAUUUCAGCAAAUCCAGUGUGCAGCCCAGCUUUUUCAGACCAUCAUCGCAUCCGGGGUACAGCGCCUUUCUGUGAUCCUCUAACAUGCGAUCCAAAUUCUCCCUCUCCUUUUCAGUUUCGCAGCGUCUCCGUGCAUCAGCAAUGGUCCGACCAAGAUCAUCAACGGGAUCAUCACGUGCCUCUUCUUCACCUUCCCCUUCACCUUCAGCAUCCUCCAUGAAAGUAUCACCGAGAUGAGCAAGAUAGCUUUCAUCGAUGAAAUCAUCCCCUUCUUCAUCUUCUUCCAUUAUAACCCCUCUUUCUCCAUGCUUGGUCCAACAAUUAUAGCUUGGCAUGAAACCGUGCCGAAGCAGAUGCAUGUGAACAUCUCUUGAGGAAGAGUAACCCUUCUGAUUCUUACAGAUAACACAUGGACAGAUAACAAAAAACCCCUGCUUGUUCGCAUUAGCCACUACGAGGAAAUCUUUCAAACCCGUAGUGAACUCGCCGGAGAGUCGGUUACCGUACAUCCAUUGCCGAUUCAUCUGCAUUAUUAUAAUAUAAAAUAUAUAAUUAACCAUCAUGCAUUUGUUAAACUAACUAGCUACAAACAAUAUAAAUUAAACAAUGAACUGCACACAUGCAUAUUUUAUCAAUGACACAUCAAAGGUUCAUCAAGUUGCUAACCGCGAUCGAGGAGUGUGGCUCCAACACUUCAUGUCAUGUUUGUUUCAUGCUCUUGGGGCAUUUCAUCAAACACCUUAUGUGCAUAAGAGGAACCAAAAGCAAACCUACACCCACUUGUGAAGAGAAUGGCUCCAAAUGGCUAAGUGUUGGCUGCUGGAUGGGUAUAUAUAGGGGAGGGGCUUUAGUUGCGGUUGGCUUGGCAAACCGUGACUAAAGGUGCCCGAAGGCCUUUAGUCGCGGUUGUCCUGGCCAACCGCGACUAAAGACCCUCACGUGCGCCAGCUGGCCACCGAGCGCCCUGAGCCCAGGCCUUUGGUCGCGGUUCACCUCCAGAACCGCGACUAAAGGUCCCAUUAGUCGCGGUUCCUACAGCUUCGCGACUUAUGGGGCUGGACGGAAGCUUGUUUUUCCACCAGUGUACUAGGUAAGGUGUCGUUCCAGUCAAAUUGAUGAAUUCAUCUUUUGUUACCUUUGUUAUAGGAAUAUAGGCUGCAUUUAUUAGUCAUAUCGAGCUCUCAAGGAGUCAAGAUCUUGUUAACUUACUAAUAAUUUCUAUAUACCUGCAGCGUUAUGGCCUAUGGUGCAGGGCAAAGACAACAAGGACGACAUGCGGCGGCGACGUGGCCAUGGUGAAGCUACUUCGUCCGGCUACCCCAUGGUUGGCGUGUCUGCCGUCCUCUCAAUCUAUCACACGUACGUCCGGUGCAUGCAUGGUGUCGGGCCGAAGAGCACACAAAUCUACAUCCAGGCCCUGGGCACUAGCAACCGCUGAUGCACUUAGCCACUUACCAAUGUAUUCCUAUUGUACGUAUAUAAUAAAGUGGUUAGUACGUCGACGUAGAAAUAGUUAGUAGCUUGCUUUGCACUCACACAAUCGAGUCAUGAUUGUUACUGAUGAUCAAAAUUUUAUGUAUUUUUUAUGCCGGAUGGGUUUACUACUUCUUCUUCGGUUGUAUAUAAAGCUUCCAAAAAAUUAGUAUAUAAUCCUCCAGAAUAAAUCAGUAUAUAGUCCUCCAAAAAAAUGAGUAUAUACACUUUGUAACGCAGCAUAUACCCCAUAAAAAAUGUAGUAUAACGCUGCAGAAAUAAGACAUACUCCUUUUCUAGUUGCAUAUACCCAAUCACAAAACUACACUGAAAUAAUUAGUAGUACAUACUCCUUUUCUAUUUUGGAAAGGAACGUCCAUUUCCCUCUUCAACAAGUGCUUUAUUUUUCUAGGGGUAGCCUUGUGUUUUUACUGCCAUGCGACGACAUUACAAAAUGUAUUACACCCAUUAUUCAUCUAAUUUUUUAUAUACCCUUUUAUGCAUACUUUGAAUUUAUCACUCAUUUGGGCGACCAGCCCGCUCUCUCAUUGCAGCGACUCGACUCUCACAUAAAGCCAGUAUAUACUCACGUAAAAAAAAGCAGUAUAGACUCCCUUACUGAAAAAGAACUAUAUACUCCCCUACCAAAAAAAGUAGUAUAUGCUCCAUUACCAAAAAGGCAGUAUAUACUCAUAUACAAAAGGUGGUAUAUACUGUCUUCCCAAAGUAGUAUAUAUCUUUUUCCUUGCGUUAGAGAAGUAGUAUAACCAGAACAGAUAGUUCAUACUUGUGUGCUGAAAAAAGUAGUAUAUAAAUAUAUAUGUAAGAGUGAGUAUGGUAGAUAUGUAUCGGUCCUUACAAAAAAAAUCAACCACUGUUAUUGUUUAUUUGCACCGAACUAACCUUAUCUGUAUGCUAGGAUCCUUGAAUCUCUCAAUCUGUUGAUGCACAUGCAUGCGUCGGCCGGUGGAGCAAUUAGCAACUAGAUCUAAUAACUGCCAACCUGUUCAGUCCAUGGGAGUACAUACUCCUGGGAGUAUAAAAGAGGAGUCUAUAUAUAUAUAUAUAUAUAUAUAUAUAUACGGUGGCGCUAUUGUGUGCGUGAGCGCAGAUUUACUUAUCGUGCGCGCCGGUCAUUGCGUGCGCCACUCGUAUUCCUAAUGAUGGUAAAAUUCCUGGCAGAAAUAGUAAUAUAAUUUAAUUGGUUACUGCCUGCCACCACCACGGUAGCGAUUUAAUUGGUUAGGUCUACUAGUAAAAAUGCAUAGCAGAAAAAGUAAAAGAGCUAAAAGUAUUACUGUUGGAUGCAUCGGUCCCCGCUUCGACUGCCUACUAGUAAAACACCUCAUAAAAGUAGUAAUAGGAUUACCCUACACGCAUCAGCCCCUUGCCAUACUUGUGAACAGGUAAACUUCAUGUGAAGAAUAGUACUGGAUGGUAACUGUGUUACCAUAGAACGGACACUUGCUAUUAGCUAGCUACAUGGUAAUUUUAUUACCGCUAACUUUCAUCGGUUUAAUACCUAAUCAUGUUACCACUUAUUUUCUUAGUAGUAUUGGAUGGUAACUAUGUUACCACAUGACGAAAAAAUUGCUAUUAGCUAAUAGCUACACGGUAAUUGCAUUACCACUCAUGUGUAGAAGCAUGAUACACGGUCUUUUUUCCAAUUACGUUUGGUCGAAGACGCAAGGGUUUGCUAAUCGCUAAAGUGGGGUCGAAGCAGUAAUAAGUUUCCAACCGUUACCAUGUUUCUUAAGGUAUGUUACGUAUGGGCGCAAGACAUGUUCUUUAAUAGGAGCGGGACAACGGUUGCUUAGACGGAGAAUGGCGCGCAGUCUGGCCGGAGCGUAGAAUUAGACUUCUGCGCUCAGGCUUAGUUUAGCACGUCUAUAUAUAUAUAUAUAUAUAUAUAUAUAUAUAUACAUACAUGUUAGUGGCCUCGACGCUGCUUCUCUAGGGUUUGGGGUCGCCUCGACACAACGCUUCAAGGGUUUGGGGUGGCCUCGACGACAACGUUUUUUUAACUUGAUAAAUUUGGGUGGCCUCGAGAGAGUUAAUUUGUCGGGUAGGGGCGCGGCGGGAGGGGGUAGGAGACCAACAUCGUUUUCUCUCUAGGGUUUGGGUGUCCUCGAGAGUUAUCGGGGAGGGGGUAUCGGUACCACCCCCUAGCUCGUGUUGAAGUUUCUUCUUUCUCCUCUAUUCCUUUCUUUCUUCUUCUCCUCUUCUUUUUCUUCUUCUCCCUCGAGAAAGGAAAAUANNNNNNNNNNNNNNNNNNNNNNNNNNNNNNNNNNNNNNNNNNNNNNNNNNNNNNNNNNNNNNNNNNNNNNNNNNNNNNNNNNNNNNNNNNNNNNNNNNNNNNNNNNNNNNNNNNNNNNNNNNNNNNNNNNNNNNNNNNNNNNNNNNNNNNNNNNNNNNNNNNNNNNNNNNNNNNNNNNNNNNNNNNNNNNNNNNNNNNNNNNNNNNNNNNNNNNNNNNNNNNNNNNNNNNNNNNNNNNNNNNNNNNNNNNNNNNNNNNNNNNNNNNNNNNNNNNNNNNNNNNNNNNNNNNNNNNNNNNNNNNNNNNNNNNNNNNNNNNNNNNNNNNNNNNNNNNNNNNNNNNNNNNNNNNNNNNNNNNNNNNNNNNNNNNNNNNNNNNNNNNNNNNNNNNNNNNNNNNNNNNNNNNNNNNNNNNNNNNNNNNNNNNNNNNNNNNNNNNNNNNNNNNNNNNNNNNNNNNNNNNNNNNNNNNNNNNNNNNNNNNNNNNNNNNNNNNNNNNNNNNNNNNNNNNNNNNNNNNNNNNNNNNNNNNNNNNNNNNNNNNNNNNNNNNNNNNNNNNNNNNNNNNNNNNNNNNNNNNNNNNNNNNNNNNNNNNNNNNNNNNNNNNNNNNNNNNNNNNNNNNNNNNNNNNNNNNNNNNNNNNNNNNNNNNNNNNNNNNNNNNNNNNNNNNNNNNNNNNNNNNNNNNNNNNNNNNNNNNNNNNNNNNNNNNNNNNNNNNNNNNNNNNNNNNNNNNNNNNNNNNNNNNNNNNNNNNNNNNNNNNNNNNNNNNNNNNNNNNNNNNNNNNNNNNNNNNNNNNNNNNNNNNNNNNNNNNNNNNNNNNNNNNNNNNNNNNNNNNNNNNNNNNNNNNNNNNNNNNNNNNNNNNNNNNNNNNNNNNNNNNNNNNNNNNNNNNNNNNNNNNNNNNNNNNNNNNNNNNNNNNNNNNNNNNNNNNNNNNNNNNNNNNNNNNNNNNNNNNNNNNNNNNNNNNNNNNNNNNNNNNNNNNNNNNNNNNNNNNNNNNNNNNNNNNNNNNNNNNNNNNNNNNNNNNNNNNNNNNNNNNNNNNNNNNNNNNNNNNNNNNNNNNNNNNNNNNNUGAAAACACUUUUUUUUGUUUUCUUUCUUGCUUUAUUUAUUUUAUUUUGUUUCUACUUGCAAUAAAAUACUUAUUGUUGUUUUUUUGUUUUGUUUUCUGCAUUAUUUAUUUUCUUUUGUUUUUUGCUUUAUUUUUUAAUUCUUUUUGCUUUUAGUUUUAGGAAAAUUAUAAACUUUCUAUUAGUGCCAUUACUUUUCAAAUUUGAAAACACUUUUUUGUUUUUUAGUUUUCUUUCUUGCUUUAUUUAUUUUAUUUUGUUUCUACUUACAACAAAAUACUUAUUGUUGCUAUUUUUAAUUAUUACGAAGGCCAAACCAUAAGACAUUAAAGCAUUUCAAAUGAACUCUGAAAAAGUUGAAAGUUGGCAUGGUAUCAUAAAUUGACCCACACAUAGCAUGUGCAUGUACAAAACGGACAAUGUUAUCAUACUCGUCAGUUACAAAGUUGGCAUGGUAUCAUCAUAAUAGUUGCGGGAGAAAGUCUUCACUUUUUCUUCGCUUGUGUCAUUUGCUUAUUGCGCCGUAACCAUGGAUAAUCUUCAUCGUUUAUCAGGAUGCUGGGGUCAGCCUUGACUUUAAAGGGAGGAAUUUCAUGAAACUUUUCAUAAUCUUCAGACAUGUCUGUCUUGUCCUCCUCUCCCACGAUGUCCCUUUUUCCUGAAAGAACUAUGUGGCGCUUUGGCUCAUCGUAUGAUGUAUUCGCUUCCUUAUCUUUUCUCUUUCUUGGUCUGGUAGACAUGUCCAUCACAUAGAUAACCUGUGCCACAUCAUUGGCUAGGACGAACGGUUCGUCAGUGUACCCAAGAUUUUUCGGAUCCACUGUUGUCGUUCCGUACUGUGGGUCUACAUGUACCCCGCCUCCUGACAGAUUGACCCAUUUGCACUUAAACAAAGGGACCUUAAAAUCAUGUCCUUAGUCAAGUUCCCAUAUGUCCACUAUGUAACCAUAAUAUGUGUCCUUUCCCCUCUCGGUUGUUGCAUCAAAGCGGACACCGCUGUUUUGGUUGGUGCUCUUUUGAUCUUGGUUAAUCGUGUAAAAUGUCUUCCCAUUUAUCUCAUAUCCUUUCCAAAUCGUAACAGUCGAAGAUGGUCCCCUGGAUAACAAGUACAUCUCAUCACAAACAGCGUUGUCACCUCUGAUACGUGCUUCCAACCAACUGCUGAAAGUCCUGAUGUGUUCACAUGUAAUUCAGUCGUCGCACUGCUCCGGGUGUUUGGAGCGCAGACUGUUCUUGUGUUCAUCCACAUACGGGGUCACCAAGGUAGAGUUCUGUAGAACUGUGUAGUGUGCUUGAGACCAAGAAUAUCUGUCCCUGCAUAUUAUUGAGUCCCUUCCAAGCAUGCCUUUUCCAGUCAGUCUCCCCUCAUACCGCGAUUUAGGGAGACCUAUCUUCUUAUGGCCAGGAAUGAAGUCAACACAAAACCCGAUGACAUCCUCUGUUUGAUGGCCCAUGGAGAUGCUUCCUUCUGGCCUAGCGCGAUGAGGGACAUAUUUCUUUAGGACUCCCAUGAACCUCUCAAAGGGGUACAUAUUGUGUAGAAAUACGGGGCCCAAAAUGACAAUCUCGUCAACUAGAUGAACUAGGACGUGCGUCAUGAUAUUGAAGAAGGAUGGUGGGAACACCAGCUCGAAACUGACAAGACAUUGCACCACAUCACUCCUUAGCCUUGGUAUGAUUUCUGGAUCGAUCACCUUCUGAGAGAUUGCAUUGAGGAAUGCACAUAGCUUCACAAUGGCUAAUCGGACGUUUUCCGGUAGAAGCCCCCUCAAUGCAACCGGAAGCAGUUGUGUCAUAAUCACGUGGCAGUCAUGAGACUUUAGGUUCUGAAACUUUUUCUUUGCCAUAUUUAUUAUUCCUUUUAUAUUCGACGAGAAGCCAGUCGGGACCUUCAUACUAAGCAGGCAUUCAAAGAAGAUUUCCUUCUCUUCUUUGGUAAGAGCAUAGCUGGCAGGACCUUCAUACUGCUUUGGAGGCAUGCCGUCUUUUUCGUGCAAAUGUUGCAGGUCCUCCCGUGCCUCAGCUGUAUCUUUUGUCUUCCCAUACACGCCCAAGAAGCCUAGCAGGUUCACGCAAAGGUUCUUCGUCACGUGCAUCACGUCGAUCGAAGAGCGGACCUCUAGGUCUUUCUAGUAGGGUAGGUCCCAAAAUAUAGAUUUCUUCUUCCACAUGGGUGCGUGUCCCCCAACGUCACUCGGAACAGCUAGUCUGCCGGGACCCUUUCCAAAGAUUACGUGUAAAUCAUUGACCAUAGCAAGUACGUGACCACCGGUACGCAUGGCGGGCUUCUUCCGGUGAUCUGCCUCGCCUUUGAAAUGCUUGCCUUUCUUUCGACAUUGAUGGUUGGUCGGAAGAAAUCGACGAUGGCCCAGGUACACAUUCUUCCUACAGCUUGCCAGGUAUAUACUAACGGUGUCAAGUAAACAGUGCGUGCAUGCGUGGUAUCCCUUGUUUGUCUGUCCUAAAAGGUUACUGAGAGCAGGCCAAUCGUUGAUGGUCACGAACAGCAACGCCUUUAGGUUAAAUUUCUCCUGUUUGUGCUCAUCCCACGUACGUACACCGUUUCCAUUCCACAGCUGUAAAAGUUCUUCAACUAAUGGCCUUAGGUACACAUCAAUGUCAUUGCCGGGUUGCUUAGGGCCUUGGAUGAGAACUGGCAUCAUAAUGAACUUCCGCUUCAUGCACAUCCAAGGAGGAAGGUUAUACAUACAUAGAGUCACGGGCCAGGUGCUGUGAUUGCUGCUCUGCUCCCCGAAAGGAUUAAUGCCAUCCGCACUUAAAGCAAACCAUACGUUCCUUGGCUCACUUGCAAACUCAUCCCAGUACUUUCUCUCAUUUUUCUCCAUUGCGACCCGUCAGCGGGUGCUCUCAACUUCCCGUCUUUCUUACGGUCCUCACUAUGCCAUCGCAUCAACUUGGCAUGCUCUCCGUUUCUGAACAGACGUUUCAACCGUGGUAUUAUAGGAGCAUACCACAUCACCACUACUAGGGAAAAGCCUAUACAUAGAAUCUUACCAGCAGCGCUCUUCAAAAUACAACGCUACUGCUACUUAGCAGCAGCGCGUGUCUGCCAAACACGCUGCUGACUUGGAAGUAGCAGUAGCGGGUGCAUCGCAUACAGCGCUACUGCUAUAGUUGCCAUGACCUUGCCCCCCCCCCCCCNNNNNNNNNNNNNNNNNNNNNNNNNNNNNNNNNNNNNNNNNNNNNNNNNNNNNNNNNNNNNNNNNNNNNNNNNNNNNNNNNNNNNNNNNNNNNNNNNNNNNNNNNNNNNNNNNNNNNNNNNNNNNNNNNNNNNNNNNNNNNNNNNNNNNNNNNNNNNNNNNNNNNNNNNNNNNNNNNNNNNNNNNNNNNNNNNNNNNNNNNNNNNNNNNNNNNNNNNNNNNNNNNNNNNNNNNNNNGCAAACGCGCUACAACUAUCCCUACCUUAUCCCCAUGCGCACGACCGGCCCUCUCACUCACACUCUCACUCUCGCCCACGUCAACCGUCGUCGUCCGUCGCCGCCGCCGCCGCCUUCGUCCGUCCGCCGCCGAGGUACUCCCCUCCUUCCGUCCCUCCUCCAUCCUCCUUGCACAUCCUCCCUCCGCCUGUGGCCGCCCCUCCUUCCUCCGCCGCUGCCCUCCUCCCUCCGCCUGCGGCCGCCCCUCCUCCCUCCUCCGACGGCAGCCCUCCUCCCACCGCCCUCGACCUCGCUGCCCCUAGCUACCUCUCCGUCGCCCCCCACCCCUGCCACUAGUUAGUACUAGAUUUAGUAGUAGUAGAUGUUAAUUUAGGGUUAGCUAGUACUAGAUGUUGCUUAGUUAGUACUAGAUUUUUAGUAGUAGUAGUGGUAGUUGAACUACUUUAGUUGUAGUUGAACUAGUUUAGUAAGUAAAUUAAUAAACGAGUUGAACUAGUUGAAUUAAUAGAACUAAUCUAUUUUUAGUAAGAUAAUUAAUAUAACUAGUUGAACUACUUUAUUUUUAGAAAGAACUAAUUUUUUUCUAUUUAUAUUAAGUUUAUAUUUAGUAAGAACUAGUUGAAUUAAUAAAACUAGUUGAACAUGUCAUGUUUGUUGUUAGUGAUAACUUAUAUGGUUUCAGGUGACCUCCGUCGUCCCCGUCACCGACCCCCUCCGACAUCCCCGUCGUCGUCCCAGUCACCGACCCCCUCCGACAUCGAGGUGAGACCAGCCAAAUAUCCUUGUAUAUCUUGUGUUGUUGCUCAAAUUGGAUAUGUGGUUGCCCAAGUGGCCGUUCAUGUAGUUUACAUCUCCGAGUGGCCUAUGUUUUGCCGGAGUGUUGAUUAAUUUCCGUUCCGACAAAUUUCAGGCGCUCGAUAUGUCCUUUUUUAGCAAAGGUCAUGCCGGAUUUUGUCGUGAAUUCUGGUAUGACUUGUGCUAGAAUAUGUACAAGUUUAAUCUUUGAAUUAUGAUUGUAGGAAAUGUCGUACUCGGACGACGAAGGUCUCCCGGGGGAGUGUAGCUGGUGCCACGACGAUCGAGGUAUGUGCGAUAGGUUCGUUCGGCUGGACGAAGAUCGGCGCUUCAACAUUAAGCUCGAGGAGACCUUCGAUUGUGAAAUGGUACGCAACAACGACAAGUGUUUUUUCUCCAUUAAGCAUGACUUCAACUAUUUCAACGUCUAAUUUUCAUAUUUUACAAUUCGACUAGCUUAUCCCAUGCCAUGCAAGACGCUAUGUCUUGGAGAGGAUGGGUUUUGAAGACCAUGAAAAUUUCAAAACAAAGAAAAUACACCUAAGGACCCAUCAUGAUAUGGAUUUUGAAGUAAACCUGUGCAAUGCUCAGAGCGCAACCCAUUUUGGUUGCCAAAAUUGGGAAGCACUUUGCAAAAUGUAUGGUUUUUAUGAGGGUAUGAUUGUCACCAUGGAUCUUGGUGAUCCUGACAGUGAGGAAGACAAUAUGGACAUUUGGGUCCUUGUUGAUACGCUUCCGAUUGUACCGCUAUGUGACUUUCUCAAACAUAGUUAUUAACUAAUUUAUAUUGUUUAUUUCAAAAUAGUUGAUAGCUUAUUUCCAUUGACAGCUUAUUUUGAUUCUUCAAAGACUGUGCGGAAGAUGGUAGAUAAAACCCACUACACCGAAGGCACCCAAUUAACGUAUAAGGAGAAAAAUCAUCUGAUCGCAUUUUGUACUCUUCUUGAGAAUUACAAUGACUAUAAUCGAACUCCUCCAGAUUAUGGUGAAUAUGUGCCACUAGUGCAUGUGUUGAACAACGAUAACUUAUCUGGAGAUACCCUGGUAAGAUUUUUUACUAUUACGACAUCCGUGUAUUUUUUGCAUACUUCUAAAACUAGUACAUCAUUGCUAACUACGAAGUUAUUAUUAUGUUUUUCAACAGAAACUCCCGAUGGAUUGUGUGCCUCAUCUGAUGUCUCUGCAUGGUCGCCUCUCAGUUCUGAACAUACUGCCAGGUAAAUCUACAGAGCUCACCUAUGCAUAUCAGAUUUCUAAAACCCGUGAACACAUGAUCAUCAGAGAAUGGAAGAAAUGUAUGGACAUUCGCAAGGAGGUUCUUGGAAGUAACAUUCAGCGAAACGUAAGAAUGGGAGACAGGCUAAUCUCCAUUCUCCAUAAUGGAGAGUCAGGGGCUAUCUUGUUUUUUGUUAUUUUACCUUAGAAAAUGUAGUAGGUCUUAAUCGAAUGUAAUAGGUCCUAUGAGGUACAAUAUGUUUAUUAUGUGGUAAUGUGUUAGAGUUGAUAAUGAUGAUCUUGAGGAGGUGUUAUGUGAUGUCAAUGAUGAAAACGAUGAUAUUGAGGAGGUGUUAUAUGACAAUGAUGUAUUAUGAUGCUAAGUUGUUAAUGAUAUGAUGAUGAUGAUGAUAUUAUUAUAUCAUUGGGUGAAAGAACCGUGGAUUAGUUUCAAGUGGAUGGACAUCCACUUGAAACUAGUCCACGGUUCUUUCACCCCAUGAUGUAAUAACUCAUUAUGAUGUAAAAACAAUCUCUAAAUUCCUGUUGUAUGAAAACUUGUGUAAGGGUGUAUGAAUACAACAUGAAAAAGAAAAGAAAUAAAAUACUAAAUAAUAGUAGUAGCGCGGGUAAGGAGAAGCGCUACUACUAAUUACCAGUAGCGAUGUUCUAAAGAACCGCUGCUACUAAGUCAAUUUAGCAGUAGCGCGUGUCAAGACGCGCUAUUGCUAAGCAUUAGCUGUAGCGCCUUAUCAGUAGCGCUCCUGCCCGCGCUACUGAUAGGCCCAAAACCCGCGCUGCUGCUAGGCUUUUCCCUAGUAGUGCACCUUCGCAGGAACCCUCUUCCUGGGGGGCUCGCCGUCAACAUCACCAGGGUCAUCUCGUCUGAUCUUAUACCAUAAUGCACCGCAUACCAGGCAUGCGUUCAGAUCCUUAUAUGCACCGCGGUAGAGGAUGCAGUCAUUAGGGCAUGCAGGUAUCUUCUGCACCUCCAAUCCUAGAGGGCAUACGACCUUCUUUGCUGCGUAUGUACUGUCGGGCAAUUCGUUAUCCUUUGGAAGCUUCUUCUUCAAUAUUUUCAGUAGCUUCUCAAAUCCUUUGUCAGGCACAGCAUUCUCUUAAAGGAAAUAUGCCCUAGAGGCAAUAAUAAAGUUAUUAUUUAUUUCCUCAUAUCAUGAUAAAUGUUUAUUAUUCAUGCUAGAAUUGUAUUAACCGGAAACAUGAUACAUGUGUGAAUACAUAGACAAAACUAUAGUCACUAGUAUGCCUCUACUUGACUAGCUCAUUAAUCAAAGAUGGUUAUGUUUCCUGACCAUAGACAUGUGUUGUCAUUUGAUUAGUGGGAUCACAUCAUUAAGAGAAUGAUGUGAUUGACAUGACCCAUUCUGUUAGCCCAGCACUUGAUCGUUUAGUAUACUGCUAUUGCUUUCUUCAUGACUUAUACAAAGUUCCUGCAACUAUGAGAUUGUGCAACUCCCGUUUACCGGAAGAACACUUUGUGUGCUACCAAACAUCACAACGUAACUGGGUGAUUAUAAAGGUGCUCUACAGGUGUUUCCGAAGGUACAUGUUGGGUUGGCAUAAUUCGAGAUUAGGAUUUGUCACUCCGAUUGUCGGAGAGGUAUCUCUGGGCCCUCUCGGAAAUACUCAUCACAUAAGCCUUGCAAGCAUGUAACUAAUGAGUUAGUUAUGAGAUGACGUAUUACGAAACGAGUAAAGAGACUUGCCGGUAACGAGAUUGAACUAGGUAUUGGAUACCGACGAUCAAAUCUCGGGCAAGUAACAUACCGAUGACAAAGGGAACAAAGUAUGUUGUUAUGCGGUUUGACCGAUAAAGAUCUUCGUAGAAUAUGUAGGAACCAAUAUGGGCAUCCAGGUCCCGCUAUUGGUUAUUGACCGAGAAUGGUUUUAGGUCAUGACUACAUAGUUCUCAAACCCGUAGGGUCCGCACGCUUAACUUUUUGAUGAUAGUUUUAUUAUGAGUUUAUAAGUUUUGAUGUACCAAAGUUUGUUCGGAGUUCCGGAUGUGAUCACGGAUAUGAUGAGGAGUCUCGGAAUGCUUGAGCCAUAAAGAUUGAUAUAUUGGACGACUAUAUUCGGACACCGGAAAGGUUCCGGGAGUUUUCGGAGAAAACCGGAGUGCCCGGGGGGUUACCGAAACCCCCCGGGAGAGUUAAUGGGCCACAUGGGCCUAGGUGGGAAGAGAAAGGGGCGGCCAGGGUGAGCCGCGCGCCCCCUCUCCCUCUAGUCCGAAUUGGACUAGGAGGGGGGGCGGCGCCCCCUUUCCUUCCCCCCCUCUCUUCCUUCCUUCCCCCUCCUAGUAGGAGUAGGAAAGGAGGAAUCCUACUCCUACUAGGAGGAGGAUUCCUCCUCCCUUGCGCGCCCCAAGGGGCCGGCCGGCCUCCCCCUCCCUCCUUUAUAUACGGGGGCAGGGGGCACCCCAUAGACACACAAGUUGAUCUACGGAUCGUUCCUUAGCCGUGUGCGGUGCCCCCUUCCACCAUAUUCCACCUCGGUCAUAUCGUCGCGAAGCUUAGGCGAAGUCCUGCGCCGGUAGAACAUCAAGAUCGUCACCACGCCGUCGUGCUGACGGAACUCUCCCUCGACACUCGGCUGGAUCGGAGUUCGAGGGACGUCAUCGAGCUGAAUGUGUGCUGAACUCGGAGGCUCCGUACGUUCGGUUCUUGGAUCGGUCGGAUCGUGAAGACGUAUGACUACAUCAACCGCGUUGUCAUAACGCUUCCGCUUACGGUCUACGAGGGUACAUGGACAUACACUCUCCCCUCUCGUUGCUAUGUCAUCACCAUGAUCUUGCGUGUGCGUAGGAAAAUUUUGAAAUUACUACGUUCCCCGACAGUGGUAUCAGAGCCUAGGUUUUAUGCGUUGAUGUUAUAUGCACGAGUAGAACACAAGUGAGUUGUGGACGAUAUAAGUCAUACUGCCUACCAGUGUGUCAUACUUUGGUUCAGCGGUAUUGUGAGAUGAAGCGGCCCGGACCGACAUUACGGGUACGCUUACGCGAGACUAGUUUCACCGUUAUGAGCACUCGUGCUUAAAGGUGGCUGGCGGGUGUCUGUCUCUCUCACUUUAGUUGAACCGAGUGUGGCUACGCCCGGCCCUUGUGAAGGUUAAAACGGAGUCUAUUUGACAAACUAUCGUUGUGGUUUUGAUGCGUAGGUAAGAACGGUUCUUGCUAAGCCCGUAGCAUCCACGUAAAAUUUGCAACAACAAAGUAGAGGACGUCUAACUUGUUUUUGCAGGGCAUGUUGUGAUAUGAUAUGGUCAAGACGUGAUGCUAUAUUUUAUUGUAUGAGAUGAUCAUGUUUUGUAACCGAAGUUAUCGGCAACUGGCUGGAGCCAUAUGGUUGUCGCUUUAUUGUAUGAAAUGCAAACGCCCUGUAAUUGCUUUACUUUAUCUCUAAGCGGUAGCGAUAGUCGUAGAAGCAAUAGAUGGCGUAAACGACAACGAUGCUACGAUGGAGAUCAAGGUGUCGCGCCGGUGACGAUGGUGAUCAUGACGGUGCUUCGAAGAUGGAGAUCACAAGCACAAGAUGAUGAUGGCCAUAUCAUAUCACUUAUAUUGAUUGCAUGUGAUGUUUAUCCUUUAUGCAUCUUAUCUUGCUUUGAUUGACGGUAGCAUUUUAAGAUGAUCUCUCACUAAAAUUAUCAAGUAGUGUUCUCCCUGAGUAUGCACCGUUGCCAAAGUUCAUCGUGCCGAGACACCACGUGAUGAUCGGGUGUGAUAAGCUCUACGUCCAUCUACAACGGGUGCAAGCCAGUUUUGCACACGCAGAAUACUCAGGUUAAACUUGACGAGCCUAGCAUAUGCAGAUAUGGCCUCGGAACACAGAGACCGAAAGGUCGAGCGUGAAUCAUAUAGUAGAUAUGAUCAACAUAAUGAUGUUCACCAUUGAAAACUACUCCAUCUCACGUGAUGAUCGGUUAUGGUUUAGUUGAUUUGGAUCACGUGAUCACUUAGAUGACUAGAGAGAUGUCUGUCUAUGUGGGAGUUCUUAAGUAAUAUGAUUAAUUGAACUUAAAUUUAUCAUGAACUUAGUACCUGAUAGUAUCUUGCUUGUCUAUGUUUGUUUGUAGAUAGAUGGCUCGUGCUGUUGUUCCGUUGAAUUUUAAUGCGUUCCUUGAGAAAGCAAAGUUGAAAGAUGAUGGUAGCAAUUACACGGACUGGGUCCGUAACCUGAGGAUUAUCCUCAUUGUUGCACAGAAGAGUUACGUCCUGGAAGCACCGCUGGGUGCCAGGCCUGCUGCUGAUGCAACUGACGACGUUAAGAACGUCUGGCAGAGCAAAGCUGAUGACUACUCUAUAGUUCAGUGUGCCAUGCUUUACGGCUUAGAACCGGGUCUUCAACGACGUUUUGAACGUCAUGGAGCAUAUGAGAUGUUCCAGGAGUUGAAGUUAAUAUUUCAAGCAAAUGCCCGGAUUGAGAGAUAUGAAGUCUCCAAUAAGUUCUAUAGCUGCAAGAUGGAGGAGAAUAGUUCUGUCAGUGAACAUAUACUCAGAAUGUCUGGGUAUAACAAUCACUUGAUUCAACUGGGAGUUAAUCUUCCUGAUGAUAGUGUCAUUGACAGAAUUCUUCAAUCACUGCCACCAAGCUACAAGAGCUUUGUGAUGAACUAUAAUAUGCAAGGGAUGAACAAGACUAUUCCCGAGCUCUUCGCGAUGCUGAAAGCCGCAGAGGUAGAAAUCAAGAAGGAGCAUCAAGUGUUGAUGGUCAACAAGACCACUAGUUUCAAGAAGAAGGGCAAAGGAAAGAAGAAGGGGAACUUCAAAAAGAACGGCAAGCAAGUUGCUGCUCAAGAGAAGAAACCCAAGUCUGGACCUAAGCCUGAAACUGAGUGCUUCUACUGCAAGCAGACUGGUCACUGGAAGCGGAACUGCCCCAAGUAUUUGGCGGAUAAGAAGGAUGGCAAAGUAAACAAAGGUAUAUGUGAUAUACAUGUUAUUGAUGUGUACCUAACUAGAGCUCGUAGUAGCACCUGGGUAUUUGAUACUGGUUCUGUUGCUAAUAUUUGCAACUCGAAACAGGGACUACGGAAUAAGCGAGCACUGGCCAAGGACGAGGUGACGAUGCGCGUGGAAAACGGUUCCAAAGUCGAUGUGAUCGCGGUCGGCACGCUACCUCUACAUCUACCAUCGGGAUUAGUUUUAGACCUAAAUAAUUGUUAUUUGGUGCCAGCGUUGAGCAUGAACAUUAUAUCUGGAUCUUGUUUGAUGCAAGACGGUUAUUCAUUUAAAUCAGAGAAUAAUGGUUGUUCUAUUUAUAUGAGUAAUAUCUUUUAUGGUCAUGCACCCUUGAAGAGUGGUCUAUUUUUAUUGAAUCUCGAUAGUAGUGAUACACAUAUUCAUAUUGUAGAAGCCAAAAGAUGCAGAGUUGAUAAUGAUAGUGCAACUUAUUUGUGGCACUGCCGUUUGGGUCAUAUCGGUGUACAACGCAUGAAGAAACUCCAUACUGAUGGACUUCUGGAAUCACUUGAUUAUGAAUCACUUGGUACUUGCGAACCGUGCCUUAUGGGCAAGAUGACUAAAACACCGUUCUCCGGAACUAUGGAGAGAGCAACAGAUUUGUUGGAAAUCAUACAUACAGAUGUAUGUGGUCCGAUGAAUGUUGAGGCUCGUGGCGGAUAUCAUUAUUUUCUCACCUUCACUGAUGAUUUAAGCAGAUAUGGGUAUAUCUACUUAAUGAAGUACAAGUCUGAAACAUUUGAAAAGUUCAAAGAAUUUCAGAGUGAAGUAGAAAAUCAUCGUAACAAGAAAAUAAAGUUUCUACGAUCUGACCGUGGAGGAGAAUAUUUGAGUUACGAGUUUGGUUUACAUUUGAAACAAUGCGGAAUAGUUUCGCAACUCACGCCACCUGGAACACCACAACGAAAUGGUGUGUCCAAACGUCGUACUCGUACUUUACUUGAUAUGGUGCGAUCUAUGAUGUCUCUUACCGAUUUACCGCUAUCGUUUUGGGGUUAUGCUUUAGAGACGGCCGCAUUCACGUUAAAUAGGGCACCAUCAAAAUCCGUUGAGAUGACGCCUUAUGAACUGUGGUUUGGCAAGAAACCAAAGUUGUCGUUUCUUAAAGUUUGGGGCUGCGGUACUUAUGUGAAGAAACUUCAACCAGAUAAGCUCGAACCCAAAUCGGAGAAAUGUGUCUUCGUAGGAUACCCAAAGGAGACUAUUGGGUACACCUUCUAUCACAGAUCUGAAGGCAAGAUUUUCGUUGCUAAAUUCGGAUCCUUUCUAGAGAAGGAAUUUCUCUCGAAAGAAGUGAGUGGGAGGAAAGUAGAACUUGAUGAGAUAACUGUAUCUACUCCCUUAUUGGAAGGUAGUUCAUCACGAGAACUGGUUCCCAUGACAACUACACCAAUUAUUGAGGAAGCUAAUAAUAUUGAUCAUGAAACUUCAGAUCAAGUUUCUGCUGAACCUCGUAGGUCUACCAGAGUAAGAUCCGCACCAGAGUGGUACGGUAAUCCUAUUCUGGAAGUCAUGUUACUUGACCAUGAUGAACCUACGAACUAUGAGGAACCGAUGAUGAGCCCAGAUUCCGCAAAAUGGCUAGAGGCCAUGAAAUCUGAGAUGGGAUCCAUGGAUGAAAACAAAGUAUGGACUUUGGUUGACUUGCCCGAUGAUCGGCAAGCCAUUGAGAAUAAAUGGAUCUUUAAGAAGAAGACUGACGCUGAUGGUAAUGUUACUGUCUAUAAAGCUCGACUUGUUGCGAAAGGUUUUCGACAAGUUCAAGGGGUUGACUAUGAUGAGACUUUCUCACCCGUAGCGAUGCUUAAGUCUGUCCGAAUCAUGUUGGCUAUUGCUGCAUUUCAUGAUUAUGAAAUUUGGCAAAUGGAUGUCAAAACUGCAUUCUUGAAUGGAUUUCUAGAAGAAGAGUUGUAUAUGAUGCAGCCGGAAGGUUUUGUUGAUCCAAAAGGUGCUGACAAAGUGUGUAAGCUCCAAUGUUCCAUUUAUGGACUGGUGCAAGCAUCUCGGAGUUGGAAUAAACGUUUUGACAGUGUGAUCAAGGCAUAUGGUUUUAUACAGACUUUUGGAGAAGCCUGUAUUUACAAGAAAGUGAGUGGGAGCUCUGUAGCAUUUCUAGUUUUAUAUGUUGAUGACAUAUUAUUAAUUGGAAAUGAUAUAGAAUUUCUGGAGAGCAUAAAGGGAUACUUGAAUAAAAGUUUUUCAAUGAAAGACCUCGGUGAAGCUGCUUACAUAUUGGGCAUCAAGAUCUAUAGAGAUAGAUCAAGACGCUUAAUAGGACUUUCACAAAGCACAUACCUUGACAAAAUUUUGAAAAAGUUCAAAAUGGAUCAGGCAAAGAAAGGAUUCUUGCCUGUGCUACAAGGUGUGAAGUUGAGUCAAACUCAAUGCCCGACCACAUCAGAAGAUAGAGAGAAAAUGAAAAAUGUUCCCUAUGCUUCAGCCAUAGGCUCUAUCAUGUAUGCAAUGCUGUGUACCAGACUUGACGUAUGCUUAGCAAUAAGCUUGGCAGGAAGGUACCAAAGUAAUCCAGGAGUGGAUCACUGGACAGCGGUCAAGAACAUCCUUAAAUACCUGAAAAGGACUAAGGAUAUAUUUCUCGUAUAUGUAGGUGACAAAGAGCUCGUCGUAAAUGGUUACGUCGAUGCAAGCUUUGACACUGAUCCAGACGAUUCUAAAUCGCAAACCGGAUACGUGUUUAUAUUAAACGGUGGAGCUGUAAGUUGGUGCAGUUCUAAACAAAGCGUCGUGGCGGGAUCUACAUGUGAAGCGGAGUACAUAGCUGCUUCUGAAGCAGCAAAUGAAGGAGUCUGGAUGAAGGAGUUCAUUUCCGAUCUAGGUGUCAUACCUAGUGCAUCGGGACCAAUGAAGAUCUUCUGUGACAAUACAGGUGCAAUUGCUUUGGCAAAGGAAUCCAGAUUUCACAAGAGGACCAAGCACAUCACGAGACGCUUAAAUUCCAUUCGGGACCAAGUCCAAGUGGGAGACAUACAGAUUUGCAAGAUACAUACGGAUCUGAAUAUUGCAGACCCGUUGACUAAGCAUCUCUCACGAGCAAAACAUGAUCAGCACCAAGACUCCAUGGGUGUUAGAAUCAUUAUUGUGUAAUCUAGAUUAUUGACUCUAGUGCAAGUGGGAGACUAAAGGAAAUAUGCCCUAGAGGCAAUAAUAAAGUUAUUAUUUAUUUCCUCAUAUCAUGAUAAAUGUUUAUUAUUCAUGCUAGAAUUGUAUUAACCGGAAACAUGAUACAUGUGUGAAUACAUAGACAAAACUAUAGUCACUAGUAUGCCUCUACUUGACUAGCUCAUUAAUCAAAGAUGGUUAUGUUUCCUGACCAUAGACAUGUGUUGUCAUUUGAUUAGUGGGAUCACAUCAUUAAGAGAAUGAUGUGAUUGACAUGACCCAUUCUGUUAGCCUAGCACUUGAUCGUUUAGUAUACUGCUAUUGCUUUCUUCAUGACUUAUACAAAGUUCCUGCAACUAUGAGAUUGUGCAACUCCCGUUUACCAAAAGAACACUUUGUGUGCUACCAAACGUCACAACGUAACUGGGUGAUUAUAAAGGUUCUCUACAGGUGUUUCCGAAGGUACAUGUUGGGUUGGCAUAAUUCGAGAUUAGGAUUUGUCACUCCGAUUGUCGGAGAGGUAUCUUUGGGCCCUCUCGGUAAUACUCAUCACAUAAGCCUUGCAAGCAUGUAACUAAUGAGUUAGUUAUGAGAUGACGUAUUACGGAACGAGUAAAGAGACUUGCCGGUAACGAGAUUGAACUAGGUAUUGGAUACCAACGAUCAAAUCUCGGGCAAGUAACAUACCGAUGACAAAGGGAACAAAGUAUGUUGUUAUGCGGUUUGACCGAUAAAGAUCUUCAUAGAAUAUGUAGGAACCAAUAUGGGCAUCCAGGUCCCGCUAUUGGUUAUUGACCGAGAAUGGUUUUAGGUCAUGACUACAUAGUUCUCGAACCCGUAGGGUCCGCACGCUUAACGUUUCGAUGAUAGUUUUAUUAUGAGUUUAUAAGUUUUGAUGUACCGAAGUUUGUUCGGAGUCCCAGAUGUGAUCACAGACAUGACGAGGAGUCUUGGAAUGGUCGAGACAUAAAGAUUGAUAUAUUGGACGACUAUAUUCGGACACCGGAAAGGUUCCGGGAGUUUUCGGAGAAAACCGGAGUGCCGGGGGGGUUACCGGAACCCCCCGGGAGAGUUAAUGGGCCACAUGGGCCUAGGUGGGAAGAGAGAGGUGCGGCCAGGGUGGGCCGCGCGCCCCCUCUCCCUCUAGUUCGAAUUGGACUAGGAGGGGGGGCGGCGCCCCCCUUUCCUUCCCCCCCUCUCUUCCUUCCUUCCCCCUCCUAGUAGGAGUAGGAAAGGAGGAAUCCUACUCCUACUAGGAGGAGGAUUCCUCCUCCCUUGGAGCGCCCCAAGGGGCUGGCCGGCCUCCCCCUCCCUCCUUUAUAUACGAGGGCAGGGGGCACCCCAUAGACACACAAGUUGAACUACGGAUCGUUCCUUAGCCGUGUGCGGUGCCCCCUUCCACCAUAUUCCACCUCGGUCAUAUUGUCGCGAAGCUUAGGCGAAGCCCUGCGCCGGUAGAACAUCAAGAUCGUCACCACGCCGUCGUGCUGACGGAACUCUCCCUCGACACUCGGCUGGAUCGGAGUUCGAGGGACGUCAUCGAGCUGAACAUCUGCUGAACUCGGAGGCUCCGUACGUUAGGUGCUUGGAUCGGUCGGAUCGUGAAGACGUACGACUACAUCAACCGCGUUGUCAUAACGCUUCCGCUUACGGUCUACGAGGGUACGUGGACAUACACUCUCCCCUCUCGUUGCUAUUUCAUCACCAUGAUCUUGCUUGUGCGUAGGAAAAUUUUGAAAUUACUACGUUCCCCAACAUCUCUGCCUUCCACUGCAGCAAUUCCAGUACGGUACCGAGCUUUGUGUUGCCAUCUUCGCAAUUGGGGUACAACCCUUUUUUUUGGUCCUCUAGCAUGCGAUCGAACUUCAGCUUCUCCUUUUGACUUUUGCAUUGCGUCCUUGCAUCGACAAUGACCCGGCGGAGAUCAUCAUCAUCGGGCACAUCGUCUGGUUCCUCUUGAUCUUCAGCAGCUUCGCCUGUUGCAGCAUCAUCGUGCACAUCGUCUGGUUCCUCUUGAUCUUCAGGAGCAUCACCGUAUUCAGGGGCACAUAGUUGUCAUCGUACUCUUCUUCACCGUCUUCCAUCAUAACCCCUAUUUCUCCGUGCCUCAUCCAAACAUUAUAGUGUGGCAUGAAACCCUUGUAAAGCAGGUGGGUGUGGAGGAUUUUCCGGUCAGAGUAAGACUUCGUAUUCCCACAUAUAGGACAUGGACAACACAUAAAACCAUUCUGCUUGUUUGCCUCAGCCACUUCGAGAAAAUCAUGCACGCGCUUAAUGUACUCGGAGGUGUGUCUUGAACCGUACAUCCAUUGCCGGUUCAUCUGCGUGCAUUAUAUAAUGAAGUGACCAAAUUAAUAGAAGUUCAUCAUCACAUUAAAACCAAAGUACAUACAUAGUUCUCAUCUAACAACAUAAAGCUCUGCAGAGCAUCUAAAUUAAUUAAACCAUACACUGAAACUAUGUAAAACAUUUCAAUGCGAAAACAAAUGCAACCAUAAUCGCAACCAAUGUAACAACUGAUCCAACGGCAUAAUGAUACCAAGCCUCAGUAUGAAUGGCAUAUUUUCUAAUCUUUCUAAUCUUCAAGCGCAUUGCAUCCAUCUUGAUCUUGUGAUCAUCGACGACAUCCCCAACAUGCAACUCCAAUAUCAUCUUCUCCUCCUCAAUUUUUCUAAUUUUUUCCUUCAAGAAAUUGUUUUCUUCUUCAACUGAAUUUAACCUCUCGACAAUAGGGUCGGUUGGAAUUUCCGGUUCAACAACCUCCUAGAUAAAUAAAAUCUAUGUCACGUUGGUCGGCAUAAUUGUCAUAAACAAUAAAUGAACCAAUAGUUAUGAAAAGAUAAUAUAUACCACAUCCGAAUCAUAGACAGGACGAGGGCCGACGGGGGCGGAUACCAAAACCAUCGCACUAUAUAAGAUGCAAUAAUAAAAGUAAGAAAAUAAUACAAGUAUCUAUCUAAACAUACAAGUAAGAAUAUUUUUCCUUUCAGAAAGAAGAUAAGAACAAGAGGCUCACCACGGUGGUGCCGGCGAUGAGAUCGGCGCGGGUGAUCGACGACGAUGAAGACAAGGACGGGGCGUGACGGACCGCUAAACCUAGACAAAUAUUGAGGAAAAUGGAGCUUGGCGGUCGAGCUUGGAGGGGAGAAAGCUUAAGUAGUGUGGCUCGGGCAUUCCAUCGAACACCUCGUGUGCAUAGGAGGUGAGCUAGAGCACCACAAAGCUCUCCCCUCGCCGGCCACGAAAAACAGAGCACUGGGAGUGCUCUGCUCGCGAGCGGGGGGUAUAUAUAGGCACCACCAUUGGUCCCGGUUGGUCGCACGAACCGGGACUAAAGGUUGGCCUUUGGUCCCGGUUCGUGCCACCAACUGGGACCAAUGGUGGUGGGCCAGGAGCGAGGCCCAUUGGUCCCGGUUCGUCCCUCCAACCGGGACCAAAAGGUCCAGACAAACCGGGACCAAUGGCCCACGUGUUGGGUUUCGUAGUAAUUUCAAAAAAUUUCCUACGCACACGCAAGAUCAUGUGAUGCAUAGCAACGAGGGGAGAGUGUUGUCUACGUACCCAACGCAGACCGACUGCGGAAGCGAUGACACGACGUAGAGGAAGUAGUCGUACGUCUUCACGAUCCAACCGAUCAAGCACCGAAACUACGGCACCUCCGAGUUCGAGCACACGUUCAGCUCGAUGACGAUCCCCGGACUCCGAUCCAGCAAAGUGUCGGGGAAGAGUUCCGUCAGCACGACGGCGUGGUGACGAUCUUGAUGAACUACAGCAGCAGGGCUUCGCCUAAACUCCGCUACAGUAUUAUCGAGGUAUAUGGUGGCAGGGGCACCGCACACGGCUAAGGAAUAGAUCACGUGGAUCAACUUGUGUGUAUAGAGGUGCCCCCUGCCUCCGUAUAUAAAGGAGGAGAGGAGGGGAGGCUGGCCGGCCAAGGAGGGGAGGCGCAGGAGAGUCCUACUCCCUCUGGGAGUAGGAUUCCCCCCAAUCCUAGUCCAACUAGGAUUCCUCGGAGGGGAAGGGAGAGAGGGGGGCCGGCCACCUUCUCCUAGUCCUAAUAGGACUAGGGGAGGGGGAAGUGGCGCAGCCACCUUGGGCUGCCCCUUUCUCCUUUCCACUAAGGCCCAUGAAGGCCCAUAUGGCUCCCGGGGGGUUCCGGUAAUCCUCCCGGUACUCCGGUAAAAUCCCGAUUUCACCCGGAACACUUCCGAUGUCCAAACAUAGGCUUCCAAUAUAUCAAUCUUUAUGUCUCGACCGUUUCGAGACUCCUCGUCAUGUCCAUGAUCACAUCCGGGACUCCAAACAACCUUCGGUACAUCAAAAUGCAUAAACUCAUAAUGUAACUGUCAUCGUAACCUUAAGCGUGCGGACCCUACGGGUUCGAGAACAAUGUAGACAUGACCGAGACACGUCUCCGGUCAAUAACCAAUAGCGGGACCUGGAUGCCCAUAUUGGCUCCUACAUAUUCUACGAAGAUCUUUAUCGGUCAGACCGCAUAACAACAUACGUUGUUCCCUUUGUCAUCGGUACGUUACUUGCCCGAGAUUCGAUCGUCGGUAUCCAAUACCUAGUUCAAUCUCGUCACCGGCAAGUCUCUUUACUCGUUCUAUAAUGCAUCAUCCCGUAACCAACUCAUUGGUCACAUUGCUUGCAAGGCUUAUAAUGAUGUGCAUUACCGAGAGGGCCCAGAGAUACCUCUCCGACAAUCGGAGUGACAAAACCUAAUCUCGAAAUACGCCAACUCAACAUGUACCUUCGGAGACACCUGUAGUACUCCUUUAUAAUCACCCAGUUAAGUUGUGACGUUUGGUAGUACCCAAAGUGUUCCUCCGGUAAACGGGAGUUGCAUAAUCUCAUAGUUACAGGAACAUGUAUAAGUCAUGAAGAAAGCAAUAGCAACAUACUAAACGAUCAAGUGCUAAGCUAACGGAAUGGGUGAAGUCAAUCACAUCAUUCUCCUAAUGAUGUGACCCCGUUAAUCAAAUGACAACUCUUUUGUCCAUGGCUAGGAAACAUAACCAUCUUUGAUAAACGAGCUAGUCAAGUAGAGGCAUACUAGUGACACUAUGUUUGUCUAUGUAUUCACACAUGUAUUAUGUUUCUGGUUAAUACAAUUCUAGCAUGAAUAAUAAACAUUUAUCAUGAAAUAAGGAAAUAAAUAAUAACUUUAUUAUUGCCUCUAGGGCAUAUUUCCUUCAGUCUCCCACUUGCACUAGAGUCAAUAAUCUAGUUCACAUCGUCAUGUGAUUUAACAACAAUAUUCAUAUCUGUAUAUGAUUAACACCCAUAGUUCACAUUAUCAUGUGACCAACACCCAAAGGGUUUACUAGAGUAAAUAAUCUAGUUCACAUCUCUAUGUGAUUAACACCCAAAGAGUACUAAGGUGUGAUCAUGUUUUGCUCGUGAAAGAAGCUUAGUCAAUGGGUCUGUCACAUUCAGAGCCGUAUGCAUUUUGCAAAUAUUUUAUGUCUACAAUGCUCUGCACGGUGCUACUCUAGCAAUUGCUCCCACUUUCAAUAUGUAUCCAGAUUGAGACUUAGAGUCAUCUGGAUCGGUGUGAAAACUUGCACCGAGGUAACUUUUACGACGGGCUCUUUUAUCACCUCCAUAAUCGAGAAAUAUUUCCUUAGUCCUCACUAAGGAUAUUCUUGACCAAUGUCGAGUGAUCUACUCCUAGAUCACUAUUGUACUCCCUUGUCAAAUACUGAGCAAGGUAUACAAUAGUUCUGGUACAUAGCAUAGCAUACUUUAUAGAACCUAUGACUGAGGCAUAGGGAAUGACUUUUCAUUUUUUCUAUUUUCUGUUGUGGUCGGGAUUUGAGUCUUACUCAAUUUCAUACCUUUGCAACACAGGCAAGAACUCUUUCUUUGACUGUUCCAUUUUGAACUAUUUCAAAAUCUUGCCAAGGUAUGUACUCAUUGAAAAUCUUAUCAAGCGUCUUGAUCUAUCUCAAUAUAUCUUGAUGCUCAAUAUGUAAGUAGCUUUUACUGAGGUCUUUUCCUUUUAAAGAACUCCUUUAAAACACUCCUUUAUGCUUUGCAGAAAAAUUCUACAUCAUUUCUGAUCAACAAUAUGUCACUCGUAUAUACUAAUCAGAAAGGCUAUAGUGCUCCCACUCACUUUAUUGUAAAUACAGGCUUCUCAAAAAGUCUGUAUAAAACCAUAUGCUUUGAUCAACUCAUCAAAGCGUAUAUUCCAACUCCGAGAGGCUUGCACCAGUCCAUAGAUGGAUCGCUGGAGCUUGCACAUUUUUUUAGCACCUUUAGGAUUGACAAAACCUUCUGGUUGCAUCAUAUACAACUCUUCUUUAAUAAAUCCAUUAAGGAAUGCAGUUUUGAUAUCCAUUUGCCAGAUUUCAUAAAAUGUGGCAAUUGCUAACAUGAUUCAGACAGACUUAAGAAUCGAUACGAGUGAGAAAAUCUCAUCGUAUUCAACACCUUGAACUUGUUGAAAACCUUUCGCAACAAGUCGAGCUUGGUAGAUAGUAACACUACUAUCAGUGUCCGUCUUCCUCUUGAAGAUCCAUUCAUUUAACAUGGCUUGCUGAUCAUCGAGCAAGUCAAUCAAAGUCCAUACUUUGUUCUCAUACAUGGAUCAUAUCUCAGAUUUUAUGGCCUCGAGCCAUUUCGCGGAAUCUGGGCUCAUCAUCGCUUCUUCAUAGUUCGUAGGUUCAUCAUGAUCUAGUAUCAUGACUUCCAGAAUAGGAUUACCGUACCAUUCUGGUGCGGAUCUUACUCUGGUUGAUCUACGAGGUUCAUCAGUAUCUUGAUCUGAAGUUUCAUGAUCAUUAUCAUUGGCUUCCUCACUAACUGGUGUAGGUGUCACUGAAACAGUUUUCUGUGAUGAACUACUUUCCAGUAAGGGAGCAGGUACAGUUACCUCGUCAAGUUCUACUUUCCUCCCACUCACUUCUUUCGAGAGAAACUCCUUCUCUAGAAAGGAUCCAUUCUUAGCAACGAAUGUCUUGCCUUCGGAUCUGUGAUAGAAGGUGUACCCAAUAGUCUCCUUUGGGUAUCCUAUGAAGACACAUUUCUCCGAUUUGGGUUCGAGCUUAUCAGGUUGAAGCUUUUUCACAUAAGCAUCGCAGCCCCAAACUUUAAGAAACGACAACUUUGGUUUCUUGCCAAACCACAGUUCAUAAGGCGUCGUCUCAACGGAUUUUGAUGGUGCCCUAUUUAACGUGAAUGCGGCCGUCUCUAAAGCAUAUCCCCAAAAUGAUAGCGGUAAAUCAGUAAGAGACAUCAUAGAUCGCACCAUAUCUAGUAAAGUACGAUUACGAUGUUCGGACACACCAUUACGCUGUGGUGUUCCGGGUGGCGUGAGUUGCGAAACUAUUCCACAGUUUUUCAAAUGUACACCAAACUCGUAACUCAAAUAUUCUCCUCCACGAUCAGAUCGUAGAAACUUUAUUUUCUUGUUACGAUGAUUUUCAACUUCACUCUGAAAUUCUUUGAAAUUUUCAAAUGUUUCAGACUUAUGUUUCAUUAAGUAGAUAUACCCAUAUCUGCUUAAAUCAUCUGUGAAGGUGAGAAAAUAACGAUAUCCGCCACGAGCCUCAGUAUUCAUCGGGCCACAUACAUCGGUAUGUAUGAUUUCCAACAAAUCUGUUGCUCUCUCCAUAGUACCGGAGAACGGUGUUUUAGUCAUCUUGCCCAUGAGGCACGGUUCGCAAGUACCAAGUGAUUCAUAAUCAAGUGGUUCCAAAAGUCCAUCAGUAUGGAGUUUCUUCAUGCGCUUUAUACCGAUAUGACCUAAACGACAGUGCCACAAAUAAGUUGCACUUUCAUUAUCAACUCUGCAUCUUUUGGCUUCAACAUUAUGAAUAUGUGUAUUACUACUAUCGAGAUCCAACAAACCAUUUUCAUUGGGUGUAUGACCAUAGAAGGUUUUAUUCAUGUAAACAGAACAACAAUUAUUCUCUAACUUACAUGAAUAACCGUAUUGCAAUAAACAUGAUCAAAUCAUAUUCAUGCUCAACGCAAACACCAAAUAACACUUAUUUAGGUUUAACACUAAUCCCAAAAGUAUAGGGAGUGUGCGAUGAUGAUCAUAUCAAUCUUGGAACUAUUUCCAACACACAUCGUCACUUCACCCUUUAACUAGUCUCUGUUUAUUCUGCAACUCCCGUUUCGAGUUACUAAUCUUAGCAACUGAACUAAUAUCAAAUACUGAGGGGUUGCUAUAAACACUAGUAACGUACACAUCAAUAACAUGUAUAUCAAAUAUACUUAUGUUCACUUUGCCAUCCUUCUUAUCCGCCAAUCACUUGGGGUAGUACCUCUUCCAGUGACCAGUCUCUUUGAAGUAGAAGCACUUAGUCUCAGGCUUAGGACCAGACUUGGGUUUCUUCACUUGAGCAGCAACUUGCUUGCCGUUCUUCUUGAAGUUCCCUUUCUUUCCCUUUGCCCUUUUCUUGAAACUAGUGAUCUUGUUAACCAUCAACACUUGAUGCUCUUUCUUGAUUUCUACCUUCGUUGAUUUCAGCAUCAUGAAGAGCUUGGGAAUCGUUUUCGUCAUCCCUUGCAUACUAUAGUUCAUCACGAAGUUCUAGUAACUUAGUGAUGGUGACUAGAGAAUUCUGUCAAUCACUAUCUUACCUGGAAGAUUAACUCCCACUUGAUUCAAGCGAUUGAAAUACCCAGACAAUCUGAGCACAUGCUCACUAGUUGAGCGAUUCUCCUCCAUCUUUUAGCUAUAGAACUUGUUGGAGACUUCAUAUCUCUCAACUCGGGUAUUUGCUUGAAAUAUUAACUUCAAUUCCUGGAACAUCUCAUAUGGUCCAUGACGUUCAAAACGUCUUUGAAGUCCCGAUUCUAAGCCGUUAAGCAUGGUGCACUAAACUAUCAAGUAGUCAUCAUCUUGAGCUAGCCAGACGUUCAUAACUUCUGCAUCUGCUCCUGCAAUAGGUCUGUCACCUAGCGGUGCAUUAAGGACAUAAUUCUUCUGUGCAGCACUGAGGAUAAACCUCAGAUCACGGAUCGAAUCCGCAUCAUUGCUACUAACAUUUUUCAACACAAUAUUCUCUAGGAACAUAUCAAAAUAAACAUAUGAAAGCAACAACGCGAGCUAUUGAUCUACAACAUAAUUUGCAAAAUACUACUAGGACUAAGUUCAUGAUAAAUUAAAGUUCAAUUAAUCAUAUUACUUAAGAACUCCCACUUAGAUAGACAUCCCUCUAAUCCUCUAAGUGAUCACGUGAUCCAAAUCAACUAAACCAUGUCCGAUCAUCACGUGAGAUGGAGUAGUUUCAAUGGUGAACAUCACUAUGUUGAUCAUAUCUACUAUAUGAUUCACGCUCGACCUUUCGGUCUCUGUGUUCCGAGGCCAUAUCUGUAUAUGCUAGGCUCGUCAAGUAUAACCUGAGUAUUCCGCGCGUGCAACUGUUUUGCACCCGUUGUAUUUGAACGUAGAGCCUAUCACACCCGAUCAUCACGUGGUGUCUCAGCACGACGAACUUUGGCAACGGUGCAUACUCAGGGAGAACACUUCUUGAUAAUUUAGUGAGAGAUCAUCUUAUAAUGCUACCAUCAAUAAAAGCAAGAUAAGAUGCAUAAAAAGAUAAACAUCACAUGCAAUCAAUAUAAGUGAUAUGAUAUGGCCAUCAUCAUCGUGUGCUUGUGAUCUCCAUCUCCGAAGCACCGUCAUGAUCACCAUCGUCACCGGCGCGACACCUUGAUCUCCAUCGUAGCAUCGUUGUCGUCUCGCCAAUCUUAUGCUUCCACGACUAUCACUACUGUUUAGUAAUAAAGUAAAGCAUUACAUCGCGAUUGCAUUGCAUACAAUAAAGCGACAACCAUAUGGCUCCUGCCAGUUGCCGAUAACUCGGUUACAAAACAUGAUCAUCUCAUACAAUAAAAUUCAGCAUCAUGCCUUGACCAUAUCACAUCACAACAUGCCCUGCAAAAACAAGUUAGACGUCCUCUACUUUGUUGUUGCAUGUUUUACGUGGCUGCUACGGGCUUAAGUAAGAACCAAUCUCACCUACGCAUCAAAACCACAACGAUAGUUUGUCAAAUAGACUCCGUUUUAACCUUCUCAAGGACCGGGCGUAGCCAUACUCGGUUCAACUAAAGUUGGAGAGACAGUCGCCCGCAAGCCAUCCAUGUGCAAAGCACGUCGAGGGAACCGGUCUCGCGUAAGCGUACGCGUAAGGUUGGUCCAGGUCGUCUCGUCCAACAAUACCGCCGAACCAAAGUAUGACAUGCUGGUAGGCAGUAUGACUUGUAUCGUCCACAACUCACUUGUGUUCUACUCGUGCAUAUAACAUCAACAUAAAUAACCUAGGCUCGGAUGCCACUGUUGGGUUUCGUAGUAAUUUCAAAAAAUUUCCUACGCACACGCAAGAUCAUGUGAAGCAUAGCAACGAGGGGAGAGUGUUGUCUACGUACCCAACGCAGACCAACUGCGGAAGCGAUGACACGACGUAGAGGAAGUAGUCGUACGUCUUCACGAUCCAACCGAUCAAGCACCGAAACUACGGCACCUCCGAGUUCGAGCACACGUUCAGCUCGAUGACGAUCCCCGGACUCCGAUCCAGCAAAGUGUCGGGGAAGAGUUCCGUCAGCACGACGGCGUGGUGACGAUCUUGAUGAACUACAGCAGCAGGGCUUCGCCUAAACUCCACUACAGUAUUAUCGAGGUAUAUGGUGGCAGGGGGCACCGCACACGACUAAGGAAUAGAUCACGUGGAUCAACUUGUGUGUAUAGAGGUGCCCCCUGCCUCCGUAUAUAAAGGAGGAGAGGAGGGGAGGCUGGCCGGCCAAGGAGGGGAGGCGCAGGAGAGUCCUACUCCCUCUAGGAGUAGGAUUCCCCCCAAUCCUAGUCCAACUAGGAUUCCUCGGAGGGGAAGGGAGAGAGGGGGGCCCGCAGCCACCUUGGGCUGCCCCUUUCUCCUUUCCACUAAGGCCCAUGAAGGCCCAUAUGGCUCCCGGGGGGUUCCGGUAACCCUCCCGGUACUCCGGUAAAAUCCCGAUUUCACCCGGAACACUUCCGAUGUCCAAACAUAGGCUUCCAAUAUAUCAAUCUUUACGUCUUGACCAUUUUGAGACUCCUCGUCAUGUCCGUGAUCACAUCCGGGACUCCGAACAACCUUCGGUACAUCAAAAUGCAUAAACUCAUAAUGUAACUGUCAUCGUAACCUUAAGCGUGCGGACCCUACGGGUUCGAGAACAAUGUAGACAUGACCGAGACACGUCUCCGGUCAAUAACCAAUAGCGGGACCUGGAUGCCCAUAUUGGCUCCUACAUAUUCUACGAAGAUCUUUAUCGGUCAGACCGCAUAACAACAUACGUUGUUCCCUUUGUCAUCGGUAUGUUACUUGCCCGAGAUUCGAUCGUCGGUAUCCAAUACCUAGUUCAAUCUCGUCACCGGCAAGUCUCUUUACUCGUUCUAUAAUGCAUCAUCCCGUAACCAACUCAUUGGUCACAUUGCUUGCAAGGCUUAUAAUGAUGUGCAUUACCGAGAGGGCCCAGAGAUACCUCUCCGACAAUCGGAGUGACAAAACCUAAUCUCGAAAUACGCCAACUCAACAUGUACCUUCGGAGACACCUGUAGUACUCCUUUAUAAUCACCCAGUUACGUUGUGACGUUUGGUAGUACCCAAAGUGUUCCUCCGGUAAACGGGAGUUGCAUAAUCUCAUAGUUACAGAAACAUGUAUAAGUCAUGAAGAAAGCAAUAGCAACAUACUAAACGAUCAAGUGCUAAGCUAACGGAAUGGGUGAAGUCAAUCACAUCAUUCUCCUAAUGAUGCGACCCCGUUAAUCAAAUGACAACUCUUUUGUCCAUGGCUAGGAAACAUAACCAUCUUUGAUAAACGAGCUAGUCAAGUAGAGGCAUACUAGUGACACUAUGUUUGUCUAUGUAUUCACACAUGUAUUAUGUUUCCGGUUAAUACAAUUCUAGCAUGAAUAAUAAACAUUUAUCAUGAAAUAAGGAAAUAAAUAAUAACUUUAUUGUUGCCUCUAGGGCAUAUUUCCUUCACCACGUGGCCCGGCCGGCCCCCGGGGCUCAAGAACCAGGUCCAAUGCCCCCAUUGGUCCCGGUUUUGGAUUGAACCGGGACUAAUGGGCUGGACCGGCCUGGACCAUCGCCCCCUUUUCUACUAGUGUUAGUGCAUGGUGGUUAGUGAAGUUAGUGGAGCAUGGUGUGAGUGCGUGGGUCAUGGUUGAGUGCCAGACUUUGUAUAAAUUGUCAUUUGAGUCAAUGAGAAAAUGUAAGGCCGAGAGGGCCAGUGCAAAGAUGUAGCAUUUGUGGUAGCCAAGGGAGAUUAACUGGGCAAAGCUAUGUGUUCUUCCUUGGUCUAUGCGUGUGUGUGUUCUGUGUGUGUUCUCUCUCUGCGUCCUUGUGUUCAUGGGAGUGUUUUUGAGAGAAGCCAGAAGAGAGAGUUGUGAGAGGCAGCUCGAGGUAGAAGAAGGAGCGGUGCUGCUCCGAGAGGAGGCGGCGCCAACAAUUAUUGACGAAAGGGAUAUUAUAUUGCGCAAGGUAUAAUCAGACGCGUCGGGGAUGGAGCGACUACACACAUAUGGGAUCACAACUGGAUUAUGAGGGAAAGCUAUAAGAGGCCAAUAAAUAAGUUAGUGCAGAUCCCCCCUCAGAAACAUUUUAUGUAUACACGUUAACAUUUCCCAGAUAUAUGAUUAAUAUUUUUAGAAAACUUCUAUUUUUUAUGUGUACUUUUUAUACAUUUUGUAAUAUCAGAAAUAGUUUUUAUAGAAGGUUUAACAUUUUUCAAAUACAUGAUUACCUUUUUGUAAACUUAUAUUGUUUGACGUUUACUUUUUUCCAUAGACAUAGUGAGGGGUUAUAUCUAAGGAAUAGGCCCAAGUACAUGUAGGCACAACCAAAGGCCCAUGUUAAUCAAGGAUGUUCCACAAGACAAAUGGGAAAACACACCGGGGCUAAUGGAGCUACAAGGCCAAGGCAUCGGAUACAAGGGGAGAGUCAACUGUGUACAGUCAGAUUACACAACCCUUAACAGACAAGACUCAUCAGUUGGUCCACUAUAGGAAUCAGGUCAUUUGCCGUCAGCCGAGAACAGAUGCGAAGGCUUUGCCGUGAGCAAGUUGACGACAAACACAAUCAGCAAAGACUAUAUCAGCAAAGAGCUAAUUUGACGUCAACUUUUCAUCGCGCUGAUGACAAAGACUUUGCCGUCAAUUAAACUAUGUGUUUGUCGUCUGUAGAAAAAACACAAAUGGCAAAGAAAUUAAACAAAUGGUCAUUUUAUAAUAAUUUUUCGAAAUGUAUAUAGUGUAUUUUAAAAUGUUAAAUAUGUAUCAAGAAUUAUUUCAUAAAUAUACAGAAGAUGUACAACGUGUAUGAAAAUUAUGUAGACAUCAGAACAUAUUAUAGAAAUGUUAAUCUUGUAUUUAAAAAUGUUAAAUACACAUAAAUAAAAAUGUUUUUGAUGUACAUAAAAAAAUUGUACAUCGUGUGUGAACAAAGUAUGCAUUGAAAAAAAAAUCUUGUUGGAAAGAAAAUCUCGUGCUAUAUACGAAAAUGUAAAAGGUGUAUGAAAAUAAUUAGAUAUAUGCUUAACGAAAAAAAGGAAAGAAGGCGCAAAAAAAUCCGAUCAACACCAAGAUAGGAACAAGAAAACCUGAAGAAGACCAUUGAAAAAAAAGAAAAGAAUACAAGAAAGAGGAAAAAAAACAAAAAAAUGAAGAAGCUGAUGCAGAACAGGGAACUUGGUGAAAACGAAUAAAAAUUGAUGAAAACCGAGAAGAAAAACAAGAAAACUGAAGCAAAAAAAUAAUAAAAAUAUGUAAAAAAAUGAUGAAACAUUGCAAAACACUGAAAUACUAUGAAAACCAAAGGAAGAAAAGACUCAAAAAGAAGAACAUACAGCGAGCGAAUGAACAACAACUGAGUGAACGAGCGACCAUGCGAGAACACGUUAAUUGUCCGGCCCAUACUUGUGGACUCCAGAGGCGAGCCAGAAUAGGCGAGAUAUAGCUAUGACGAUUUGAUACCCUUCACAGCUUCACGAAUGCUAUAUCUCGCUCACAGCGAAAGUAUAUUUUGUCUGGCCUGAAGGUGCAAGAAUAGCAUCAGGUCGCUGUAAGGUUUGUGAUCCUACAAUGAGAGCUCCGAUAAGAUUAAAGUUCAUUUUUCUGACAACCUUUGGUCGUUCGUUCGCGCUCAGGUCGUCCGCUCACUCGAUUCCACGUACUAGUUUGGUUAUGUUGUUUUUUUCAUUUUGUUCUUUUUUUGUUUCUUCACUGGCUUUCUUUGGUUUUUAUAUCGGUUUUCUUUGUUUCCUUCACGUUUUAUUCCUGUUUUCCUUUUUACUGGUUUAUUUAUUCCUUUUUUUCUUUGUUUCUUUCUUGGUUUUCUUUGUUUUUCUUUCUUUUGAUGUCAAUCUUUUUACAUACGCAUUCAACAAUUUCCGUAUACAUCAGAAACAUUUUAUGUAUACACAUUAACAUUUCCCAGAUAUAUGAUUAAUAUUUUUGGAAAACCUCUAUUUUUUAUGUGUACUUUUUGAUACAUUUUGUAUAUAUCAGAAAUAUUUUUUUAGAAGGUUUAACAUUUUUUUAAAUACAUGAUUACCUUUUUGUAAACUUAUAUUGUUUGACGUUUAUUUUUUUCCAUAGACAUAGUGAGGGGUUAUAUCUAAGGAAUAGGCCCAAGUACAUAUAUGGCACAACCAAAGACCCAUGUUAAUCAAGGAUGUGGUCCACAAAACAAAUGGGGAAACACACGGGGGCCAAUGGAGCUACAAGGCCAAAGCAUCGGAUAUAAGGGGAGAAUAAGUGUGUACAGUCGGAUUACACAACACUUGACAGACAAGACUCAUUAGUUGGUCCACUAUAGGAAUCGAGUAAUUUGCCGUCAGCCGAGAACAGACUCGAAGUCUUUGCCGUCAGCAAGUUGAUGACAAACACAGUGAGCAAAGACUAUAUCGGCAAAGAGCUAAUUUGACGUUAACUUUUCAUCCGCUGAUGACAAAGACUUUGCCGUCAAUUAAACUAUGUGUUUGUCGUCUGUAGAAAAAACACAAAUGGCAAAGAAAAGCAUCUUUGCCAUCAGCAACUGAUUCACAUGUGUCGUCAGCCAGACUCGUCUUGUCACUAGCCUCAAACAUCACAGAUGGCAAAGAUUUUUUUUUAUUUUUAAAAUUCCGCGUCGACCACCCUAUCGCUCGUGCAGCCACCGCCUGGCCGCGCUCGCCUCCCUGCUCACAUGCCCUGCCAGCUUGCGCCGUUGCCAUCCGGCAGCGCUCGCCCGACCCUGCUCAUCGCCCGGCCGAGCUCGCCCGCCCUGCUCGGUCGCGUCGUCGGCAGCUGCCCUGCUUGCACACGUACCUGCCCAGCCUUGCUCAUACCGCCGGCCACCCUGCUCGCUAGAGAAAGGAAGGCGAGAGAGGAGGCUCGGGGGAGAAAGAAAAAACAAAGGAGAGAGAGAGGAUGCUACCACUGCCACAUCACCAAUACGCAUGAUCGAUCUGCAAGAUGUGCUCUCUCUUUUGCCGCCUCUGAUGGCAAAGUAUGUCUUUAUCGUCUAUAAUAAGAUUACAAACAGCAAAGUGAGCUCUUUGCCGUCUGUAAAAAAACGGACGACAAACAAACUUUGUUGUCAGCUGCCGACGGCAAAAAGUGCUCUUUACCGCAGCCUCGAUGAGAAGCUGAAGGCAAAGUGCCCCACAGACGGCAAAUUAGUUGAUUCCUGGGUGGUUAUGAGCAAGACAGGAGCAAUAACCCUAUCUACACUCGGUCAUCUGGAAGACAGGAGUAGUCGAACCAUCUAUAGUCGGCUACAUCUGAGGUUACCGUGACCCUUACGAUGCAUUCAUUAUCGCCGUUACUCAAUGGAGUAGUUAAAUACGUCAGUUAGCAAUAAUAAUAGCCACGAACAGUCAAUCAUGCAUGUGACCAUCAAUAGCAUUUAUACCAACCCAUUACGGCACUUCCUCCUAGCACACUCUAUAUAAGCCAGGAGUAGGACAUGAGAGUGAGGGAUGAACUCUCUCACAGUAUAACCUACGCCAAGAGCAGGAACACCACAUGAAUAGAGAUUACCUCCACCAACGUACUCCCAUCCGUUUUAUGUACCGAUCAAUGUAUAUAAUGGCUUCUACAUUCACAUCCCGUAGUAUUGUCAGGAUUAUAUCCACGACAGAAACUAUAUUUUGUUAUACAUCAAGAACAUUUUAUAUAUAAAUAUUUACAAUUUUUUAAAUACAUGAUUAAUAUUUUUUCAAACAUAUAUUUUGUAUGUCUCCUUUUCAUAAUCUUUGAUCCCUGGAAGUUUCAGAUUUUUUCCGAUUUGUUCUCAUUUUUUUAUGAAUUUACUGUUCAUGAGGGUGUAGGGGCACCCAGGAGCUGUUAGGCAUAAUAUUUCUGCUGUUGUUGUCAUCAUCAAGGGGAAUGAGAAGGGUUGAAGUUUUCGUUUUCUUUGAGGGGGAAAUCAGAGUUGGGGGCUGGAAGUGAGUGAUUAGGCCCAACAUAAGCGCUGUGUGUGUGUGUCUCGUCACGGGCACCAAAUUCGAACUGGGCUAUUGUUUUCUGAGAACCCAACGUCACAAGCCCAACCAACAGUCUGCCGAUCUGCAUCUUCCUCUCCUUGUCCAUCCUCCUCGUUGGCCGGACCGCCUCGAGCCACGGCCGCUCCCUGGCGCAGCGUCCUCCCCUUCCUCUCCACCCCCAAAUUCUCUUGUAUCCUCUUCUGAUCUCCUUCCUUACUUCCUCUCGCUGAUGGUCUCCACAAGAAGGUCUCCGAGCUCCUCGGAGGGUUCCGGCUGUACGUCGACGCAGCCUCUCCGACCUCCCCAUGAACAUGAGCUAUCGACCCUGAAAGCCUGUCUCUUCCAUGAUUCGAUUCACAUGAAUUCACGAGCCGCAUGAAUCAUGAAGGUCAUGGAGCAGAAUUCAGUCGUGUAGCCUGACAGUGAUGUACAUUUGUGGCUUUUCUGGCUAAAUAGCUCUGUACCCUAUGUGGAUGCCACUUCAAAUAAUCGUCAAAAUAAUUCUCCUGCACGCGUUAUACAAAUGGCGAAGAAGAAGUUCGCGUGGAACAUUUCGUUUCUUAUUGAUGUCCGAGAGAAAAGCUCCUAGGAAGUUCAUCCGCUCGGUGGAUUAUAAGUUUAAGUUUGUUACAACAUCCAAUCAUCCAUAUAAUCUCUGUGUUUCUUCUGUUUUCUACCAGUCAUAUAUCAUAUGUGCAUCAGAGGAAAAAUGCUUUCAGCAGUCAUGUUGGAGCGCGCAUACCAAGUUCCCACAUUGCAAAUAUGAUCCUAGCCAUUAAUAUGUUUCAUUCCACAUUUUCUUGAUCUAAUUUCUAAAUGAUUGGACAACCUGUUAUAGUCUUAUAGAAUUAUGAGCCGCCAAAUCCACAUUUCUCUUGGUCUAAUUUCUAAAUGAUAAUGUGCAGCAUCUAUCUCCUGGUGAACCUUUUUUUCUUGCGACUGUAUCUCCUGAUGAACCUAGUUUUCUCUAGGUAGCACAAUAAUUGUACUGGUUUGAUGUAAAGGACAUAAAUACAAGGGAAUAAAUUGGAAGCUUAUUUCAAAUUAACUAGCUAGUGGUGUUUGUGAAGUUCAAGAAAAAGCUGGUCUUUUUCUCGACAAAUAAUUUAACAUGCAAAGAAUCAAUAAAUGUAUUUGCAAGAAAGCAAACAUAAUUAACGAUAAAACUGGUUUAUUGUCACUGUAGACAACGGUAGUAGUUGGAACUAGAUACAAACCAAUAAAAAACAAGAUCUCAAAUCUCCAACCAAUAAAGAGUUCAACCCAAAUUUUACAGUAACACCAUUAUAUUCAAAUAGUGAUUAUUCCAACACAUGGAUAAUUAAUUAAGGCACCAGGUUGCCCUUGUGACUAGGAAAGACAAACUUAUGAACUUGCAAGCAUGGCAAUCAGAUCGACAUCCACACAAUGCCAAUAUGAACAUUGUCUUGAUACAACUUUAUUUUUAUUUUAUUUCAGAAUUUAAACAACUAGUAUGGGCGGGUCACACACGACAUUGUGUGACACUUUAUUUGUCACCGCUGCAUCGACAUAUCCAUCGACUAAACAACGGUGAUCCAACUAUAUAUUACUAGAGACCUUUCCUUAUUAGUAGGAACCAACUCCGGUGCCAACACCGAAUGGCACACUAGUGGUGGUUCUAUACAACGGCACAUUGACACGGCACAUCGUUGGCAGGGUACGGAGCGCAAUGGAAGUCAUCACCUCAAGCUGAGCUAUCUGGUGUGGCUGCAAAAAGGUACCUUGUGCCAAUUGUUGUUGUUGAGGUUGUUGCCCGAGUUGUUGUUGUGACUGCUGUUGGGGUUGGGAAACACAUUGGCCCAACUGUUGGGGUUGCUGCUGAGGAGUUUGGAUGGAACCCUGAACCUGUUGUUGUUCUUGCAGGAUGAUGGAGUAGAUGAUAGCACGGAUUGCCUCAUAGCGGGAUUGCUGGGGGAUUUGCGGCAACUGCUGGCAACAUUGUUGUUGCAUCACAUGGCAACUGCUCUGCUGCAACAUUUGCGACCUAGCAAGACUUUGUGGCAUUGCCACAGGGCUGCAUUGCUGCUGGAGGAAUACCUUGCAUGGGUUUAGCUGCUGCAAGAUAGAUGGAUGAACAAAUGGUAUUUGUUGUUGCGGUAGAACUAGUUGUUGUUGUUGCUGCGAAAAUGGUGGUUGUUGCGGUAGACUUGGUUGUUGUUGUUGCAAAAAUGGUGGUUGUUGCUGUAGUACUAUUUGUUGUUGUUGCGAAAACGGUGAUUGUUGCUGUGAAAAUGGUGGUAGUUGUUGCUGUGAAAAUGAUGGUUGUUGCGGUAGAACUGGUUGUUGUUGCUGCGAAAAUGGUGGUUGUUGUUGUGAAAAUGGUGGUUGUUGUUGCUGCGAAAAUGGUGGUUGUUGUUGUGAAAANNNNNNNNNNNNNNNNNNNNNNNNNNNNNNNNNNNNNNNNNNNNNNNNNNNNNNNNNNNNNNNNNNNNNNNNNNNNNNNNNNNNNNNNNNNNNNNNNNNNNNNNNNNNNNNNNNNNNNNNNNNNNNNNNNNNNNNNNNNNNNNNNNNNNNNNNNNNNNNNNNNNNNNNNNNNNNNNNNNNNNNNNNNNNNNNNNNNNNNNNNNNUGGUUGUUGUUGCUGCGAUAAUGGUUGUUGUUGUUGCUGCGAAAAUGGUGGUUGUUGUUGUGAAAAUGGUGGUUGUUGUUGCUGCGAUAAUGGUUGUUGUUGUUGUUGCUGUGAACAUGGUUGCUGUUGUGAAAAUGGUUGUGGUUGUUGUUGGAUGGGUUGUUGUUGUUGGUGGUGCGAUAAUGUUUGUUGUGGUGGUAAUGGUUGUUGCUGCGAUGGUCUCUCCAAACCAGGGAUGUGGCUAUUCUCCAUUUGUGCAAUGGCACUUGUCGCCACAAUGGCGAGGAGAGCAAAGAUGAGGAAGGUCUUCAUGGUGGAUUGGUGUUAACCAGUGUUGCUUGGUUUUGAUGCUUGUGCUUGUGAUGAUCUUUAUACUUCAUGCCUAUUUAUAGUAGCCCGGGCACCACCUCUUUUCUUCUUUGCAUUAGCUUUAAUAAUUCUGUUUGGAUGCAUCUAAAAUGAUUUUUGGUACAAUGUGUUAGGUUGCACUAGCUACACGCGUACUUUUGGAUUGAUCAUCAAAGUUGCUUUUUAGUUGUGCAUAUGAUCACACACAAAGUACAGAAACCUUGAUGUUUGGUACAUAUGACUCACCUUAUUCACUUUACAUGUCACACACUUAUCUGGAUAGUAUCACUUUUGCAACCGAGUUUGGAACCUUGUAUAGGCUGUCAUCCAUAAACAAGAAAGGCAAAACUUGUGUAGGACUAAGUUUGCAAUCGGAGGGUUCUUCUAGACUCGAUUUCUUUUCGUAAAACUAACUUUGUAUUUUUCCUCUAAGAUGAUAAGAUGAACCGACGCCUAUAGAGCAUGACAUGACUCAUCGAAUUCCCUUUACAUGUAAAGGAUGGUAAUUGCUUACAAGCUACUCCUACUAGCAUAUAUCCGGUUCCAAGCCUAGACACGUCAUCAUCAGUUUCGUCUAUUUUUUUAGAUAAAUCAUCAGUUCUAUCUAUUUGUGAAGGGUUUUUUUGGGGGGAAAUGAUAGUUUUUUUAUGCUAGGGGGGUUUUUUNNNNNNNNNNNNNNNNNNNNNNNNNNNNNNNNNNNNNNNNNNNNNNNNNNNNNNNNNNNNNNNNNNNNNNNNNNNNNNNNNNNNNNNNNNNNNNNNNNNNNNNNNNNNNNNNNNNNNNNNNNNNNNNNNNNNNNNNNNNNNNNNNNNNNNNNNNNNNNNNNNNNNNNNNNNNNNNNNNNNNNNNNNNNNNNNNNNNNNNNNNNNNNNNNNNNNNNNNNNNNNNNNNNNNNNNNNNNNNNNNNNNNNNNNNNNNNNNNNNNNNNNNNNNNNNNNNNNNNNNNNNNNNNNNNNNNNNNNNNNNNNNNNNNNNNNNNNNNNNNNNNNNNNNNNNNNNNNNNNNNNNNNNNNNNNNNNNNNNNNNNNNNNNNNNNNNNNNNNNNNNNNNNNNNNNNNNNNNNNNNNNNNNNNNNNNNNNNNNNNNNNNNNNNNNNNNNNNNNNNNNNNNNNNNNNNNNNNNNNNNNNNNNNNNNNNNNNNNNNNNNNNNNNNNNNNNNNNNNNNNNNNNNNNNNNNNNNNNNNNNNNNNNNNNNNNNNNNNNNNNNNNNNNNNNNNNNNNNNNNNNNNNNNNNNNNNNNNNNNNNNNNNNNNNNNNNNNNNNNNNNNNNNNNNNNNNNNGCCGCCACCGCUCGACAAAAAAGGUCACUUUUGUAGCUCCCCCGUCGAUUGCGGGCCGUACGUCGACGGCAGCCACUCCGACCUCCCCGUCAACACAAGGUAUCGAUCUGUUUCGUCUGUCUCUUCCAGCGAUUCAAUGCACAUAAAUCCGAGAGGCAGACCCAUCUCCAUGCUAGCUGCACGGAUCAGGAGGGUCAGGCAUCAGAAUUCAGCUGGGAAGCCUGACACUAAUGUACAUUUGUGGCUUUAGUAGCUGAAUAUAACUAUGUGUUUUCUGAGAAUUUCACUUCAAAAGUUCCAAUAAUCAUCAAAUUUCCGCCUAUGCGCGCUAAGCAGGUGGACCAUAUAUUUCUCAUGUCGACGAACGAAAAAACAAAACUCCACAACUAGAAGUCUAUGAUAUUGACACGGAACCGUGCUGUAGGGUCGCAAGUAAAAAUAUGAAAAGCAUGCCUAACACUACUAGGAAAAGGGCUAUAGAUGGAAUUGACACUAAUGACGCACCAGACAUGUGGUGCGCCAUUAGUAUAUACUAAUGGCGCACCAUCUUCUGAUGCGCCAUUAGUGUUGAAAUUACUAAUGGCGCACCCUGCCCACGGUGCGCCAUUAGUACCAAUUUUUUUUUGAACUAGUGCGCCUGUCCAAACAUACUAAUGGCGCAUCCGCUGGUGGUGCGCCAUUACUAGUUGUAACUAGUAAUGGUGCACCAGCCAGAGGGUGCGCCACUAAAGUUAUUUUUUUUAUUAUUGUUUUUAUUCCUUUUUUUGCAAAAGUACUAAUGGCGCACUCACACGCGGUGCGCCAUUACUAGUUCAAACUAGUAAUGGCGCACCGUGGCAGAGUGCGCCAUUAGUAUGUUUUUUUUUCAAAACUACUAAUGGCGCACCACCUGGUGGUGCGCCAUUAGUAACCUGGAUUACUAAUGGCGCAUUUGUUGCUGGUGCGCCAUUAGUAAGUGGGCAGCAACAAGAUAUUUUGGACAGCCUCUCCUCCCACACUCACUUUCUCCCCAUUUCAUUCUCUCCACCGCCUCCUCAUGUCUCGGGUGCCUCCUCUUUUUCACCUCAUUUCCACCAUAGAUUCAUUCAAAUUAAGUGGUUAAGUUACCUUGUUUUGCUAGGUAAGUAAGGGGGGAAGCUAUAUUUAUGUUGUUCUCCCUACAACAGUGUGCACAUGCACUUUUUAUGGCCUAGCUAGAUCUAUGUAUGUUCGUGGUGUUGCAUAUGUUUGUGGUGUUGCAUAUGUGUUUGUGUUUGAAGGUGUACCGGUAUUUGAAAUGCGAUAGUUGCCAAUAUUUUGCCGGAAUGUUGAUUCAUUUCCGUUUCGGCGAGAAUUUUGGCAUUAAGCAUUCUUUUUGGUCCUAUUUUUAGGGAAAGUCAUGCCAAAUUUUUUCUUGGUUCUAAAAUAUCGUUUUGCUCUACCCCGCAGGCGACCAUGGUCCGCACGAUGACCGAAGGCAUCGUGAAUAGGUUUUUGAGGUCCACGAAGGCCGAGAUGCUUCAAAAGAACGAGACGGAGAUAAGAUGUCCGUGUCGAAGAUGCAAGCUGAAUAGCCUUAUUGCGGACCCGGAUUCCGGGCAGGUGCGGGACCACCUGCUCUUGCGUGGUUUCAUGGAUGGCUGUCGGUGGCAAGGUGAUGAAGAUGACUACGAAGUCGUCCAUGGGGGCCGGGCAAGAAAUGAGGAAGGGCAGCAAGACAACCACCGCGGCUCGGGGGGGCGAGAAGAAGAAGAAUCCCCAGGAGAUGAUCACGACGGUGAUGUUGUACACAGUCAUCAUGUAGAAGAUGCAGGACAUGAUGAUGAUGCCGGCGGAGCAGACGACGCUGGACCAUCGAUGGGCUGGGUGCAGGACCCUCAUAUUCAAGAGCUGCUUCUCAAGCAGACGGAUAACGCAAGAGCUGCCGCCCGAGAGAAAGCCAAGAUGGAUCAACUUGAGUUAGACGCGGUUACUCCAUUGUAUGAAGGAUGCAGGCCCGAGGAUACCCGCCUGAAAGUAACACUCAUGGCUCUGGAGAUGAAGGUAAAACACAAAAUGACCGACGCAUGCUUCGACGAGAACAUGUCAUUCUGGCACGAACGUCUUCCCAAAGGGAACAAGUGCCCGACCAGUUUGGAGGAGGCGAAGAAAAUCGUGUGUCCUCUGGAUUUACCGCACGUGAAAUACCAUGUGUGCAUGAACAAUUGCAUCAUUUAUCGGGACGAGCACGCGGAGUCUACCAUAUGUCCGGUGUGCGGUGUCACUCGAUACAAGAAGGGGAAGAAAGCUCCUCGAAAAGUGGUGUGGUACUUUCCGAUCACUCCUCGUCUGCAGCGGUAUUUCGCGGACCCUAAGGUAGCAAAGCUCCUGCGUUGGCACGCGGAUAGGGAGGAGAAGAAGCGAGAAGAUGACGCAAAUGAUACGGAGAUAGAUAAAAAAGACAAGAUGCUGAGUCACCCUAAGGAUGCGAGCCAGUGGCAAGCGUUGAACUUCGAAUAACCAGAAUUUGGGAACGAUCCAAGGAACAUCGUGCUGGGCGCGAGCACCGGUGGAGUCAAUCCGUUUGGCAGCCAGAGAAGCACACAUAGCACCUGGCCUGUGUUUGUGUGGAUGUACAACCUUCCCCCCUGGUUGUGCAUGAAGAGGAAGUACAUUCACAUGAGUAUGCUAAUUGAAGGGCCGAAACAACCAGGGAACGACAUCAAUCUGUAUCUGGGGCUGCUGAAAGAGGAGCUUGACACGCUGUGGAAAACGCCCACCAAUACGUGGGACGCCGCAGAGAAAGAAUAUUUCCCUAUGAGAGCCGCACUGCUCACGACGGUGCACGACUAUCUCGGUUACGGAUAUCUUGCGGGGCAGGUAGUCCACGGAUUUUCUGGAUGCGUAAGGUGCAUGGAUGACACAACGUAUCGCCAGCUAGAUAGAGACGAUGACCCGUGGAGGAAACGCAAGGAUCUGUUCGAUGGUGAAACCAAACCCCGAAAACGCCCGUGUACGAGGAGCGGCGAGGAAAUAGACAAGCUGUUGAAAAAUCGGAAAGACUGCCCACUGCCGGGAAAGAAGCAAAAGGUGCCAGAGCCGGGAAAGAAGCGAAAGGCGCCAGAGCCGCUGCUGAAGCUAUGGAAAACGAGGUCUGUUUUCUGGGACUUGCCGUACUGGAAGAUCCACCGUGUGCCUCACAGCCUUGAUGUCAUGCAUAUCACGAAGAACGUGUGCGAGAGUCUGCUUGGUACCCUGCUCAACAUGCCAGAGAGGACCAAAGAUGGGCCGAAAGCGAGGGCAGACUUGAAAUCAAUGGGCAUCAGGCAGGAGCUUCACGCUAUAUAUGAUGAUGAUGAUGAUGAUGAUGAUGAUGAUGAGGCGAAGCAGGACACAGAAAGUCGUCGCAAAGGCAAAAAGGCCAAGAAGACCGGAAAUGACUACCCUCCCGCGUGCUUCACUCUAAGUCAGGAGGAGAUCGAGCAGUUUUUCACCUGCCUCCUAGGAGUAAAACUUCCUUACGGUUACGCGGGGAAGAUAAGCAGAUACCUAGACCCAGCGAAGCAGAAGUUCAGCGGGAUGAAGUCUCACGAUUGUCACAUGCUGAUGACGCAGAUACUUCCAGUUGCAAUCCGUGGGAUCAUGGACGCGCACGUCCGUGAAACGCUAUUUGGCCUAUGCAACUUCUUCGACGUCAUCUCUCAGAAGUCGAUUGGCAUGAGGCAACUCAGAAGGCUACAGGAAGAGAUCGUGGUGAUACUAUGCGAGCUUGAGAUGUACUUCCCGCCCGCAUUCUUCGAUGUUAUGGUGCAUCUGCUGGUCCAUAUAGUGGGGGAUAUCAUCCAACUCGGGCCGAUGUUCCUGCACAGCAUGAUGCCGUUCGAAAGGAUGAAUGGUGUCAUCAAAGGAUACGUUCGCAACAUGUCACGUCCAGAAGGAAGCAUAGCCAGGGGCUUUCUGACCGAAGAGUGCAUCUACUAGUGCGCGAAUUAUCUAGGCAUCGAGAACCCCGUUGGUCUGCCCGUCAACAGGCACCUCGGCAGGCUCGCUGGAUGGGGUCACCGUGAGGGUCGCCGCGAAAUGCAUGUCGACUUCGAGGGUCGACUCGCCGACUUUGAAAGAGCAAACCUAGUCGCGCUACAACACAUAGACGUGGUCGAUGCUUGGGUGGUAGAGCACAAAACCUUUAUUAAGAAGACGUACAAUGACCGAGGCCAACAGAGGACGGACGGAGAUAUACUCAAAGAGCACAACUCAUGUUUCACGCGUUGGUUCAAGCAGAAGCUUCUGUCGUACCCUUUACAUGAGGAUUCUUCCGCGGAAGAACAACUCAUAUUCGCCUUGUCACAGGGCGCCGAGCACAACCUGAUGACCUAUGAGGCGUACGAUAUCAACGGCUACACAUUCUACACCGAGGCCAAGGACAUGAAGAGCGAUGGUUAUCAGAACUCCGGGGUAACGAUGGAAUCCUACACCGGUAACGACAAGGACAGAUACUACGGAAGGAUCGAGGAGAUCUGGGAGCUGAGCUAUGCUGGAGAGAAGGUCCCGAUGUUCCGUGUCAGAUGGGCCAAGAACGUCAUAAAAGAAGACCGGUAUUUCACCACCAUGGUUAUACCCGGAGCCAAAUCCAAGACCGCGAGCGCAAACGUCACCGCGAAAAAUGAGCCAUGGGUACUGGCUUCCCAAGUGGACCAAUGCUUCUUCAUUACCGACCCGCCAAAGCCCAGUCGUGUUGUCGUGAGGAGAGGCAAAAGGAAGAUCAUCGGAAUGGAUGGAGUAGCCAAUGAGCAAGACUUCGACAAGUACGGCGACCCGAGGAUCGAACAUGACGACGAUGAUGAAGUAGCAGCAUACACCACAAGAAGAAGCAGGACCACCCUACCUAAAGGACGUCCGUUCCACAGAAGAACUCCAUUUGCGAAAAAGAAGGGCAAGAAGAUUGUGAACAGAUAGCUAGCUAAGAUCGAUUGUAUUUAAAUCGUAGCCUUCAUUUCUCGAUUGUAUUUCAUGGGUACUUUUUGAACUAUCAUGAAUAUUUUUAAAUUUAAUGGACACUCGAUCUCGAUCCCCCUCCAUCUCGAUCGCUAUCCCACCUCGCCAGAUCCGGUCCCCCUCGCCGCCAAGCACCCCCCCAGCCCACCGGCCGCCGCCGCCGACCCCCCGCACCCUCGAUUCCCCUACCCAACCGCCGCCGCCGACCCACCGCACCCCGCGCACCCUCCCCUGCUCCACCAGCAUUACUGUUUGAUGAUAUUUUUAAAAAAAUUAUUAUUGUCUUAUAAAAAAAUAUUACUGUUAUGAUUUAAACAAGUUUGAACAUAUUUAAACACAAAUAAGUAUCAAACAGGUUUUUAAAUGCUAAAAAAAAUUUGUGGAGCCUGGGAGUCGAACCCAGGACCUCCUGGUGUGAGAACUGGCUGCUGACCAGUCGAGCUAGUAGAGGGGACUUGAUGUGGAUCAAUUCUGGUGGUACAUAACCUGUUGGCUCGAGUUGAAAUAAAAAAAAUACUAAUGGCGCACCACGGUGAGGUGCGCCAUUAGUAUGGAUGUACUUAUGGCGCACCGAGGGGUGGUGCGCCAUUAGUAUUGUGCCCGAUCCCUUCCCUCUCCCCCUUCGCCCGAUCCCCCCUUCCCUCUCCCCCUUGCCAGUUCCCUCUCCCUCGAUCCACCGCCGCCGCCGCCGCUGCCCUGACCCACUGCGCCGCAGCCGCCCACGCGCCCCCGCCGCCUCCCUCUCCCCUUCCUCCCCCUCGAGCCCGCGCCGUCCGCCCAAACCUAACCCGACGCCGUCCGCCGCGCCCGCUCCACCGCCGCCGCCCUGCCUCUCCGCCCUCUCCCUCCCUCNNNNNNNNNNNNNNNNNNNNNNNNNNNNNNNNNNNNNNNNNNNNNNNNNNNNNNNNNNNNNNNNNNNNNNNNNNNNNNNNNNNNNNNNNNNNNNNNNNNNNNNNNNNNNNNNNNNNNNNNNNNNNNNNNNNNNNNNNNNNNNNNNNNNNNCGUCGCCCCGCCGCCCCGACACCACCGUCCGUCGCCCCGCCGCCCCGCCGCCCCUCUCGCAGCAAGGUAUGCGGCUGGUUCGUCCCCUGUCAUGGUUCUCUCUUCGUUUAUUUUCCUGAAAUCUCUGCUGUUCAUUGGCCGAUGAUGUCUUACAAGUAAAAUAUCUGGCAAACUUGUGCUGUAAACUGUACAUUGCUGAGGCUGUGGGCAACCUGUUCUUCUCUUUGCCAUACUAGUGCUUUUGUUCAUUGGCCGAUGAUGUCUCUGUUGGUUUACGUCCCCGGCAAAUUAGGUACCCGUGAACCAUUUAUAGGCCCAACUUUCUUACUCUCAAUGACCACAAUGUGCUUAUUUUGUUAGGAUUGUGCAUUUGCGCGAUUUGUGCAGUGCUUAUUUGUUGGCACCUCACCAGCUUUCAAAUUCAGCAUUUGUAACACAGUUCAAUUUGAUCUAAGGGCCUAUCUUGUCUCAUUUCCAACAUGUAAUAAACUUCCCCCGAGGCCAUAGAUGAGAAUACUUCUUUCAGUACAUUUUGCUGAUUUCUCACUGUUGAAUACUUCAUUUCUGUUUGCCUUUGGCCAAAGAUGCAUUCAGUUCUUUCUGCCCUUAGCGGUUUGAUUCAAGUUUGUCAGGUUCUGUUAACUAAAAAGGUUCAGAUUCAGAAACAUUGUUGGACUACUAGGAAGUUGGACUACUAGGAACAUGUUUAGAUUCAGGUUCUGUUAACUAAAAAAGUUCAGGUUCUGUUAACUAAAAAAGUUCAGAUUCAGAAACCUGUAAUUUCUACUUUUAUGCCUCUGUUACUCCAGUCAAAAUUUUAUGUUUGAUGCCCAUGGUAGUUGAGCUCUCACCUCACCUCACGCAACAUGCAUGAUGCCACAAUGUCUAGUAUGUACUGCCAAGCAACUGGCAAAUAAUUAUAACUUAGAAUAAAUAAAUCUGAUGUAAGAUAAGCAUGGCAUGAGCUUUAAUUAAAUAGCAUAAUACACGUUGGUAGUCCAUCUCUCUCAAAAAAAAUACAUGUUGGUAGCAGAAAAAAAUACAUGUUGGUAGCAGAAAUUUUUUUGAGCCCUUAUUAGCUACUCACACUAUUUGCCCCGCAGUUUCUCUGUCAUGGCUACCAAGUGAUUGACGGUGGGCUAGAAAAAUAAAACCACCAAACUAUCAGUAAAAGAUGUGAACCAACAUCUUUCAUUGUUAUGCAUAUCAAACACCAAGGGUUAUUUUCACUUAAAGUUUUAGAAUGGGUGCAUUACAAUUCAGUCUGAUAUCUAAUAAGACACUCUGGGCUGAUAUAAUUAUGGAACAGAACCAACCAUGAUAAAUAAAAGGUGAUGUUGUCUAUGCAUUACCAAAAAUGUAUCUUUGUGAACAAAUAAAUUGGUACCAACAGCAAUGCCAUCUUACUGUAGAAUUAGAAUACAUGGACAUGAUCAGCUCAGCUCCCAAACUGCCAUUCAUCACAUCAAUUUCCCCUUAUGUAACUCCAGUCAAAAUUUUAUGUUGGUCUACCUAGUAGAUGCCCAUGGUUUGAUUUUAUGUUUGUUCCUAUCAAUACAAAUGCUGAGCUAUGUUCCAUUUUUACUGUUCUUUGUGAUAGUUUUUGCAACUUUACUUCCCAUCUUAAGGCAAGCCCCAUUUUUACUGUUCUUUGUUAGCAGAGCUGCUUGUUUCUAAGAACUUUGAUACUAUUUGGAUCAAAGUUAAAUGAGCACAUAGAUGACAAAAAAAAGUUCAGAUUGUAAAAUGUUCAUUUUGCUGCUAGUGCCCAUUUUGAGUAAUUGCUUAGAGGGAUGAUCCUGUGUGAGCUGGUGGAGUGAUUUGUUUUCUACAUAAAGCUCUUUAGUCAGGCUGGUUUUCGUGAAAUACACAUGAAGCUUCACCAGCUCCUGUGGGUGUGGGAUCCAUGUGACAUGUGACAUUGCAUCCAUGUCCACCUGGGAUAAUGAUUUUGCAUGUACCCCGAGAGGCCCUUAAGUUUGCCGGAAUGUCGAUUAACUUCCGUUCCGGCAAAUUCGGGUACUCCAUAUGUCCUAUUUUCAGCAAAGGUCAUGCUGAAAUUUUCCGUGAAUUUUAGCAUGACUUUGCAAAAAAUAGGACAUAUGGGGUACUUGUGACUAAUGCAUGGGCCGGGGUAUCAUAGUAGUUAAUUAAGUAGGAUCAAGUGCCCCGGCGUACUUGUGACUGAUGCAUGGCUUUUAGGGUGCCUCGGUGUUGAUAAAAACCGAAAUGAUGAAAGCUUAGGCUUUUAGGGUGCCUCGGCGUCGAAAAACCCUCAAUGAUAAAAGCUUAGGUCUUAGGAUGCCUCGGUGUCGACAAACCCUAAAUGAUGAGACCAUGUCUUGUUCCUUGACAAUAACCAACUUUUUGACCAAACUUUGUUUCUAUUUAGAGAGAAACAUGGCCCACAACGAUGAGGCCGGGGGUUCGGGCGGCAAGGCAUUCUGGGAGCUGUCCCAGGAGAUGGAGGAACAACCUCACUUGUAUGAGGCCGCCGCCUUCCCCACCGAUCCUGAGACCACUGAUGGUGCCGCCGAGGAUGACCACACUGAUGCCACCACUGAUGGUGCCGCCGAGGAUGCCACCACUGAUGAUGGCAGCGCCCGCACAGAUGGCAGCCAACCGAAGAGGCAACGGAAGGACCGACGCCCGAUCGUGCUCCUCACCCUCAAGGAGGAAGUUACUGAAGUGGACUCCAACGGGUAUCCAACGGCGCCCGAACGAAUAGUCAAGGGGUACUCGCUUCAGCUCGGGUGCAUUGUCCGGAGCACCGUCUCGAUCAACACCGAGAACCUGAGGCAUCCUGACCGAGGGAAUUUGUGCCACCUCCUCUUCACGAAGCUGCACGAAUGAUACAAGUUCCCCGCUGAAUUUGCAAACAGAAGCCUCAAAGGGAAUAAAGUGAACAAUGCUGCCCUCACGAAGAUGAGCAAGGCCCUGUCUACUUGGAAAAGCAAUGUGAAGAAAAUGAUCGAUAAAGGUGAGAGUUAUCAGAAGAUCAAGGAGAAAAAUCCUUCGAUCACCAAAGAUGACUACAAUGACUUCAAGAUCAAUUGCUCGAGCACCGCAAGCUCCCAAUCAAGUGAGUGGGGGAAACAAAUGCGGGAGCUGAACAUAGGGGAACACACACUCGGUCCCGACGGUUACAGAGUGGCGGAGCCUAUAUGGGACAAGGAGGAGGCGGACCGUGCCGAGCAAGGCCUACCGCCCCUCUUCGAGAAAUACAGCGGUAACAAGCAGACCAGGAACUUUGUCAGGGCCCGGUACAAGAAGGACCCGAAAACAAAGGAGCUUACCACGGAUCCGAAGACCAGGCAGCUUGAGCUUGUUCUGGUAAGGAAUACACCCCCGCGUAAUUAGCUCCAUAUGGUUGCAUUCUAAUUAAUGAAGCCAAAUUUCUAAAUGGUUCACAUUCCUUCCGCAGGCGACUGAAAGCAGUAGCGCGGGGUCGACUAAGAGCAACCCUUGGGACACCACUCUAAAUAGGGCGAUGAAUGUAAUGAAGAAGAAGGAUAAGCUCAGUAAGCCGACGUCAGCUGGUCGUGUGGCCGGCAAAGGCUUGUCGACAAAAUGGGGGUCAUACUAUACCGCUGGUGUGCGGAAGGAGAAAAAGACCAGCUCGGAAAGCCAGGCGCGAGAGGAUCAAGAACUCAAGGAACAGGUGACGCGGAUUCCGGAGAUUGUCCAAGAGCAAGUGGAACAAUGACUCGGAGCGACGAUCACCGCCAUUGUGCCUACCUUGAUCUCGGGGUUGAGUGCGUGGAUUGCGGGCGGCCAACAGGGGCCGCCCCCGAUUCCUAGCUUCACGGCCAGCAACUCGCAUAAUGCGAUGGCGGGGCCAUUGGUGCCUCCGGCGGAGGCGGCAUUGGUGUCUCCGACGCCGGCACGGGAGCUUAAUGCACCCGGGUGUACGCCGGCCGGCACCUCUGCAGCAAGCGGCCCCUCCGUCAACUGCACGCCCGCCGUUGGCGGUGCGUCGACAUUAGCCGAGCUCGACGCCAUCAACACGGUAACUAAUUAAGCCUCUCUCGGCCGAGGACUUCAUCUCCUUGCCUUUGACUAGGCAUCCCUGACGCCCUACAUGUUUUCGCAGGGCGCCGCCGACGUUCCGUGCACUCUCCUCCACUUCGUGAACAACGAGUUGGUCGAUGUCGCCAAGGGCAAAAUCGUUCAACCGGCAACCCCUUGUUCCACGGUACCCAGAUGCCACCCAACUUGUUUAGGGUUCAACUGGUUCGGGUGUUGCCAGGCUGCGACGACUUGUUACCUCUGAUUCGACCCGUUGGGGCCGACGAUGAAGACGUGAUGACCCUCAGCGCCUGCCUGAGCUGGCCCCUAGUUUGGCCGAAGAGCCAGAUUCGUUUGGGGGCGGGGGACACCACCCCAAAGACAACACCGCCAGUCGUGCUGGUGCCAAGUCGGCCCCAUGGCAAGACCGCCGUAACGGUGCCGGACAUCCCUAUGCCACUGGAUCCAAACAUGCAUAUGGCACAGGAUCAGAAUGACGACGACAACGACGAUGAUACAUUUGGCAACGUCGAUCAGUACUUUGCCGAUCAUGGGUACGAUGGCGACUUCAUGGGGCCUCCUUCUCAAGAACCAAACCCAACAAAAGACGUGUGCGAUCUAGCUGGUACCGCAGAGAAGCCAAGUUGCAACAGGCGCCGUCUGGCGUUCAGCUCUCAGGAGACGCCUCCAGCUGCCGACUUCACCGAUCCUCAGAUAGGCGAGGUGCGAAAUAUUAUCAGCCCCAACACACUCAAGAAGGCGGUCUGUGAGCAGAACUCGGUCCCAUUACAGGAGAAGAAGAAGGCACGCAAAAGAAAGACUAAGAAGGGUGCGAGCCAGCCGGCACCGAGUACGAUCCGUGCUCAGGACGGGCCACCUUCACCGCAGGAUAUCUCGAGGAGGGUGCAUGUGGCGGGUAGGGCGAUGCUACCGACAAAUAUGCUCAAUGCUGCAACCGGUGCUAUGCGGAGUCUGCAUGACAGUGUUCUUGCUUUGGAGAAGCGGCGUCUCAGAGAGAAGGAUGUGGCAUACCCGGUUUUCGCGGCCAAGGUGCCAAAGGGCAAGGGCUUUGUGGAUAACUCCAUCGGGCGUACGAUCGUCCUGCGUUUUGAUGACAUCCACGCUAUGUUGAACCUUCAUCCGCUGCACUACACCUUCGUUCGGCUAUUUUCGCUGAGUAUGGAGAUGCGGAUCAUUCGCGACAAGACCCCGGACAUCGUGAUAGUCGACCCCUUCUACAUGCGUGCCAAGAUCUUGGGCAGCGCUGGGGACCGGCAAGUCGCGAGUUCUUACCUCGAAGGCAUCAUUCUGGCAAACCAAGAUAAGGAUAACUUCCUCGUGCCUUACUUUCCCGAGUAAGUCCUCCCCUCAACCGGCCCGUAACAUAUGAAUUCUUACAUUUCGAUCGUUUUUCUUUUAACAUUCCGUGUUUUUUGCAGUGACACACGUUGCACGCUCAUCCUCCUAAGCCCCAAAUAUUCCAUGGCCACAUAUUUCGACCCGGACUGUUAGUCGAACGUAGACUACACAAAUGUCAAGAAGGUUCUUGAUGAUGUUCUCCCCGGCUAUGCCAAAUCUGGAGGCACCUUCACCAGGCCUAAUCGUAAGUACGGCAAGCAUGUUUUCUCCCACAAUACGAUGUUCUACUGCGUCAAGCAGCCGCCUGGUGGUCAGAAGGGUGCCUACUACGCCAUCCAUCACAUGCGGGCGAUCGUACGGGACCAUCAUCAACUUCUGCUACCGAGUAAACUCAAAGAUUGGGCAAAGAGCGUGUCGGCAAUCGAGGACGCGGACCUCCGACAAGAAUUCUUUCGCAUCCAGUCGGAGUUUGCGGAAAUCAUCCAUCAAGAUGUCCUUCGUACCUCGGGGCAGUUCUACCUCAACAAUCAACCGUCCAAUAGUGACAUCGACAUAAUGCUACAAAUGCAGGCUGACAACGACCGUUAUUUCAUGACUCCCACGAUAGACGGCGGCUUCAUCCACGCUCCGGUCCCUUGAGUCGAGUCGAAAGCAGUGAUGCUGUGUCUAGUUCUGAAACAUCGAUUGGCUCAUGUUGUAAUUAAACUUUAAUGAACUUGUAGUAUGUCUCUUUGGUUUCGAGAGUCGUUCAACUUAGAUGUAAUCGAUGCUAUUAAUGUCUUGCUUUUCUCUUCCGAUUGUUCUGUUGCAUACUUAUAUAUUGCUUAUGUAUUGUCUGUGAAUUGGUACUAACGUUUCGUUUGGCUAGUGCAUAGCGAUGCCGACGUAUGUCGUGUACAAGGGUAAGGUUCCCGUAGUCUACGAUGACUGGGAGGAGUGUCGGAGACAGGUUCACCGAUUCAGCGGUAACAGUUACAAAGGGUACACCACUAGGGCCGAGGCCGAAUCUAGAUACGCCCGCUAUCUAGCGGGAGAGGGGAGGGAGCGUUGGAGGAACCGGAUGAAGACGAGUUUCAUCGUGAUGAUGCUCAUCGUGAUGACCGCAGCUCUCUUCUAUGUGAUGGUAGUUUAGAUGAUCGAUAUCGACUUGUAAUGUGAAGACAAACUCGCUACUCGCGGUCUCGAGACUUGUAAUAUAAUGUUCUAUCUUUGUUCGGUCUUUUUAAUUCGGAGACUAAUAUGAUGAAUUGUAUUCGGAGACUAAUAUGAUGAAUUGUAUUCAAAGACUAAUCUUCUAUUGUAUUCGAUGAAUCUGUUGUUGAUGUGUGCUGUCUAUAUUUUGUCAAAUUAUACAUUUUGUAACCUGUGCAAAAAACAGAAAAUAAAAAAUAAAAAAAACCUAAUAUUCAUACUAAUGACGCAUCACAUGAUAGUGCGCCAUUAGUAUGACAGUGCAUACUAAUGGCGCAUCACUGGGCAGUGCGCCAUUAGUAUGCCGCGGUUACUAAUGGCGCAUCCAGCGGUGGUGCGCCAUUAGUAUGCCAAAGCACCUGGGUAUACAUGGCCCCUGGGAGGCAUACUAAUGGCGCACCCUUGCCUAUACUAAUGGCGCACGCGCGGUGCGCCAUUAGUAUACCAGAUACUAAUGGCGCACCAGGUGGUGCGCCAUUAGUAAAAAUUACUAAUGGCGUGCUAUUAAUGGCGCACCACAGAUGCGCCAUUAAUGGCCAUUUUAGGUGCGCCAUUAGUAGGGGUUUUUCUAGUAGUGUAAUAAGCGAGAUGACGCAGUUCCUGACCGCCCCGCUACCACUACUGGUUCCAGCGUGGCGUUUGAAUUAUGCCGCGCUAGAUGCCUUUUGUCCAGCGAGGAACAAGUGGGGUCAAGCGUGCUUUGGCAAUUCCCGCCGUCAGAAGACUUCCUUGUAGUCCGGUGUAGAGGUGAGGUUGUAGGGAGAUGCAUCGACUAGGAAGGAGUGGCCACAUGAACGAGCAUAUGUAUGAUGUGAUUAAGUCUCUCGAUCGGGUAUCUGGUGCCUUACGUACGGUGUCUUAUUUUUGUCAAGCUAUGACAUCUUUCAGUUUGAGUGUCUGAUAUUAGGGUUGCAUACGUUUUGUUAUUCAGUUGCCUGUUGUCAACUCUAUGGUUAUAUCACCUCGAUGUGUGAGUCAAUGUGUUUGAACCAAUGUAGAGUUUCAUGUGAAUGUUACAAGUGUGAUUGAUAUCUUCAUGUUAUAACCGCAGUUGCCUUGGUAAGAAAUUGAAAGAGCAAACCGUUAUCGUGUUAGGAAAAAAGUCAUCGCUCAAUAUAAGUUGCUUCUCUAGAACAACCACACCUUUCCCUCAAAAAAAAGAACAACCACACCUUGUGAAAGAAGAUGGCAAACACCCAAUUAUGUCUGGUUAGAUAUGGGCAUGGCUAUGGGUAGCUUAUAGCGACACGGAAGCUAGCAUCGCCUGAAGAAACACCCGGAUGGGCCGGCCUAGAGACAAAUUUCUUCAUUUCUACCCUUAGUUUUGUUUUUCUGCCCUUUUUUCUUUAUAUUUUAUAUUUUUCCCGACAUGUUCACUACUUGAUGCUCAACUGGGAUCUCAUCUGAUGCGGAGCAUCCUAUGGACAUCACCAUGUCAAGAGUCCGUUCGGCAAGUGACACGUGUGACAUCUACUUCUCAUACAUAAAGGUGAAUCUUCUCCUUUACACGUGUUUACUUGACCCCUUCGAGGAUGGUAUACUACUUGACACUUCUCCCGUGUGCAUGCAUAGGUAUUGUCGGAGCUUCAUGGAUGUCGAGGAGGAGUGCAAGCGCCAAGGAAUGACUACACCGUCCGCGAGGGAAGCAUGGAAGAGAAGGAGGAAGAGAACCUGGCUACUCCAGAACGAGCGGUACUACUGCCCACUCCAAGCGGUACUACCGCCGAGGCCACCCAAGCGGCACUACCGCCCAGCAUCCGCCCUUCUACUGCUCAACCCGACAAACUCCAGUGAUCGAGCGGUGUAAGUCCGGUACUACUGCCCCUCCAAGCGGUACUACCGCUCAAGCGGUACUACCACCCAUGAGUCCGGUACUACCGCCCUGCCUCUGCCCAGCCGUGGGCCUUUGGCCUUGUAUCCCUCUCCCACUUACCCCUUCGUGGCUUAGACUAUAAAUAGGCCACCUCCACCUCCUUUCUAGGGUUAGCACAGAUUUAGCUCAUUUUGAGAUAGAGCUUUGCUCAUCCAUACGGAUCUACUCCUCGUGAGAGACCGCGACCUCUUCGGAGAAGAUCCAUCUUGGAUUCAAGACCCCCUCGUGGGAAGAUCCGUCUAGGAUACCAACAAGACCUCCUCUUGGAGAUGAACCUUACCUUGUAUCUUUCCCUUUGUUGUUCAUGUACCCUUGUGGAUCUUGUGUGUUUGAUUGUCUAGUGGAUGUGUGAUUGGACUUGUACUUGAGUGUUUCCCCUUGUGAUUUCUCUCCGUUCUUCCACGUGUUCUUCAUAGGGAUCCGCUCCAAACGUGAAAGAUCGGCCUCUAGGGUUCUAGCCUACAUCAUCUUGGAUCAGAGCAAGGUUGAUCACGGAUUUGGAGCCCCUACCCCUCUUUUUCUAGCCUUCUUUUGCUUGCUUUCGUCCUAAAAUCCCCACAAAAAAUAGCCCCAAUUUUUUUGUGAUUUGUUCGUUUGAUGAUUUUUUGUUGAUUUUGAUCCAUGGAUUUGCUUGGUUUUGAGUGGAUCUAGCAUCUCUCCAAGUUUCCCCACCUUCCAUCCACGAAAUCCAUCCAAUUUUGCCCCUGAAAUCAUCCUUUUCCGCCCCAAAUUCGCCCCGAUUUCGAUCUGUGAAUUUUCCCGACACGAGCGGUACUACCGCCCUCGAAGCGGUACUACCGCCCUCGAAGCGGUACUACCGCUGAGCACCACAAGCGGUACUACCACCCUCCCAAGCUAUGACGCCCGGAUAAUUAAGCUACAGUAAUCCCCUUCUAAUGGUGCCAUGUCAUCACAUUACUGUUGCUAAUCCUCGCUUGAUCCAAAUCUUAGUUCAAACUCAAAUUCAAAUUAAAGACCAAAAUUCAAAUUUCUCAAGCAUGCAAAAUAAAAUGUUCAAAGUGUGGCAAAUAAUCGCUGGAUAUUUGUCAUGUUGCAAACAACCUCUUUUGAAUUCUCAAAAUGCCCCUGGGAAUUAAUUUUUGGUCCAGUAGUAAAUUAAAUGGCAUUUGCAAAAUAAAGAAUUGUUUAUUUAACUCCAAUUGCCUCCAAACUUUAUGUGCCACUCCAAAAUAUUUGUGGCUCUGUCUAAGAUCGCCAAGGAAUUAAAAGGGCACUUCCCAUAUUUUCCCUAAGUAAAUAGUGUGCCCAAAAUAUUCUCUUAACCAUCUCUAUUUUUUUAAAUAAAAAAAGGCGAAGAAGAACUCCCCCGGGCCUCGGGCCACUCCCACUUACCAGCCCACCUAAGCCGGCCCACUCCCCCGCUCCCCUAGCCUAUAGGCCACGGCCGACCGAACCCUAACCCCGCAUGAUCCCCCCACUCCCCACUCCUCUCCCCUCUCGAUCCGAUCUGGAUCGGACCGAAACCGGCGCAAUUGGUCGAUCCAUGUAUAAAGUAAAAAUAACUAGGCCCAAUUGGUCGAUCCAUGACAGUUUUCGUGACGGUACUUCCACGUCUGUCAUGAGGGGGCUACCCUACUUGGCCCCAAAUGGAUCUUGCUAAUUGGUGACGGUUUCCGUGAUAGAUUUCUGGAACGUCACCAGAAAUCCGUCAUUGAUUAACAGAUUUCCGCACAAUCCCCCCACUCCCCACUCCUCUUCCCUCCUGAUCCGAUCUGGAUCGGACCGAAAUCGGCGCCGCGACGCCAACCGCCGUCGCUGGAGGCGUCCCCGACUCCACGCCGGGCCGCCCCGUCACUGGACCUCCUCCCCGUCGCCACUCGUCACUCGCUGGACCGCCUCGUCCCCACCAAUGCCGCCCCCACCCCAACGUCCCCGACGCCUUCGCCGUCGGCACCGCCCCAAUGUCGCCGCCACCCGACGCCGGCGCCCUCGACAUCGCCACCCCGAGCCCACUGCCACCCCUACGCUCCGCUAUGAGCCCCUCGCUGAUUCCCCCUCCUUCCCGUCGUCGUAGGUGGCUGCGCGCGUCGUUGGCCAUCGUGGCCGCGCUCCGGCCGUUCCCCAUCCGUGCGCUGGCCUCGCCUUCCUCGGAUUGCAAACAUUGAACUUUUCCCCUCGGGUUCAUCUAUCUGACAGACGUUCGGGACCAGAAAAACUUUCCCGGAUGUUUCCCCCUUCGCCAGUAUCACCUAGCACCGCGUUAGAACACUUCUAGCCCCGCUUAUUGUCUUGUUAUGCAUAUGUUUGCGUGUAUUUACUGUUUCUUCCCCCUCUUCUUCUCCGGUAGACCUCGAGACCGUUGCUGAUGCCCCUGUGGUCGACUACGUCGACGGCGACCCUCCUUGUCUGAGCAACGAGGCAAGCCCCCCCUUUGAUCAUCCCGAUAUCGCCCAUUCCAUUCUCUAAUGCUUGCACUAGAUUUUCUACUGUAUUUGAUUGCUCCUAUUCUGAUGCAUAGCAUGCUUUUCUACCUGCUGUUGUACCUUACCUGCUUAUCCUAAACUGCUUAGUAUAGGUUGGCUAGUGAUCCAUCAGUGACCCCCACCUUGUCUUUGUUGCCCCUGCUUCAUCAUUGACGACUCGAUCAACGUGAUCGACGACCGGAGCCUGACACCUCACAUCACAUCACGCCCCUUUUUGUUGCUCGACUCUGCAGAGUUACCAUCGAGUGCCGAGGGUGGAACCUCAUACAUCACUCCUUAUGAGAUCUCUGUAGUGUAGCUAUUCGGUCGUGGUCAUCGAGGGUGGUUCCUCCUUCACCAUUCCUAAUACGGCUCUGUCGUGCAACACCUCAAGUGUGAACCUCGAGGGUGGUUCCUCUUACGUUCACCUUGAUGAUUACAUCGAGUGGAAUCCACCGGGGGUGAUUCCUCGGAUUUUCCCCUUUAUGUCUGGACACACAGUUACCUUGACUUCACUUGAGACCGUUUUGAAAGCCGGGCAGGCCCGGAGAGCACCCGUGCGGUGUGACGGUGGCGGCUGGCUGUUUAGCGGUAUCACCCGGGAGGGGGUGAUAGCUCCGGACUUGUCCCGACAGCCGUCACUUCUUUUAAUAAUGCACUAACAGGUUUGGGUAUUUUUUCUAAGUUCACUAACCACGACGCUAGAAUAGUUAUGGGUCUCGAUGUUGCAGUAUCAGCCGAAGCUUUCUCAGACGUCCAGUUCAGCAUUGUGGCCGGGCCGAAUCAUGCCAUCCACUUCACGGGUGGUGCUGGUAUCCCCUUGCGCACAACGACCCAGAGUGCAACGGGCGAUGGGCCCAGACCCCGGAGUGCUUAGGAUGUAGACCGGCAGGGACCUCUCUGCUGAGCCUAGGUAGGGCAGCUACGUGUUGAUCUUCCGAGGCCGGGCAUUGACCCCAGAAAGGUGUGUCCUUCCAGAGUGAUCGAGCGUGUUGGGUAACGUGGUGCCCCCCUGCAGGGAAGAUUAUCUAUUAAUAGCCGUGUCCACGGUAACGGACGUUCAAACUUAUAUCUUGAUCUUAUACAACUACAAAUGGAUACUUGAGAUAUGUGGCUCCGGGAUUGCUUUCUCGCAGGGAGUCGAGGAAGGAUCUCUGGGCGUUGUUGUCACAACAUGCUUGUUAAUUAAACUGCUAUUCUUUACUCUUCUACAUGCUGCAAGAUGCUUGGAGCUACUUGAAGAUGCUAGUCUUCAUGAGGCUAGGCCUUCCCCUCUAUUCUGGCAUUCUGCAGUUCAGUCCACAGAUACAACCCUUCCAUUUGAUACCAAUGCAUACUUAGUAUAGAUCUGAUGCUUGCGAGUACUUUGGAUGAGUACUCACGGUUGCUUUGCUACCCCAUUUCCCCCUUCUUUCUUCUUUCCGGUUGACGCAACCAAAUGGUGGAUCCCUGGAGCCAGAUGCCAGCGCUGAUAGAUGCUACUAUGUGAAGAUCGCCGACGACCAGGAGUAGUUAGGAGGUCCCAAGCAGGAGGCCUUGCCUCUUCGAUCAUUGUUGCUUUUGUGCUAGCCUUCUUAAGGCAUCUUUGUUUAACUUAUGUCUGUACUCAGAUAUUGUUGCUUCCGCUGACUCUUGUGUAUCGAGCUAUGUAUUCAAGCCCUCGAGGCCCCUGGCUUGUAAUAUAAAGCUUGUAUUAUUUUGAUUUGUGUCUAUAGUUGUGUUGUGAUAUCUUCCCGUGAGUCCCUGAUCUUGAUCAUACACAUUUGCGUGCAUGAUUAGUGUACGAUUGAAUCGGGGACGUCACAAGUUGGUAUCAGAGCCGACUGUUUGUAGGAUCCCCCUUUCCAACUCCUUGGCUGAAGUUGAGUCUAGUCUUUGAAAAAAAUUGUUUUACUAACAUGGUUGUGUGGCUUACGGGCCCAUGUCGCCAUUGGGUGGUAUUAGGAUCUUUUACUCCUCGACCUUUACUCUGGGACUCUAAUCGCUCUUCUAUUCGGGUUAAAUGGUCUCGCAAACUAUAACUCUAGGUUCUCGUAAAUACUUUCUCCCGGAGAGCCCCUUCAUUCCAGAUGAUGGCCUGCUUCACCAGAUGAUUUCGAAGAUACCCUUCUGUAAUUUCCUGAGACUUUUGUACUCAUUGCUUUUGCAGUUCCCUACCUCUGAUAUAUCCUUACGGAUAACUUCAUACACUUGUCAUUCAUACAAUCAUUCCUAGUUGCUCUUGUUUUUACAAGAUACAUUGAAUUAUUCUCCGACUUUUAAGAAUCCCUUGCUUACUGCCCUGCAGUUCCUUGCCGCAUGAAUACCCCUACGGAUAAUUACUCGCACUUGCCGAGUAUCCGUUCGUCCAUAGUUGUUCAUGUGUUUCACAACAUUCUUUGGAAAGCUAUUUGAUCUUUUCAAAAAUCCUCAGUAGCCUAUUACUCUUGUUCCUCCUUACCUACUUACAGUAUGGUUACUUCCAUUUGUCUAGCAAUAUUCUUUAAAAUCCUUUGCGAUUGACAUCCUUACCCUAUUGUUUCAACAUGUGUGUGAAUGCACGCAAUCAUCAAUUGUUCCCUGGAAUUGUCCUUCUGGCUCAGACGUUACCCCGGACACGAGCUGGUGUUCGACAAAACAAACCUUGAUUGAUUUUGAAUCUAUGUCUAUACAACUUAAUUGUCUUUGAUCAGAGCCUCUGCUUUUGAUCCCCCAUUUUGAAAAUCAUAAUCCCCUUUGCAUUCGAGCAUAGAAUUAGUCAGUUGUUUCUAUAACCUGACCUCCUUGAAUUCUUUCUUCUUCUGGUUGAGUAUCGAUACUCACAUCAGAUCCAUUGUGGACCUCCAGGUCCUUUGUUGGUUUUUAUCCGACAGCAUCCUUCAUAUUCAGUAACCUUGUGAGCCUUUCCUCGAAUACACAAUGCCUUUGGUAAAUUGUAUCCCCCACUCUCGUCAACCAUACUCUGCUUCCGGGCUUGAGUUAUUUACUCGUGAAGUUUGUGGUAUAUGUUCCUAAUAUGUCCCUAUGGGUUGAAUCUAUGUCUUCCCUAAAUCUGUGUGAACCCUACGACUCAUACUCUACUGGUGUUAUGCCAGAUAAAAUCUCAACAGUACGGCUUCGUUGAAAAUGAGAAGUGAAUGAAAGGUUAUGCAUCGAAGAAGUGGGAGUCGACCUUGAGCCUUGUGUUCAUGCCCAUGGACACGAUGUGGAACUUAACAUGGAAGCUUCUUUUUAUAAUAAUAGCCCCCUAGCGAUAAGUACAUCUUGUAUCCAUGUGUGGUCCAUUGCAAUCGUGGUUCCGACCAUAUUGUUCUUGUUUGAUCCAUUUAUCGGACAAGUUAAAGUACUUGUCUUCUUCAAAUUGUUUCACAUGUUCAACCUCUACAUUGAUAUACCUUCGAGCAUUAUCCUCUGGUAUCUCGAGAAUAUCACGGAACUACAUAACUUCUUAUGAGUUCUUGAUCAACUAUUAUUUCUCACUGAUUCAAAUUUUUCACUAGUUGGGAGUUGUUAGACACUCGAGAAUACAGUUAACUGAUUCAAGUCUACGCUUUCCUUUCCAUUGUUCUGUUUAAUCUUUCUGGUAACCUAUCUUAUCUGAGAACUGAUAAUUCCCUGCUUAUGUAAACACCUCGGUGUACAAGCUCUGUCUGUAAGACCUUGUUACUAUUGUUGAGGACAUUCCGAUAGCUACCGAUGGACGAGAACUUUGCCUAUUGGUCCGCCUCAUCUUAACGAGCAGGAAAAUGGUUCUCUUUGUCCCUCUCCCUUGGUACCAACGUUGUUGCCAACAUAACUGACAAGUUGUCCUCUGACCUGCCUUGCUAUCAUGACCAUGCAAAAUGCUAGCGCCCUUCCUGCUUUUAACCCACAAGGUGGGCCUGAGGGAGUCCUGGACUAGGCGGUGUCCGGACAGCCGGACUAUCAUCGUCCGCCGGACUCCAAGACUACGAAGAUACAAGAUUGAAGACUCCGUCCCGUGUCUGGAUGGGACUUUCCUUGGCGUGGAAGGCAAGCUUGGAAAUACGGAUAUGUAGAUCUCCUACCAUUGUAACCGACUCUGUGUAACCCUAGCCUCCUCCGGUGUCUAUAUAAACCGGAGGGCUUUAGUCCGUAGGACACAACAUACAUUACAACAAUCAUACCAUAGGCUAGCUUUAGGGUUUAGCCUCCUUGAUCUCGUGGUAGAUCCACUCUUGUACUACCCAUAUCAUCAAUAUUAAUCAAGCAGGAUGUAGGGUUUUACCUCCAUCGAGAGGGCCCGAACCUGGGUAAAACAUCGUGUCCCUCGUCUCCGGUUACCAUCCGCCUAGACGCACAGUUCGGGACCCCCUACCUGAGAUCCGCCGAUUUUGACACCGACAUUGGUGCUUUUAUUGAGAGUUCCUCUGUGUCGUCACCAAUAGGCUCGAUGGCAUCUUCAACCAACAACGCUGUCCAGGGUGAGACUUUUCUCCCCGGACAGAUCUUUGUAUUCGGCGGCUUCGCACUGCGGGCUAAUUCGUUUGGCCAUCGGAGCAGAUCGAAAGCUACGCCCCUGGCCGUCAGGUCAGAUUCGGAAGUCUCAACUUCACGGCCGACGUCCGCGGAGACUUGAUCUUCGACGGGCUCGAGCCACAGCCAAGCGCGCCGCACUGUUACGAUGGGCAUGAUCUAGCUCUGUCGCCGAACAGUGCCUUGGUGGCCGCCCACGAAUCCGCUUCGGCCUUUAGUCCGGGGCCGAUCGCCCAGACCGAGGAACGGUGGAUGGACACCGCCUCGGGGGCUUCAACUUCCACGGCGAUGGAGCCGAACACUAAUCUUGUCCCUCGCAAAACUCGUGAUUCCGAGGUGCCGGACUCCUUGCCGGACUCCGAAGCUCCCACGCCCCUACCAACCGAAUCGGAUUGGGCGCCGGUUAUGGAAUUCACCGCCGCGGACAUCUUCCAAUACUCGCCUUUUGGCGACAUCCUGAAUUCGCUAAAGCAUCUCUCGUUAUCAGGAGAGCCCUGGCCGGACUAUGGCCAGGAUGGUUGGGAUACGGACGACGAAGAAAUUCAGAGCCCACCCACCACCCACUUUGUAGCCACUGUCGACGAUCUAACCGACAUGCUAGACUACGACUCCGAAGACAUCAACGCUAUGGACGACAAUGCCAGAGACGAACAGGAACCAGCGCCUACAGGGCACUGGAAGACCACCUCGUCAUAUGACAUAUACAUGGUGGAUACCCCAAAAGACGGGGACGGCGAAGAAACAGCGGAGGCAUAUUCUUUAAAGAAACAGCCCAAGCGCCGGCAUCAGCGGCGCUGCUCUAAAUCCCGCCACGGCAAGAAUGGAGAUUCCAGCACAGGAGAUAAUAAUACCCCAGAAAGUGCCGAAGAUAACCCCCUCCAGCAAGACUCAGCGCAGGAGGAUGCAGAAGCAAGCCCUCACGAGAAGGCGGCAGACAAAGAGGUUGAGGAUUACAACUAUAUGCCUCCCUCCGAAGACGAGGCAAGCCUCAACGAUGACGAAUUCGUCGUGCCCGAGGAUCCCGUCGAACAAGAGCGUUUUAAACGCAGGCUUAUGACCACGGCAAAUAGCCUAAAGAAAAAGCAGCAGCAGCUUCAAGCUGAUCAGGACCUGCUGGCCGAUCGAUGGACCGAGGUCCUCGCGGCCGAAGAGUAUAAACUCGAAUGCCCCUCCAAAAGCUAUCCAGGACGCAAGCUGCUCCCCCGAUUAGAGGAGGAAGCAUACAUACCUCCAUCACCAGCGCACGAUACGGCUGACCGACCACCCCGUGGUCGUGACAGAGAGGCAUCCAGGCCCCCAACCAAGACCGUACCCCGGCAUCGCUCGAAAAGUAUGAAGCCAAGAGGGAACGCGCCGGACUUGCGAGAUAUAUUGGAGGACAAAGCAAGGCAAUCCAGAUCCAUCUACGGAUCACGGGGGUGCCCCACGACCCAUGACGAAUACCGUCGCGCCGGAUACAAUAACCCCGGCCGGGCCGAACACAGCAGACAACGCUCUCUCGAGUUGCAUCGUGAUAUUGCUCAAUAUAGAGGCGCCGCACACCCGCUAUGCUUCACAGACGAAGUAAUGGAUCAUCAAAUCCCUGAAGGGUUUAAACCCGUAAACAUCGAAUCCUACGAUGGCACAACAGACCCUGCGGUUUGGAUCGAAGAUUACCUUCUCCACAUCCAUAUGGCCCGCGGCGACGAUCUACAUACCAUCAAGUACCUCCCACUCAAGCUUAAAGGACCAGCUCGGCAUUGGCUCAACAGCUUGCUCGCAGAGUCAAUUGGGUGUUGGGAAGACCUAGAAGCCGCAUUCCUUGAUAACUUCCAGGGCACGUAUGUGCGACCACCAGACGCCGAUGACCUAAGUCACAUCAUUCAGCAGCCAGACGAAUCGGCCAGACAAUUCUGGACACGGUUCUUGACAAAGAAAAAUCAAAUCGUCGACUGUCCGGAUGCAGAGGCCCUUGCAGCCUUCAAACAUAACACCCGCGACGAAUGGCUAGCCCGGCACCUGGGGCGGGAAAAGCCGAAAUCCAUGGCAGCCCUCACAUCAUUAAUGACCCGCUUUUGCGUGGGAGAGGAUAGCUGGCUAGCUCGCAGCAACAAUCUCCGUAAAAAUUCUGGCAGUCCAGACACCAAGAACAAUAAUGGCAGGUCACGUCGAAACAAAAACAAACGCCGCAUCAACGGCAAUGAUAAGGAGGAUACGGCAGUCAACGCCGGAUUCCGAGGCUCUAAACCCGGUCAACGGAAGAAGCCAUUCAAAAGAACCACUCCGGGUCCGUCUAAUUUGGACCGAAUACUCGACCGCUUAUGCCAGAUACAUGGCACCCCUGAAAAGCCAGCUAAUCACACUAAUAGAGACUGCUGGGUGUUCAAGCAGGCAGGUAAGUUAAUUGCCGAAAACAAUGACAAGGGGCUAAACAGCGAGGACGAGGAGGAGACCCGACCGCCGAACAAUAGAGGACAAAAGGGUUUUCCCCCACAAGUGCGGACGGUGAACAUGAUCUACGCGACCCAUAUACCCAAUUGGGAGAGGAAGCGUGCACUAAGGGACGUCUAUGCGAUGGAGCCAGUCGCCCCGAAGUACAAUCCAUGGUCCUCUUGUCCGAUCACUUUCGAUCGAAGAGACCAUCCGACCAGCAUACGCCAUGGCGGAUUCGCCGCAUUGGUUCUAGACACAAUCGUCGAUGGAUUUCACCUCACGAGAGUCCUGAUGGACGGCGGUAGUAGCCUGAACCUGCUUUAUCAGGACACAGUGUGCAAAAUGGGCAUAGACCCCUCAAGGAUUAAACCUACAAAGACAACCUUUAACAGUGUCAUACCAGGUGUGGAAGCCAACUGUACAGGCUCAGUCACACUGGAAGUGGUCUUCGGAUCCCCGGACAAUUUCCGGAGCGAGGAGUUAAUCUUCGACAUAGUCCCGUUUCGCAGCGGCUAUCACGCUCUGCUCGGACGAAUCGCGUUCGCAAAAUUCAACGCGGUGCCGCAUUGUGCAUACCUCAAGCUCAAGAUGCCAGGCCCUCAUGGAGUCAUCACGGUCAAUGGGAAUACGGAACGCUCCCUCCGAACGGAGGAACAUACAGCGGCUCUCACGGCAGAAGUACAGAGCAGCCUUUUAAGGCAAUUCUCGAGUCCGGCCAUUAAACGGCCGGAUACAUCAAAGCGCGCCCGAAGCAAUACCAACCAAGACCACCUGGCGUGAUCAGAGCACGCGUAGCAAUGCGGCCCCAACCCCCGCCCGCGCGUGAUUGCAAGAAUAACCCUCCGCGUACAUCAUUACGCUUUGGAGAUACCAUGGGCGCAGGGGAAGGGGCACGAUCACAACGGACCCAGAGUGCAGUUCGACCGCACCAGGGGCUCGCAAGUGUGCCCCCUUUUUUUUAUUGUUAUUUUCCCUCUUUGUGUACACAGGACUCCGUUAGCCAGAGGCCCUAUCCGGCGGUGAACCUGCCGAACUCAUGAUGCAAUAACCAGGGAAGAAAGAACGCUGCGACGAACACUCAGGUGGUCUCAAUUACAAGCAUUAAAUUCGAUUAUAUACACCAAGUCCGCAGCUUACCCUUGGAGGGGGACAUGUUUAAUUAGUCCAAAUCCCUUGCUUACCACACUAUUUGUAUCAGUCCGCACUCAUAGCAGACUUUCUUUCAUAAAUAAUGCAGCACCUUUUUGACUGCAAUUACAUUACCUUUUAUAUAUAUAUGCUCAUUACAUGACAUCUUGCACCCGUAUAUUUUGGUACGGCCUAAUACACCAGGGGCUUAUGUUCCCCACAUUAUGGUGUGAUAAGUCCGAACACUUUCGUAAGUGCAGCACCCCGAACUUAUAGCACUAUAUGAAUCGGCUCCGAAUCAUGUCUUGGGUCAAUAGUUGGGUUUGCCCGGCUCCCACGUUUUGGUGCCUUACGUUCCGUUCUGUCGGCUAAGGUGGCACUGGGAGAACCACUGCGAUUGCGCCCCGGUUGAGCCGGGCGAGCACCUCAGUGGAGAAAGCUAAAACUGACCGGCAUGAUAAGGCGAGAGACUGGUCGCUGUUCGAGAGGUUUUUUCGGGUCCUUAAAGACUCACGCCACUUCGAGCGAAGUUCCGGACCAUGUCUGACGAAGGCGUGGAUAGCGCCCCGGAUUCGGCCUUUCGGAUACCAGGGGCUUCGCCGAAAUUUAAAAUUAUAGAAUUCUAUGGCUAAGUGAGAGUGUUCAAGCAUUAUAAGUCCGGUCGCCUUGUUCGUUGUGUUGAGCACCUCCCUAGAUGGACCCAAAAAUGGGAAUAAGAGUGCUCAAGUUUAUCCCGAACACCCCAGCACUCGUGGCUCGGGGGCUGAAGCCAAUGACUUUCCAUCUCUCAGAUUUUAUAAACGGCCGCACAGAAGGUAAUAUUUUAAAUUAAAACAAGCGUUGCUCAUGGCGCAUCUGAACGAAGUUUUCAGCGCACAGGAUAAUACAUAGCGAGUUCACUCAAAGAUUACAUUUCUAGGGCACUCAUCCGCAAUAUCGCGGGCUCCCUUCAGGACAGUUUUAUAAUACAUUUCAGGCGUGCGAUACUCCUUGCCCGGCGGCGGUGGGUCUGUGAGAAGCUUCUCCGCAUCCAACCUGCCCCAAUGCACCUUUGUGCGGGCAAGGGCCCGACGAGCACCUUCAAUACAGGCGGAGCGCUUGAUGACCUCCACCCAGGGGCAUGCAUCCACCAGCCGCCGCACGAGGCCGAAGUAGCUACCAAGCAUGACCUGUUCAGGCCACAGCCGGACUAUAAGGCCCUUCAUGGCCUCUUCAGCUACCUUGUGGAGUUCGACCAGCUGCUUCAGCUGGUCGCUUGGGGGCACCGGAUGGCCUGCCUCAGCGUACUAAGACCAGAAGACCUUCUCCGUUGAGCUCCCCUCCUCGCCACGAUAGAAUGCGGCGGCAUCGGAGGCACUACACGGCAGAUCUGCAAACACCCCUGGAGAGCUCCGAAUGCGGGUAAUUGUCAGGUAGUUUACAUUAACAUGCUUGCUUUGCAUGAAAAAUGCCUUACCCGCCGCUAUCUUCUUUACAUCUUCAACCUCCUGAAGGGCCUUACGGGCCUCGGCCUUGGCGGACUUGGCACUUUCGAGAGCCGAGGCAAGCUCGGACUCUCGAGUCUUGGAGCCUCCUGCUUUUCUCGCUCCGCCCGUUCCGCGACCGCACUGCGUUCAGCCGCGGACACAGCCUCCUUCAGGGCUGCCACCUCGUUCGUGGCCCCUGCAAUACCCAUAUUAUCCUUGUUAAUUUUAUUGCAACCAAAAUCCUUUUCCGUAAGGUGACUAUUCAAAGCGGUGUUACUCACCUUCUUUGUCCUCGAGCUGCUUCUUGGCAGUGCCGAGCUCUUGCUCGGACCGCUCGAGAUCCUGCUUCAACACAUCGACCUCCGCCGUCAGUGCGGCAGAGGUCAGUAGCGCAGCCUGCAAACCCAUAUUGACAUAUUUUAAGCAACCCUGCGUAUAUCUUGUUAGAUCCUCAGUCCGGCUUUUCUUUCCGAACACCGAACUGAGCAUCAAGGGCUACUGUCUAUGCGGUAUUACAUUACAUAAUUUUAACUUCUUACCUCAAAGCCUGUUAGAAGGCUGCUGCAGGCUUCGGUCAGCCCGCUCUUGGCGAGCUAAACCUUUUGAAUCACCGCACUCAUGUUAGUGCGAUGUUUUUCCUCGAUGGAAGCGCCUUCAAGCGCCUCCAACAAGUUAUCCGGCGCCUCCGGUUGGACGGAGGUCGCCGGUGUCAAGGUCUUGCCCUUCUUUCGAAGGGGCCGCCCGCCGGACUCUAGAACCACUGCGGGUUCCGAUGUAGAGUCCGGCACAAAGUCUGGGAGGCAGCCUGACGACGCCUCCGGAGCCUCCUCCUGAUGGGUCCCUCUCUGGGAUCCCACCUCGGCGUCCCCGUCGGCGCGGGGGGUAGAGGCGGUCGGAAGUGAAUCCACAUCUAACGGGGCCAACGACCCGCUCGAUGAAGCGGGGAGAUCAUCAUCGGCCGGACUACGGACAGAACGCGGCAUUAGAAGGACACUACGCGACACGAAAGAAAUUGCAUAUCAUGGAUCCGGAUACUUACGAUCUUGUCGGACGCCUGGCCCUUGGAGGCCACUCAUCCUCGCCAACGGUGGUGUUGGCGAAACUGUCCGGGGGGAUAGUCCUCCCCCUCUUGGACCCUUCGGCCUCCCCUAUUGGGAAAGCCUUCCACUUCUUCUCUCCCUCCUCCGAGAGAGAGUCCUCUUCCUCCUCCUCGUCUUUGGGGGAGGAGUCCGCCUCGUCGUCGGACGCCUAAUUGCGGGAACUCUUUCGAGUCCCCGCGGCCACCUUCUUGGCCUUCUUCUCCGGCACCACGUGCGGUGCCGGAACCAGCAGCCCUGCUAAACGGGCGUUCUCUGGGUCUUCAGGCAUGGGAGCCGGGCUGAUGAGCUGCUUGGCCUUCUCCAUCCAUUCCUAUCAAAGGAAAAGAGAGAUUGAAACCCUCUUAGAAUCAGUUUAAUUACCACAAGUGUCCCGUAACGUGGUUGAAUCACUUACCUCGUCAGCCGGAUGCUGCGAGCGAAAUCCGUGAUCUUCCGUCGCGGAUGCGGGGGCUUCGGCGCCCUUAAACAGCACCCUCCAGGCGCCUUCGUAUGUCGUAUCGAAGAGCCCGCUCAGCGCCUGGUGCUGUUCCGGAUUGAACUCCCACAGAUUGAAUACCCGUUCUUGGCAUGGGAGAAUCCGGCGGAUGAGCAUGACUUGGACCACGUCGACGAGCCUGAGCUUAUUGCUCACCAGCUUCUGGAUGCAGGCUCGGAGUCCCGUCACCUCCUUCGGAUUUCCCCACAGCAAGCCCUUCUCUUUCCAGGAGGUGAACUGCGUGGGGACGCCAGAUCUAAACUCGGGGGCCGCCGCCCAUGUGGGCUUGCGCAGCUCGGUGAUGUAGAACCAACCCGAUUGCCACCCCUUGACGGAGUCCACGAAGGCCCCUUCGAGCCAAAGGACGUUGGGCAACUUACCCAACAUGGCGCCUCCGCAUUCCGCUUGCGUGCCCUUCACAACCUUCGGCCUCCCCUAUUGGGGAAGCCUUCCUCUUCUUCUCUCCCUCCUCCGGGAGAGAGUCCUCUUCCUCCUCCUCGUCUUCGGGGGAGGAGUCCGCCUCGUCGUCAGACGCCUGAUUGCGGGAACUCUUUCGAGUCCCCGCGGCCACCUUCUUGGACUUCUUCUCCGGCACCACGUGCGGUGCCGGAACCAGCAGCCCUGCUAAACGGGCGUUCUCUGGGUCUUCAGGCAUGGGAGCCGGGCUGAUGAGCUGCUUGGCCUUCUCCAUCCAUUCCUGUCAAAGGAAAAGAGAGAUUGAAACCCUCUUAGAAUCAGUUUAAUUACCACAAGUGUCCCAUAACGGGGUUGAAUCACUUACCUCGUCAACCGGAUGCUGCGAGCGAAAUCCGUGAUCUUCCGUCGCGGAUGCGGGUGCUUCGGCGCCCUUAAACAGCACCCUCCAGGCGCCUUCGUAUGUCGUAUCGAAGAGCCCGCUCAGCGCCUGGUGCUGUUCCGGAUUGAACUCCCACAGAUUGAAUGCCCGUUCUUGGCAUGGGAGAAUCCGGCGGAUGAGCAUGACUUGGACCACGUCGACGAGCCUGAGCUUAUUGCUCACCAGCUUCUGGAUGCAGGCUCGGAGUCCCGUCACCUCCUUCGGAUUGCCCCACAGCAAGCCCUUCUCUUUCCAGGAGGUGAACUGCGUGGGGACGCCAGAUCUAAACUCGGGGGCCGCCGCCCAUGUGGGCUUGCGCAGCUCGGUGAUGUAGAACCAACCCGAUUGCCACCCCUUGACGGAGUCCACGAAGGCCCCUUCGAGCCAAAGGACGUUGGGCAACUUACCCAACAUGGCGCCUCCGCAUUCCGCUUGCGUGCCCUUCACAACCUUCGGCUUGACGUUGAAGGUCUUGAGCCACAGGCCGAAGUGGGGCCGGAUGCAGAGGAAGGCCUUGCACACGACGAUAAACGCCGAGAUGUUGAGGAUGAAGUUCGGCGCCAGAUCGUGGAAAUCCAGGCCGUAGUAAAACAUGAUCCCCCGGACGAAUGGGUGGAGUGGAAAGCCCAGUCCGCGGAGGAAGUGGGGAAGGAAGACGACCCUCUCAUGGGGCCCAGGGGUAGGGAUGAGCUGCCCCUCGUCGGGCAGCCGAUGCGCGAUAUCGCCGGAAAGGUAUCCGGCGCUGCGAAGCUUGGUGAUAUGCUCCUCCUUAACGGUGGAGUCCAACCAUUUGCCUCCCGCUCCGGACAUAUUCGGAGAAGGUCGGGGCGAGAUGCGCGAGCUUGGGCGUUGGAGCUUGAGUGCACGGAGAUGGAUAAGCAAAGGAGGAAGAAGGCGUAGGUGAGAAGGUAAAUCCUUAUCCCUUAUAUAUAGGCGGACGAAAACUAUGCGUCCCCACCGGCCUGAUAAAACUCGCUUAUCUCCCAAGCGCCACCAUCAAUGGCGCGGUUGGGUUACCCACGUCCGUAUUGAUGGGAAUCCCGGAAUAAGGGGAACACAAUCUCUGCUUCGACAAGACGUGCCAAGGAAACCGCUUCGCUAAACGUGCUGAGGUGGUAUAGUAAAAAACGAUUCAAACAAAGGCUUGGUAGCGGUGUGAUGUCACGCCGCAUAAUACGUCAGCAGAUUGGACUGGUGUACAUUUUAUUCUCUCUACGGUGGAAUGUGGAAUUUAUUUUGCAGAGCCGGACACUAUCCUGGUGUUCAUGAUCUUCUCUGGAUUAUUCAAGGGAGGAACCCGCCUUGCAAUGCCGAACAUUAUGCGCGCCGGACUUAUCGUCAUUGAAGCCUGGUUCAGGGGCUACUGAGGGAGUCCUGGACUAGGGGGUGUCCGGACAGCCGGACUAUCAUCGUCCGCCGGACUCCAAGACUACGAAGAUACAAGAUUGAAGACUCCGUCCCGUGUCCAGAUGAGAUUUUCCUUGGCGUGGAAGGCAAGCUUGGCAAUACGGAUAUGUAGAUCUCCUACCAUUGUAACCGACUCUGUGUAACCCUAGCCUCCUCCGGUGUCUAUAUAAACCGGAGGGCUUUAGUCCGUAGGACACAACAUACAUUACAACAAUCAUACCAUAGGCUAGCUUUAGGGUUUAGCCUCCUUGAUCUCGUGGUAGAUCCACUCUUGUACUACCCAUAUCAUCAAUAUUAAUCAAGCAGGACGUAGGGUUUUACCUCCAUCGAGAGGGCCCGAACCUAGGUAAAACAUCGUGUCCCUCGUCUCCUGUUACCAUCCGCCUAGAUGCACAGUUCGGGACCCCCUACCCGAGAUCCGCCGGUUUUGACACCGACAGGGCCCAUAACCCACAGUUCCACAGGAUCGAAACCUGACUCAUGUACAUCCCUGUUUUUCAAAGUUGUUCCUCGCGCUUGGAUUCGUAUGUAAUUCACGAGCCACCUUCCUUGUGAUCUGUUCUGGUAUCAGAUGCAAUACUUAUUCCCAUUGCUCUAAACCCCUUUCACCUUCUUACCUUGCUCUCGAUGACUAUCCUGAAUUCCAACUCAAGAGAUGCCUCUAUGCCAUGUUGAGGUACCUAUCUUGUGUUGAGCUCCAUCCCUCCCGAGUCUUUCCCCCUUACUCACCCCUUAAAUCUCGAGACGAUAUUUCUUGUAGUGGAGGAGAAUUGUGACGCCCAAAUAAUUAAGCUACAGUAAUCCCCUUUUAAUGGUUCCAUGUCAUCACAUUACUAUUGCUAAUCCUCGCUUGAUCCAAAUCUUAGUUCAAACUAAUAUUCAAAUUAAAGACCAAAAUUCAAAUUUCUCAAGCAUGCAUAAUAAAAUGUUCAAAGUGUGGCAAAUAAUCCCUGGAUAUUUGUCAUGUUGGAAACAACCUCCUUAGAAUUUUCAAAAUGCCCCUGGGAGUUAAUUUUUGGUCAAGUAGUAAAUUAAAUGGCAUUUGCAAAACAAAUAAUUAUUUAUUUAACUCCAAUUGCCUCCUGUCGUGGGAAACGAACACCUAUGGGGCAGGGCCCCUUUUCGGUCUGGCAAGGGAGCGGAGGGCACACGAAGAGCAGAUCGAGGCGAAGCACGCGGGGGAAUUUUACCCAGCUUCGGAGCUCUCCGGAGAGAUAAAACUCCUACUGCUGCUUUGUGUUUCUAUUCUGUUCUUGCUCAAGAGUGUGGGUGUGUUGUAGUUUCGAAUGAGUCGAACCCCUUCUACGUGCGCAUGGGCCUCCUUUUUAUAGUCUAAAGGGGUCACCGACAGGUGGCAGCAUAGAGAGAGGGGUAAAAAAGUAAAAACGCGGGUUGGUACAACCGCUAUCAACAGUGCCCCCUACCUAACUCUGACAGCAGGGGACAAGGGCAUUUAAUGCCCAUCCGGUCGCCCAAACAGUGCAGGAAGUGACCGUUAGGGGCGCCACCAAUCGCCACGAUGGCCUCCUAGUCAUCUUCACUUGCCACCUCGCACCGCUUGGCUGCACAGCUACCCGCCACGUGCACCGGGAGCGAUCCUGCGGCGACACGUCAUCGGAUGCGCUGGAGCAUGGGCGCAGAGUUGUGGCUUUGCCGCGGCAAGCGCCUUGCCGCGGUCACUAUCUUGUUGCACCCGCAAGCUUGCCGCUCGCCGGGUCUUGGUUGGCCUUCCCGGCAAGAUCCUCCUGCCGGGGUCUUGUCCUUCCCGGCAAGCUUCUCUUGCCGGGGCUUCGUCUUCACAGUUAACACUUUGUUCUUGAAUGGCAGUAAAUAGGAAUGACGAAGGAUCUUGGCGGACGCCCGGCAAGCCUUGCCGCAGGACGCUGCGCCUGCCCGUGCACAAGUUCGGGGUACUAAGGUACCCCUACUUUAGUACACCGACUGGAGCCCCCGGGCCUGGGCCAUACACGGUGCUGAGCGCUGUUGGGCCAGGCCCAAAACAGGACACGGGCACGCGCGGCCUGGGUCCUAACUAAAUCCACUCCGUAUCCACCGCGUCCUCCCGUAACGGCACGCGUCAAUCGCGGCGUCGUGGGAGAGAUCGUGGGUGGAAGACGUUCGCGCGUAUCCACAGCCUGAUGGAGGGGUUUACCCUCCAUUUUAAGUUAAUGGAGGGCGAUCUCCUCUCCGUCAAGGUCUUCGGGUGCUUCGACACUCGGGCGAAGUGCUGCGUGGACAGCUCCUCCGAUAGCAAAGGCUCCCCCUCGAGCGAGAGCGACAAGGAGGAGAGCAACAGCGAUGAUGAGGGUAGCGGGCGGCGGGAUGGCGGGCCCGACUAGGUGUCGGGCGCCGCUUCGUGCGUCACCGGUGACCCCAUCAUCCGUGUCGCCGGCUCCUUGAACUCCCCGGGGUCGUCUCCUUGGGCGGCUGGCGUAGGGAGGCUGCGGAAGGGGAAGAGGGCUGGCGACAAGGCCGUCAAAUCGGAGUACGAGGGCGUAGUGCCCUCGACAGCGUGCUGACGUCCUGCCGCCCCAUCUUCGAGCCCCGCUUCCAGCGCCGCCAUCACCGUCCGGCCUUCGGACGGCCCCCGGGAUGUUCUCUUGGUGUCUUCGCCUAGGCGCCUCUUUUGCCCUUUUCGCCUCCUUGACCUACAUCCUGAAGAGAGGGACAGGAAAGGGAUUACGGGCAUCUUAUCUUUUUAAUUUGUAAGCCUUCGGGCCCUAGUCGCAUCUAAAACUUGUAACCCUCUCUUUCAUGUUUUUCAUCCUCUAUGGACUGUACCUGAGUGUGAUGUUUUUUUAAUGAAAAAGGGAUGCUUGCCGGGUUAUUUGUCUCAUGGGUUGAACCCACGCCAAGGAGCAAAUCCUUGGUAUCCCUCGGACAGGCAUUUCAUCUCCCGCCAACAGGCCCUGCCGCCUUCCCACGUCGCUCGACCUUUCUCACGCCUUUGACGGAGGCGGGAACGAGGUGGGUGCGGCCUCCUCAUUUCAUCCCUUUGCUGCUGUGACUACGACCAAACUUGGCCCCGGGAACGAGCCCCAGGGCCUAGAGUUGAGGGAGCACGGCAGUUUUCGGGAAGAAACGCGGUUUCGCAUUCCCCAGUCCAUAAGAGGAUGCAUGAUGAGGGACGAAAGACUUAUCUGAUAUCGCAGCCCCCGGCAACUCUGGCUUGCCGUGGAUGAAUCUUGGUACUCGCAGCCCCCAGCAACACUGGCUUGCCGGGGCCCAGGUGCCGGCGCGCCCUUCUUCUCCUUUCCUUGUCGCUGUUAUUUCAGUUAUGAGAACAAUUUAGUCAGUGCCGCAAUAAGUUACUCUUGUAAUAUAACUUUAUUCUGGGCAAUGCUUGUUAUGUUACAUCCUUUAUUUGAUUCCAUUCCUUGUAUGUUUGUACCCUUACGCUUUUACGGAACUUGCCGGUGCAAACACGCUUGCCACGAGCGCUGAGUGCAAAACAUCAGCAGCCUUCUAGCGGUGUUGCCUCCGGCAAGAAACCUUGUCGGGGCUAGUCGCAGCACACUUUCAUUGUUGAGCGGACUCAAAACAAAGUAAGGGUGCAACUUAACCACGAGCCGGUUCCUCUGCGCACAGGUUUUCCAUACAAGGCAUGGUCGUUCAAGGAAUAUAACUUAAAAAUUUAAAACUGACUGUGCUUAAACUUCGGCAACUUAGCUUUUUUGUUGUUUGUGUCCNNNNNNNNNNNNNNNNNNNNNNNNNNNNNNNNNNNNNNNNNNNNNNNNNNNNNNNNNNNNNNNNNNNNNNNNNNNNNNNNNNNNNNNNNNNNNNNNNNNNNNNNNNNNNNNNNNNNNNNNNNNNNNNNNNNNNNNNNNNNNNNNNNNNNNNNNNNNNNNNNNNNNNNNNNNNNNNNNNNNNNNNNNNNNNNNNNNNNNNNNNNNNNNNNNNNNNNNNNNNNNNNNNNNNNNNNNNNNNNNNNNNNNNNNNNNNNNNNNNNNNNNNNNNNNNNNNNNNNNNNNNNNNNNNNNNNNNNNNNUGUGGGCGCAGGAAUCUUCUCUUUGAGAAAAAGGAAGAAGAGAAAAUAAAGUUAUGGAGCCUUAAGGCUUGUUAUUGCUUACCGGGGGCAAGUUCUGCACAAAGUGUCAGUGUAUACAUGCUAAAAAGAAAAAGGCAUGAAUUUUGACAAUAUGUACUAAACAUAUGAUCUUUAUUUAUGCACGGGAUCUGCGCCCGGCUUUGUACAAAGGGUUACAUGCAACAACGGCAAGGCUUGUACAAAAGGUGGUUGCCAGGACAGCAGGUUCCGGCAACCGCGCCUUAUGGGUAAAACUUACGAAGAUGAUCUAUGUUCUAGGAGUUGCUCACCGGAAUGCCAUCUUCGGUCUCAAGGCGGACAGCGCCAGGCCUAGUGACUCGCUUUACCCGAUAAGGGCCUUCCCACUUCGGCGUCAACUUGUUGGAAUUCUUGGCAGAUUGAACGCGCCGAAGAACAAGGUCACCUUCCUCGAAGCUUCUGGCAUUAACUUCGCGGCUAUGGUAGCGGCGCAAAGCUUGCUGGUAGCGAGCAGCUCGUACAGCAGCCUGAAGACGAUCCUCCUCGAGGAGCAGCGCGUCAUCUUGCCGCAGCUGCUCUUGCUCAAGCUCAUCAUAAGCGAGCACUCGAGGCGAUCCGUAUACGAGUUCUGUGGGGAGAACUGCCUCUGCUCCAUAGACAAGAGCAAAAGGUGUCUGGCCAGUGGCUCGAUUUGGCGUCGUCCUGAUCGACCAAAGAACCACCUGUAGCUCCUCGAUCCAAUUUCUUCCGCACUUGUGCAGCCUGUCGAAAGUUCUGGUCUUGAGCCCACGCAGCACUUCAGCGUUUGCCCUCUCCGCUUGACCGUUGCUUCUCGGGUGAGCAACAGAAGCGAAGCAGAUCUUGGCGCCAAGAUCUUGGACGUACUGCAUGAAGGUGCAGCUCGUGAAUUGUGUGUUGUUGUCGGUGAUGAUCCUAUUAGGGACUCCGGAACGGCAAACAAUUGACCUGAAGAACUUGACUGUUGACUGUGCUGUCACCUUCCUCACUGGCUCCACCUCCGGCCACUUCGUGAACUUGUCGAUGGCCACGUACAAGUACUCGAAGCCCCCGACAGCUCGGGGAAAAGGGCCAAGGAUAUCAAGCCCCCAGACUGAAAAUGGCCAGGAUAAAGGGAUUGUUUGGAGAGCUUGAGCUGGUUGAUGAAUCUGUUUGGAGUGGAACUGGCACGCUUCACACUUGGUUACUUGUGCAGUCGCAUCCUGGAGGGCUGUUGGCCAAAAGCAACCUUGCCGGAAGGCUUUACUGGCAAGUGCUCUUGCGCCAAUGUGGUGGCCACAUAUGCCUCCAUGUAUCUCCGCCAACAGCUCUUGUCCUUCUUCCCGGGAAAUGCACUUCAAUUUCACUCCGUUGAAUCUUCUUCUGUACAGUAUGUCAUCGACAAACUGAUACAUACUUGAUUGUCGGGCUACUUUCUCUGCUUCUUCUUGCUCUUCGGGAAGUUCUCCUGUUUGAAGGAAAUGGACGAUCUGCUGUGCCCAUGCCGGAGCUUGUGGCUCGACGACAAGGACUAAAGGCGCAAAUGCUGCUGCGGGAACAUCCGCUUCUACGGCAAGAAUAUGAGAUCCUGCCGGAGCGUGAUGCUCCCCGGCAAGCGUGCCGGGGCACAGCUUGUCGGGAGCGUCUGCUUCAACGAAACAAACCCUAGGGCUUGUCGGAGCAGACUGCUCCUCAGCACUUUCUAUGUUGAUCCUGGGGACCUUCUUGGCGGCGGCUUCGGGGAGCUCUGCCGGAAAGUAGUCGCCAGUAACCAACUUUCUCUUCUUGCUCUGUCCAGUUGAUGGUGUUACAGAUGGCUGAGUCAGCUUGAGCACAAAAAUACCUGGUUCCACAGGUAACUUGAGUGCGGUGCACUUUGACAGGCCGUCUGCAAUGUCAUUCUGAGCUCUUGGAACAUGUUCCAUCUGCAGGCCGUCAAAAUGCUCUUCCAGCUUCCUCACUUCAUCAAUGUAGGCCUCCAUCAGCGGACUCUGAUAAUCUGUGUUAACUUGGCGGACGACAAGCUGUGAGUCACCCCUGACAAUAAGCUUCUUGAUCCCAAGUUCUGUCGUGAUCCUGAGUCCGGCAAGCAGGCCCUCAUAUUCUGCAGUAUUGUUUGUUGCUUGCUCCUUGGGAAAGUGCAUUUGGAUCAUGUACUUGAGGUGCUCUCCGGUGGGUGCGACAAGUAACACACCCGCACCGGCGCCUUGCAGCGAGAAAGCACCAUCAAAGUACAUGAUCCAUUCCCUGUUUGCUUCCUUGACGGGGAUCCUCGUCUCCGGAGUUUCUUCAUCUGGUGUUGGCGUCCACUCCACUAUGAAUUCUGCCAAUGCUCGGCUCUGGAUAGUUGAAGUACUUUCAAACUUGAGGCCAAAGCUUGACAGUUCCAGUGCCCACUCGACAAUCCUGCCUGUUGCUUCUGGAUUUUGCAAUAUCCUCUUCAACGGAAAGCGAGUGACAACUGUGAUCUGAUGUGCUUGAAAAUAAUGGCGCAGCUUCCUCGAGGCCAUGAGAAGGCCGAAAAGCAACUUUUGCACUCCAGAGUAUCUUGAUCUAGCCACCUGCAGAAGGGAGCUGACAAAAUAAACUGGGUGCUGCACCAUCUUCUUUUGUUUCUCUGCCUGCGGCUGCACAGACUCAUCCUUGUCGGGACCAGAGCUUGACGGAGAAGCCCCCUGCUUGUCGCUGGACUCGCUUGCCGCGGCCGCUGGCUCAUCAUCUGCCUCCCUCUCUGCUACUAACGCAGCACUAACCACUUGAUUGGUUGCUGCUAGAUACAGCAGCAACUUCUCUUGCGGCUUAGGUGCGACAAGUACUGGAGUGGAGGAUAGGUAUCUCUUCAAGUCCUGUAGCGCAGCCUCCGCUUCUGGAGUCCAUUUCAUUGGACCUGCCUUUUUCAAAAUUUUGAAAAACGGCAGGGCGCGCUCAGCAGACUUAGAGAUGAACCUACUGAGAGCAGCAACGCAGCCGGCAAGCCUUCGCACAUCCUUGAGGCGCUUCGGGGCUUCAAUCUGCUCGAUGGCCUUGAUCUUGUCGGGGUUGGCUUCGAUCCCCCUCUGGGACACGAAGAACCCGAGAAGCUUGCCGGAAGGAACUCCAAACACGCACUUCUCAGGGUUCAACUUGAGAUUGAUCUUGCGCAGAUUUGCAAAAGUCUCAUCCAAAUCUUGGAUCAAAGUUUCUCUAUCUUUGCUCUUGACCACUAUAUCAUCCAUGUAUGCUUCUACAUUCCUGUGCAGCUGUGGCUCAAAAGCAUGACUGACUAGUCUUGCAAACGUUGAACCAGCAUUCUUUAGUCUGAAAGGCAUUCAUACAAAGCAGUACGUGCCACAUGGAGUAAUGAAUGCGGUGUUCUCUUCAUCCUCUUUUGCCAUGAAAAUCUGAUGGUAUCCUGAGUAUGCAUCAAGAAAUGAAAGCAGAUCACAUCCUGCCGUGGAGUCGACAAUCCGGUCAAUGCGCGGCAAGGGAAAUGGAUCUUUGGGACAAGCUUUAUUAACAUCCGUGAAGUCAAUACAAAGCCUCCACUUCCCAUUCACCUUGCGCACAAUUACUGGAUUGGCUAACCACGUUGGAUGGAGUACUCCUCGGACGAGGCCUGUUGCUUCCAACUUCUUGAUCUCUUCUGCUAUGAACUCUUGGCGUUCCGCCGCUUGCUUCUUGACUCUCUACUUGACGGGCCGCGCGUGAGGACAGACGGCAAGGUGGUGCUCAAUUACUUUCCUGGGAACACCGGGGAUGUCAGAUGGUUGCCAUGCAAACACAUUGACAUUCGCCCGCAGGAAAGCAACGAGCGCGCUUUCCUAUUUAGGGUCAAGCGUGGCACUGAUGGUGAAGGUACCACUAGUGCCGUCCUCCUUGGCGGCCACUUUCUUGGUAUCAGGUGUCGCUAUCUUUGCCCUCUUGCACUUGCCGGUGGAGCUCGAUGGUGCGUCCUCGACGGUAGCACAGCACUCCGAAGAGGUGCGCUUGCCGGAGUGGGCAUCAGAGCUACUCUUGCCGGACUUGGUCUUCUUCUUCUUCCCCCCGGGAGCUUCAGCGGCAAGUGGUUUGUGCUCUGCUGCGGCUGCUGCUUCCUGGUAGAUCUUGUCGGUGCAGAUAAGCGCAUCCUUCUUGUCGCCUUGGACAGAAAUGACGCUUAUCGGACCGGGCAUCUUGACCACGUUGUAAGCAUAAUGAGAGGCUGCCAUGAACUUGGAAAGCGCUGGACGGCCGAGUAUCCCAUUGUAGGGCAACGGGAAAUCAGCAACAUCAAAUGUGACUCUCUCUGUCCUGAAGUUCAGUUUGCUGCCAAAUGUCACUGGUAGUGUAAUCUUCCCCUUGGGCUUGCUCCUUCCCGGGUUGAUUCCUUGAAAGGUACCAGUUUCUUCGAGCUCGCUGUCGGGGAUCUGGAGCUUGUUGAGCACCGCGGAAGAGAUCAGAUUUAGGCCGGCCCCACCGUCAACCAACAUCUUCGUGACCUUGAGGUUGCGGAUGGUUGGCGAAACCAACAUCGGCAAGCACCCGACCGCAGUGAUGCGAUCAGGGUGAUCCUCAACAUCAAAGACGAUGGGCGUACUGGACCACUUCAGGGGCUUGCGCGAUUCGACUGAUGGUUCAGCUGCAUUUACCUCCCGCACCCACUGCUUGAGUUGGCGGUGCGAGGUGUGCAGAGAAGCACCGCCGUCAACGCACAAAACCUCUGUUGCCUUCUGAAACUCUUGCUCGUCGGUCUCAUCCUCGUCCAUCUCAUCAUCCUCAUCUUCAUCUUCGUCCUUGUCACGGCCACGGGGAGGUCUGUCUCCUUGCCGCUGCUUGGCCUUGCCGCGGCGCCCUCCCCGGGCGGGACGCUUCUUGCCGGAUCCUCCGCCACCUUCCUGGGCCUUCUCCUUGUCGCGACGCUCGUAUUCAGCUUUCUGUAGUUCUGCCAUUUGCUCAACCUUCUUGCAUGCUUGGAGGUCAUGGCCCUUGGUGCGAUGGAUCUUGCAGUACUGCUUGCCGGAACAAUCCUGCUUGUCGGCGGCCACCACAGCCUCGCCGGAGUCACCAGCUUUGGCCUUGUCGGCGCCGCCUCCGUUGCCGGACUGCUCAACAACUAGCACAUCCUUAGCCUUUCUCUUUCUAUUAUUCCGCCUCCGGUUCUUCUUUGCCGGAGGGACGUCCUCAUUGUCCGAUCCUUCUGCUCCUGCAUUCUCUCCGGGAAGUUUCCUCCCCUCUUCAGCUCGUGCACACUUGUCAGCCAGAGCAUAUAGCUCGCUGACAUCUCUAAUCUUGCACAUCGCCAUCUCCUCCCUCAUCCUGCGGUUACGCACGUUCUGAUGGAAUGCGCUGAUAACCGCGGCAGGGUGGACGUCUGGGAUGUUGCGCUGCACCUGGCUGAAUCUCUGUAUGUACUUGCGCAGGGGUUCUCCUUCUUUCUGGGCGAGCAGAUGAAGAUUGCUCUCCUGACCAUGGGGUUUGUGGCCGCCUGUGAAGGCGCCGACAAACUGAUGGCACAGGUCCGCCCACGAAGAGAUGGAGUUGUCCGGCAAGUGCAUGAGCCAAGAUCUGACGUUGGGCUUGAGCACCAGCGGGAAGUAGUUGGCGAGGAUCUUCUCGUCGCGCCCCCCGGCAGCCUGCACCGCGAUGGUGUAGACGCUGAGGAACUCUGAUGGAUGUAUCCUGCCAUCGUACUUCUCGGGUAUGUCCGGCUUGAAGUUCUUGGUACUGGGCCACUGGACUUGCCGCAGCUCACGGGUGAACGCAGGGUAACCUGCCGCGUACGGCAAGUCGCCUGGUUCCCCUGGCGCAUGCAUAUCGACAGUGGGCCCAGCGCACUGGUCAGAUUAAUGUCGCGCUUCUCUUCUGCGCUCGAUGCGAGUACGAGCGUCUCUGUGUCGUCGUUCUUGGAGAACUUGGCGUUGAUCGCGGCGAGCUCGCGGGUCCGACGACGCGGUGGAGUCGGUGUCGAGGUUGGAACGGCGAGUUGGCGAUCAUGGCCUUCGGGGCGGGGAGUGCACGGUGGUGGCACCCCCAGCGGUCUUGUCGGUGUCGGCUUGCGCCCGGGCGUCUUGCCGGGGCUUUCGAUGUGCUCGGUUGCCGGGGCUUGUCGCCGUUGGCGAAGCCGAUGAGGCUUUGGAUGGUGAUCCUCCAGUCGUCGAUCUUGUCUGGCGCUGGAGGGUAAUCUAGAAGCAGCUGGGCUCGGGCCAGCGCUUCCUCUGGAGUCUUGGGCGGCGGUGGCGAGCGACGCGAGGUGCGGGAUAUGCUCAAACUUCUAACAGUGUUAGAAGGAGCAACAUCUCGCCCAGGCGACCGUACUUCGCUCGUGCCAGCGUGUUGACGUGUAUGUUGGCCUUGAGCGUCCCGCGAUCCGCCGGCUUGGCCUUGUUCCAACACGAGCACGGUGCUAGGAGUACCGUGGCAUUGCCGAUCUUGCACCUCCUGGGAGGGGUACGGUGGAUGUACAGACGCUGAAGCUUGCGGGGCCUUGUCCUCGGACCUGGUGACGAUGUGAGUCCCCCCGUCGGCGCCCGCUCCUCCGCCGGCGUCCACCCCACCACCCGUUUGCUCCGGUGGCGGUAGGAUAGUCGCAAACGGAGUGGCCACCUCCGAAGCCUUCUUCUUCGGUGGCAUGUCGAUGAAGAUGUUGAUGUAGCGCGCAGAUGCCGGAUCAGGUACGCACAACCUCGACGCCCACCUACCUGGCGCGCCAAAGAUGUCGUGGGAAACGAACACCUAUGGGGCAGGGCCCCUUUUCGGUCCAGCAAGGGAGCGGAGGGCGCACGAAGAGCAGAUCGAGGCGGAGCACGCGGGGGAAUUUUACCCAGCUUCGGAGCUCUCCGGAGAGAUAAAACUCCUACUGCUGCUUUGUGUUUCUAUUCUGUUCUUGCUCAAGAGCGUGGGUGUGUUGUAGUUUUGAAUGUGUCGAACCCCUUCUACGUGUGCAUGGGCCUCCUUUUUAUAGUCUAAAGGGGUCAGCGACAGGUGGCAGCGUAGAGAGAGGGGUAAAAAAGUAAAAACGCGGGUUGGUACAACCGCUAUCAACAGUGGCCCCUACCUAACUCUGACGGCAGGGGACAAGGGCAUUUAAUGCCCGUCCGGUCGCCCAAACAGUGCAGGAAGCGACCGUUAGGGGCGCCACCGAUCGCCAUGAUGGCCUCCUAGUCAUCUUCACUUGCCACCUCGCACCGCUUGGCUGCACAGCUACCCGCCACGUGCACCGGGAGCGAUCCUGCGGCGACACGUCGUCGGAUGCGCUGGAGCGUGGGCGCAGAGUUGUGGCUUCGCUGUAGCAAGCGCCUUGCCGCGGUCACUAUCUUGUCGCACCCGCAAGCUUGCCGCUCGCCGGGUCUUGGUUGGCCUUCCCGGCAAGCUCCUCUUGCCGGGGUCUUGUCCUUCCCGGCAAGCUUCUCUUGUCGGGGCUUCGUCUUCACAGUUAACACUUUGUUCUUGAAUGGCAGUAAAUAGGAAUGACGAAGGAUCUUGGCGGACGCCCGGCAAGCCUUGCCGCAGGACGCUGCGACUGCCCGUGCACAAGUUCGGGGUACUAAGGUACCCCUACUUUAGUACACCGACACCUCCAAACUUUAUGUGGCACUGCAAAAUAUUUGUGGCUCUGUCUAAGAUUGCCAAGGAAUUAAAAGGGGAACUUAACAUAUUUUUCCUAAGUAAAUAGUGUGCCCAAAAUAUUCUCUUAACCAUCUCUGUUUUUUUUAAUAAAAAAAGGCGAAUAAGAACUCGCCCGGGCCUCGGCCUACUCCCACUUACCAGCCCACCUAAGCCGGCCCACUCCCCCGCUCCCAUGGCCUAUAGGCCAUGCUCAACCGAACCCUAACCCCGCACGAUCCCCCCACUCCCCACUUCUCUCCCCUCCCGAUCCAAUCUGGAUCGGACCGAAACUGGCGCCCCGACGCCAACCGCCGUCGCUGGAGGCAUCCCCGACUCCACGCUGGGCCACCCCAUCACCUGACCUCCUCCCCGUCGUCGCUCGUCACUCGCUGGACCGCCUCGUCCCCACCAACGCCGCCCCGAGCCCAACGUCCCUGUCGUCGUCGCCGUCGGCAUCGCCCCGAUGUCGCCACCACCCGACGCCGGCGCCCUCGACAUCGCCACCCCGAGCCCACUGCCACCCCUACGCUCCACUGUGAGCCCCUCGCCGAUUCCCCCUCCUUCCUGUCAUCGUAGGUGGCCGCAUGCGCUGUUGGCCACCGUGGCCGCGCUCCGGCCGUUCCCCAUCCGUGUGCUAGCCUCGCCUUCCCCGGCUGCGGCCACCAGCCUCCUCGUCGCGCUCCCGCCUUCGCCCACACCUGCCCCUGUACGCCCAGCCGCUGCUGCUCGCCGGAUCCGCAUGUUCGCCCCCUAGCUUCGUCUCCGGCCGUCGAGUCCGCACCCGAUGCCGGCGCCCCAGCGCGUCCAUGCGCCCGUACGGGCGGGCGCCCACGCCCAUGCCCCUCCGCCCGUUAGCCCGCCCCGCUAAGGCCUGGGCACCUAACCAAGGGGCCCCACGCCCCUGUGUAAUAAAAAAGAUUUAAAAAAAAUAAAUAUAAAUAUAAUUAGUUAAUUAGUUAAUUAAUUGUAUAGUUAAUUAACUAACUUAAUUAACCUUGCUUAGUUAGCCUAAUGAACUAGUUUAGUUAAUUUAAAUCUGUUAGAUAGGUCUAUGAGAGAACGACCCCACAUGUCAGUUUAACCAGUCAACACUCUUUUGACUGCUGACAUCAUGAUGACGUCAGGCUGACAUCAUAAUUCCAAUUUUGAAUUAAUAAUAAUUUCAGAAUAUUAUUAAAACUUUGAAAAAUCAUAGAAAAUAAACCGUAUCUCGGAUGGAAGUUGCUUGGAACGACGAGACAAAUCCGAAUGCGCAGUUCGUUCAUCUGUCACGCGUCCCUAGCAUAGCAAACGUUGAACUUUUCCCCUCCGGUUCAUCUGUCUGAUAGACGUCCGGAACCGGGAAAACUUUCCCGGAUGUUUCCCCCUUCGCCAGUAUCACCUAGCACCUCGUUAGAACACUUCUAGCCCCGCUUAUUGUCUUGUUAUGCAUAUGUUUGCGUGUAUUUACUGUUUCUUCCCCCUCUUCUUCUCCGGUAGACCUCGAGACCGCUGAUGAUGCCCCUGUGAUCGACUACGUCGACGACGACCCUCCUUGUUUGAGCAACCAGGCAAGCCCACCCUUUGAUCAUCCCGAUAUCGCCCAUUCCAUUCUCUCAUGCUUGCACUAGAUUUUGCUACUGUAUUUGACUGCUCCUAUUCUGAUGCAUAGCCUGCUUUUGUACCUGCUAUUGUAACUUACCUGCUUAUCCUAAAUUUCUUAGUACAGGUUGGCUAGUGAUCCAUCAGUGACCCCCACCUUGUCUUUGUUGCCCCUGCUUCAUCAUCGACGACUCGAUCAACGUGAUCGACGACCGGAGCCUGACACCUCACAUCACAUCACGCCCCUUUUUCUUGCUCGACUCUGCAGAGUUACCAUCGAGUGCCGAGGGUGGAACCUCAUACAUCGCUCCUGAUGAGAUCUCUGUAGUGUAGCUAUUCGGUCGUGGUCAUCGAGGGUGGUUCCUCCUUCACCAUUCCUAAUACGGCUCUGUCGUGCAACACCUCAAGUGUGAACCUCGAGGGUGGUUCCUCUUACGUUCACCUUGAUGAUUACAUCAACUGGAAUCCACCGGGGGUGAUUCCUCGGAUUUUCCCCUUGAUGUCUGGACACAUAGUUACCUUGAUACUUGAGACCGUUGUGAAAGCCGGGCGAGCCCGGAGAGCACCCGUGCGAUGUGACGGUGGCGGCUGGCUGUUUAGCGGUAUCACCCGGGAGGGGUGAUAGCUCCGGACUUGUCCCGACAUCCGUCACUUCUUUUAAUAAUGCACUAACACGUUUGUGUAUUUGUUCUGAGUUGGCCUCUGGCCUUUACGCACUAACCACCACGCGAGAAUAGUUAUGGGCCUCGACGUUGCAGUAUCUUUCGAAGCUUUGUCAGACGUCCAGUUCAGCAUUGUGGCCGGGCCGGAUCGUGCCAUCCACUUCACCGGUGGUGCUGGUAUCCCCUUGUGCACAACGACCCGGAGUGCAAUGGGCGAUGGGCCCAGACCCCGGAGUGCUUAGGAUGUAGACCGGCGGGGACCUCUCUACUGAGCCUAGGUAGGGCUGCGACGUGUUGAUCUUCCGAGGCUGGGCAUUGACCCCAGAAAGGUGUGUCCGGCCAGAGUGAUCGAGCGUGUUGGGUAACGUGGUGCGCCCCUGCAGGGAAGAUUAUCUAUUAAUAGCCGUGUCCAUGGUAACGUACCUUCAGACUUAUAUCUUGAUCUUAUACAACUACAAAUGGAUACUUGAGAUAUGUGGCUCCGGGAUUGCUUUCUCGCAGGGAGUCGAGGAAGGAUCUCUGGGCGUUGUUGUUAAAACAUGCUUGUUAAUUAAACUGCUAUUCUUUACUCUUCUACAUGCUGCAAGAUGCUUGGAGCUGCUUGAAGAUGCUAGUCUUUGUUUGGCUAGGCCUUCCCCUCUAUUCUGGCAUUCUGCAAUUCAGUCCACAGAUACAACCCUUCCAUUUGAUACCAAUGCAUACUUAGUAUAGAUCUGAUGCUUGCGAGUACUUUGGAUGUGUACUCGCGGUUGCUUUGCUACCCCUUUUCCCCCUUCUUUCUUCUUUCCGGUUGACGCAACCAUAUGGUGGAUCCUUGGAGCCAGAUGCCACCGCCGAUGGAUGCUAGUACGUGAAGAUCGCCGACGACCAGGAGUAGUUAGGAGGUCCUAGGCAGGAGGCCUUGCCUCUUCGAUCGUUGUUGCUUUUGUGCUAGCCUUCUUAAGGCAUCCUUAUUUAACUUAUGUCUGUACUCAGCUAUUGUUGCUUCCGCUAACUCUUGUGUAUCGAGCUAUGUAUUCGAGCUCUCGAGGCCCCUGGCUUGUAAUAUAAAGCUUGUAUUAUUUUGAUUUGUGUCUAGAGUUGUGUUGUGAUAUCUUCCCGUGAGUCCCUGAUCUUGAUCGUACAUAUUGGCGUGCAUGAUUAGUGUACGAUUGAAUCAGGGGCGUCACACAAGCGGUACUACUGCCCCACCCAGUUUCAGCAUUUCGAGUUUCACCGUUUUGCCCAUAACUUCCACAUCCGGAGUCCGAUUUUUGCAUUUUUUAGCUCGUUGAGUAGCUAUUGACAUCCCCCAUCCAUCUAUAUAGGUUCCAACACCAUUUGACUCCAUCAAAUUUUCCAAAAUUUGGAAAGUUUGCCUAGGCCGUCCACCAUAUCAUCUGCAUAGCCACCACCGACCACCGCAACCUAACCCAUUUUGUUCCCCUUAGCAUUUGAGGUUGUUUGAGUUGUGGCUUGUGUCUCCUAAGGUGUUUCGGCUACUUAGGGAUGGUAACUUCAACUCCAACACGUGUAUAGCCCAUCAUUCCACUUCCGCAUUGCCGAGUGCAAACCACCACCUCUUUCCACUACCACCAUUUGACAUUUACCUUUGUAGAUUUUGAGUUUGCGAUUUUUCCGUUUCCUAGGGUGUUUUGGCUAACUAGGAAUGGGUCGACAUCAGCAACAUCGCCUCUCAUCAUCGCCAAGGACGGUAACCUCGAUGACACCAUUGUAUAUUCCCUUGCCAUUGCAUUGAUAACCCCUAGCCCAUUUUGCGUCACUUGCCUAUCGAGACUAGCCGUUUGAGUAUUGCCGGCAACGUGACUUGUGCACAUUAGUGAUCAUACUUCCCAUAGCAUCAUACCAUAUCAUCGUGGUGCAUAUAUUGGUAGCAUAUCUUGCGUCACAAGUUUGUUGCCGCAUAUACACAAUUGCUAUCUUGGUUUGUGCAUUAUGCAGAAGUGGCCAUACAAAAAAGAGAAAUAAAGCUUUUAAGCAAAAGAAAGAGAGAAAAGAAGCUUGUAAGCAAGUGCCAUAGCAUCAUACCAUAUUGCACAUAAGAUUGUCAUAUCCGAUCAUCUUGGAUCAUCUUGAGAGAACAUCGGGAACCAUACAUACAUAGCAUACUUGGGAUAGAAAGUAUAUCCAUUUGGCAUCUUGUAGGUUGUGCACAAGUGUCCUAUCCGCCUAUUGAGCAAUCGUGCUAGCGUCUCUCUUGAGUUGUGCAACACGAGCGUUUUCUGUGGAUUCCACAUUUUGUGCUCAUUGCUUGGUUGCACGACCCCAUUUAUCUAUCCGUGUGUGUGUUUCCGUGUGUCAUUCUUUGCUAUUGGUCUACUUGUUUCACUUGCAAAUUUGUGAAUCUCUUUCAACAUUAUUGACUCUUGCUAACAUUUUGCAUCAAAUUUUUGUGCCACUAUCCUCACCGAGCUCCACCAUAAGCUUUACUUGAUAGGUGUGAGUGAACAAGUCCGGUACCAAUUCCACUAUUCUUUCAUUUCACAUUGAGUUAAACGGGAUACAUCCUCAACUUUGGGAAAGGUAACUUCCUAUUGUUUAUCUCAUUUCCUACUGGCAUUUCACCUUCGGUCUACAACAACAACGACGAGUUCGAUGCCACGAACAACUCCAACGACGCCAAGAUGCAAGCUCAAAUGGAGGAGAUCAAAGCCCUCAUCAAGUCCUACAAGCAAUCUUCCUCAUCUUCGAGAAGACACUCACGUGCACAUGUUUCCGAGCUACCAUCUCCGGUAAGAUCACAUCAGCAUCGACACCAUCACCAACAAGAACGUGAAGGUCAAGAGCUCAACACCAACUACCGCUCAACGACUUCACCAUCUCCCUUGGCAUCUUCGCCAAGCGACUUCAAGGCAUCUUUGAGUACGGAUAUACGGCAUCUUCGCCAACAAGAACCUCAAGGCUACGCUCAAGAGAAGCUCCCCAAGCUCAAGUCCACGACUUCCAUGAGCUACUACGACCUCGACACCGACCACAAGAUUCCUUUCUAUGGAACUCAAGAACCCGAGGAGUACCUCGAGUGGGAGCGUUUGAUGGACGACUACCUCAAGCUACAUCAAGUCCCUUCCGAAGAUCAAGUGAAGUGCGCCACAAGAAACUUCCACGACUACGCCUCGACAUGGUGGCUUCACACACCUUCGGAGAGCUACGAGAUGAGUUAGCCCAAGACGAAGAGAGCUUUGCAGCGAGAGCUCGUGCCUCCAACCUACAUGGAACAACUUCGACGCCAAUUGGAGAACACCAUCCAAGGAUCCAAGUCCAUCGACGCGUACUUCAAGGAGAUGAAGAAUGCCUUGCGACGAGACGGCGUGGAUGACCCCAUUUCGAUGAAGUUCCACUUCAUGAUGCGAUUGAACAACGACAUCUCCAAGACUAUCUUCCUCGAGAACUACAAGUCCCUGGACAACUACUACAUUGGUGCUCUCAAGGCGGAACAAGAACUCAUGAAAGCCAAGGCUUCUCCACCCCAAGCACACUUCGCGGCGACCAAGCUGUACGACAAGCAUGAGGCUAGUACCACCAUGAUGUCCAAGCCCGACGAGCUCCAAGACAAUGCUCCCAAGUUCGACUUCACCGCCAUCCCUCUUUGUGGCAUUGAUGACGCCGAGUCUACCUUGACUCUUUUUCAAGACGGUGCGGCGACGAGUACGACUACGGAGACCUUCAAGGACCAAGCUUUGGAGGCGAGCGACAAGGUGGCGAGCAAGGAUGGUGUUUCCAUCUUUGGAGGCGAGAGUGAUGAUGUGCCAUCUUCGUCCUUCAUCCACGGCGACGAUGACGAGAUGAUCGAGCAUGGGAUUUUCCCUUCGGUCAUGGAGGAGAGUGAUGAUGUGCCAUCUUCGGCCUUCAUCCACGGAGACGACGACGAGAUGGUUGAGCAUGGGAUUCUCCCUUCGACCACGGUGACGUAUGAUGACUUGAGUGACUUUUGCCACCAUAUUGAGAGUGAGAGUGACUUCACCACUAGCCCCAUAUAUGACGAGUUGCCCCAAUUCCUAUGUGAGGAGAGCCACAACCCCCACCACUUGAGUGAGAUGAGUGACUCCACCAUAUGCGACUUUGAGUGCACCUAUUUUGAGGGAGUGAGUGAACCACCACAUAGAGAGAGUGUGAUAGUUGAUAGGUCUCGUGAGGCCAUUUGCAUUUCUAACAACUUGACCUCUACCUCUAUUGUGUCUUCUCAUUUGGUGCUAGGUCCCAUUUAUGAUGACGCGCCGAUCCUCGACGACUUCGUCCUCCCUUUGGACAAGACGAUGGCCAUGGUGGAAUAUGAUGCACCCCCCACAUGGUUCCAUCAAGAUGAAGAUGACCACCAUUUGGUCUUUCCCACCUCACCUACACCACUUGAGUGGAAUGAAAAAGGUAACAUAGGUGAAGGUGAUGCUCUAGUCCCACUAGUGGACAUUCUUGACAUUGAUUGCUUGCAUGAUGUUGAUCCACCUAGUACCAUGCUUCAUGCUAGUAUGAUUUCCCCAUGUGAUGAUUUGGCCAUUUAUGAUGAGUAUGAUGAUUCUCAUGUGGAGUCUCUUAGUUGUGAUGUCAUGUUACAUAGGAUUUCUUGUGACAAUUCUUUAGGUCACAUCAUGUUUGAUAAUCCGCUUGACUUGUCGUAUGCUAUGCAUGACAUUCACCAUAUGUCAUAUUUGCAAUCUCAUUGUAGUGACUAUGCAUAUGCCAUUCAAAUUAACCCAAUUUGCACUUAUGGCAUAGAUGACAAGCCCAUGGUUAUUGGGAUUUGUUUUUCUUGUGAUGAUAUUGAUAUGGUCCCUUUGCAUCAUUUAUCUCAUAUGCCAUGUCAUGCCCACCUAGCUUCGGAUAUGCAUUGUUUUGGAUGUUGUCCAUUUUCUCCAUAUGAUGUUUCCAAUCUUGCUCAUGAGGAGACCCCCAUAGUUCCCUCAUACAUGUUAGGAGAUUUUGAUCCAUCCCAUCCAUUGCAUGAUCCCAACAAUUGUGUGCACCAUAUGCUCCCCAUGAAUAAACAUGCUAUUGAUGUGCCAUAUACUUGCAUUCUCAAUUUGUGUCCCCAUCGUGUCAUACAUAAUAACUAUUCUUUCAUGAUGGAUGACAUGUUCUUAUACCAUGCAUCAAAUUUCGUUGAGCGAUGCUUAUCUUGUGCUAACUCACACGUGCACAUACACAUCAUGAUGGAUGAUGUGUACAUUUACCACACACACAAUUUAUUUGGUUUGUGUCUCUUUUGUGUAGGUACCCAGGAAUACUUGUCAACCUCGCAAUCCCACGAGUUGACAAAACGAGCUCUAGAGAGCAACGAUGAUUUGGGAUCCCAUGGAUUGUCUUUCCCACCGCUCUCUUCGCGCAAAGACUUAGCGCAUUUCUUCUACAUGGCCCUCACUUGGCUAUGGGUUGUUUUCCAUUACAUAUUAUAUGCCCAUCUUGCCAUGUUCACUUUGCAUGAUAUGCCCAUUCCCAUGCAUUUGUGACCCAUACUUUGCUUUACACAUGAUGAUUGACUCUCAUACUUUUAUGUGUAUUUGCAAGCUUGGUGGAGAUAUUGCUUGUUGUUUCCCUAUUCCAUUUUUGACCCACCCCUAUGAUGAUACUAUGAUCUUGCUUUGUGUUCGUGCUUGUGAUAUGUCAUGUGCAUUGUCUAUCCCUAUUAUUUGCUCACAUGACAUGAUUGCCAUGAUUUACUCUGGUGUGUUGCAUCUUCGCUCCACUAGUUUGCACCACAUGAUUGAUAUGCUUGCUUGUAUUGCAUCCCCCAUGAUUCAUACUUGCUCAUUUCAUGCGAUUGAUGACAACCAUUUCCAUACUUUGCACGUGAUUGCUAUAGCUUCUUGUCACAUAUCUACAUAUGUUGCCUCUCUCAUGCUAGAUCACUUGCCAUGUAUUUAGUGCAACAAUGCUCUUAUUCUUGCUCAUGAGAUUGCCCCCAUAGCAUUCUCACAUAUGAUUGGAGUUGACAUAAUUCUUGUGAAGCAUGCUUGCCUUCCUUCUUUGCACCAUAUGCCUAGUGCCAUGAAUAUUGCCAUUGUUGCAUCAUAUUGUUCAUGCACUUGUGCUACUAAAGGUUAUGUGCAAGAGAUGAGAACCAUCAUGAUGGAUGAUGUGUUUCUCUACCAUGCGCAUAUACUCUUUGUUUUGUUGUGUGCAUGUGUAGGAUACUUGGACUUCGUCUCGACUUCCACUUCAUGUGAGUUGACCAUUCAAGCUCUUAAGAGCGAGCCUCACACAUUCUACCACUACUCGCUUCUACACCGCAUUUGCUUGCGCUUCGGCAUUGUGAAGAAUGCACAAGGACAUGCCUUCAAGGUGACAUCUUUCUUGAGCAUGGAUAUUGCGGAUCAUACUACUUGUGUAGCUUGCACUGUGAGACUUAUUGGUCAUCUUGGACCACUUGAUUGCGCACUUGCUAGAGAUCUUGCUUUGACUUGCCAUUUUCACAUUCCCAUGCAUCAUGAUAUAUAUGCCUUGUGUGUUGCAUCCAAUUCUUGGAUUACUAUCACAACCUAGCUAGUCCAUGCAUUAGAGUGUUGCAUCAUGUCUACCUUUUAUCAGAAACUUGAAUUGGGGAAGACAGAACCCCCCAGAACCCCUCUGAAUUCAACUAGUGCUUACUAAAAAUAUUUUCAAUGAACCUGAAAUGCCCUUCUAAAAAGUUCACCCUCUUUGUCUUGGGUUAGAACCUCUGGCAAAAUUGGUGCACAAUUUUCUAGGUCAACAAAAGGCCAUUGAAUUAAAUCAUAUCUACUUUGAGUUUGGGCAUUUAAACUAUAUAAAAUAUUUCAAAUGCUCAAAUAACUCCAAACUAAAAUGUUCCAUACUGGAUAUAUUCCAACUAGGGACCAUGUGCAGUUUGGUGAUUUUUGGAGUUGCCUAAGUAUUUUUAGAAAUGCAACAAACUUACAGAAACAAUUAAAAACAGAAACAAAUGGGAAAAACCCUUACCUGGCCGAACCAAGCCCCAGCCCAGCUGGCCGGCCCAGCACUGUGCUGGCCCAUGCCAGCCAGCUGCUUCGCCGUCGCCACGCAGGCACAGAGCUGACGCCGGCAAGCGUGAGCUCGCAACGGCGCCAGCUGCUUGCCGCCCGCGCCCCCGAGCACCUGGGUGAGCUCCACGUCGCCGCCCCGACCCCGUGGACACCUCAUUCGCCCCCUGCCUCUCUCCCUCGCUCUCCCGCACCAUGGCCGACGCACCCGCCGCCGCACCCCCGACGUAGUCGCGCCCUCCGUCGUCCUCGUGCUGCACCACCGUGUCCCUUCGCUCCGCCGUCAUCGACUACAUCGAGUAGGCCGAGCCCCGAGCGCUCGCUGGCCCUGUUUCAUCUUCUUCGAGCUCGUCUUCACCGAGCACCGCCACAGAUCCCCUUCGCCGUCGCCGCCGUACCAGCUCGUCCCCGACCUUGCCGACCACUCCGUUGUGACCGCCGUGAGCUCAGCCACCUCCCCAUCCUCCCCGUUUGCCUUCUCGUGCACCGUAGCAACCGCAUGGAGCUUCAUCGCACGCACCACCGACGAGCUCGUCGCCGACGUGCCUCCGGCCAUCCACCGUCCACACCACGGUGUCUAACAUGCUCACCGCAUCGUGUAGAGUCUAACGCCCCACUCCACGCGCCUCGCCGUGCCCCGUAGCCAUGGGUCCAUUUUCAUCCGACUCCGGCGACCGCCGUGGUCGUCGCCGGCGACGUUCCUGGCCACCUCGACCUCAACCACCACCACCAAACGCCGCGACUUGUUCCCGGCUACACGUAGAUGGUCUCCGUCGUCCAUUUGGUCGCCAGAACAUGCUAACCCACUUCCUCCGCCGCGUCUGGCCUCGCCGGCGGCUAGACACCGGCAUGUUUGACCCGUUGACAUUCACUGGGUGGGCCAGGUUGACUCCCCUGAGUCUAUGACAAGUGCCCCCCCCUCUGCUAAUUAACCUAGUUUAGCUCUUACUAAAAUCAGUUAGUUUAAAUAAGUGCUGACAUGCGGGACCCACUGGUCAGUUUGACCUGAACGACCCCUUUGACCACUGACGUCACCCUGAUGCACUGCUGACGCAAUAACCAAUUUCUGGAUUUAUUGUUAUAUAGGAAAUUCCAGAAAUUGUUGCAAACUUCAAAAAUUCAUAGAAAUUAAUCUGUAACUCCAAAUGCAAAGAUUUAUAUAUGAAUUUUGAUCAGAAAAAUUCAAUCUAUCCAUUGGUAAUGGUUUCAUGCAUGUCAGAACAAGUUAACCUUGCUGUUUAAUCAAAACAAGUUAAUGCACUAAUAUGACUAUGUUAAAUGAACUACCAUUUGCAUCUUUGAUUCAAAUGAGUUCAUACCUUUCUGUUCUAGCUUGCAUUAGGCCAGGACACAUUCAUGUUGCCAUGUCAUAGCAUGCAUCAUAUUGUUGUAUAUCGUCAUGUGUUGUUCAUGUUCGGUGUGUUUUCGUGAUAGGUUCUGCCUCCGAGGAUAACCCCGAAUAUCCGUCUGAAGGGCUGUAUCCUACUACCACUACAUCAGGCAAGCAACCCAUUGAUCAUUCCGAUACAAACCCAUGUUCUUGCCUCUGCUCUUGUUUACUGCAUUAAGACAAUGCGAUUCAAACUUUUGUGUGUUGUGGUAGUUGAACCCACUUCCUUUGCAUGACCUGUCAUUGCCACAGUAACUAGAUGAAACUCAGUAGCAUGUGUAGGAGUUGAUUGAGCCAUAUCUGUGUUACCUACCAUGCUAUGCUUGCUAUGCUUAGAGUUGUGUCAGGUCUGGCUCAUUGGGAUGAUGAACUAGAGUGAAAGGUUGUGUCGGUAAUGAAGUGUUGAACACGAUUUGGUAAAGGUAUCGAUGAGAGGCCAUGUAGGAGUACAUGGUGGGUUGUUUCAUUGAGGCCGUCCUUAAGCACUGAGAUCUGUGUGUGUGAUUUAAGAUUCAGCUACUACCACGCAUUGGGCCCGAAACCAAUGGACCCUCUCGACUUAUUAACCACUCUUGUCCUCUGUCCGGGAGUUGCAAGUAGUUUUUGGUGUUUGUAGCAUGAUGGGGGCCGCACGCAGUGCUGACCUUAGGGGUGGGUUGGGUUGCGGUAGGCAUGUGGCACGGUGUAUCGAUUCGCCCGUUUGGUGUCUCGGGAACCAUGUUCACAUCAUUCGGGGCCGUUAGUGGAAACCUCGGCCGGACUCCCUGCGGAUGGAACCCGAAUAGGCGAUAAACCUGGACUAGGGACUCGUGUGUUUAGUCAGGCCGUGGCCGACACCCUCGCUGGGCUUCCGCUUGAGGCUUGCCGAGUACACGUCAUGUAGCGGUGAUAAGUGGUGAGAGCGUGUGUGAAGAAGUACACCCCUGCAGGGUAUAAAACUAUUCGAAUAGCCGCGUCCGCGGUAAAGGACUACUUGGUCACCUAUGCAGUUCAUAGACAAGUAAAUGGAUACUUCUAAAAGCCUCAAGUUAAGUGUGAGUACCGAGGAUGGCCCUCUCGUAGGUUGACAAGAGAGGAUCCUCGGUGGAGUAUUGUGUUGGUGAGUAGUGGACUCGUGUGCGACAAAUGUUUUGCAAGUUGUGUCUAUCGUAGAAUAGCUUAGCCAAGAGUCAAAGCUGGCUUGCUGCAAUAACUCCACUACCUUCUUGAGAAUGUGCAUGUAUGAUAGGAUUCUGUUGUAAGACUUGCUGAGUACCUCUGUACUCAUGUUUGCUUAAAUGUUUUCAGACGACAACACCAACCCCUCCGAUGGGUUCUACGUAGACCUCGACGUUGACGAGUGACUAACCACCCAAGUGGUGAUCCGAGACUUGUGAAGGGCCGAUGUAGAUAGAAAGGCUUCGUCAAGCCCUCUUUCUUUCUAGUGUCUGUACUCAGACUAGUUGCUUCCGCAUGUGCUUGUAUGCUUGUAUGACUUGAGUCUCAGGUCAUGUGACCCCUAUCUGUAUGAACAUGUUAUGUAUGGCUCCUUGGAGCCACUUAAAUAAAGUACUUUGAGUUGUAGAGUUUUGUUGUGAUGCCAUGUUGUAUGUACUCAUAUCGGGCAUAUUGUGUGUAUGUUUGAAAUGCUUGGUAUGAGUGGGAUCCGACAAUCUAGUUGUUUAUCCUUGGCAGCCUCUCAUAUGGGGAAAUGUAGUCUAGUGCUUCCUGAGCGAUAGUAGUCCGCUACAGCCCGGUUCACCGGAGUCCUGCUAGCCCAGUACUACAGCUCUGGACACUUGACUGGACAGCAUGUGUUUCACUUCGUUCCUGUGUCUGUCCCUUUGCGGAAAUGUCACGCGGUGGCAUUCGGAGUCCUGCCUAGCCUGCUACAGCCCGGGUUACUGUUGGGAAACGUAGUAAUUUCAAAAUUUUCCUACGCACACACAAGAUCAUGGUGAUGGCAUAGCAACGAGAGGGGAGAGUGUUCGUCCACGUACCCUCGUAGACCGUAAGCGGAAGCGUUAGCACAACGCGGUUGAUGUAGUCGUACGUCUUCACGAUCCGACUAAUCCAAGCACUGAACGUACGUGGCCUCCGAGUUCAGCACACGUUCAGCUCGAUGAUGAUCUCCGGCCUCCAAUCCAGCGAAGCUCCGGAGAUGAGUUCCGUCAGCACGACAGCAUGGUGACGAUGAUGAUGUUCUACCUGCGCAGGGCUUCGCCUAAAAUCCGCGACGAUAUGACUGAGGUGGAAUAUGGUGGAGGGGGGCACCGCACACGGCUAAGGAACGAUCCAUAGAUCAACUUGUGUGUCUAUGGGGUGCCCCCCCCCCCCCGCCCCUGUAUAUAAAGGAGAAAGGGGGAGGCCGGCCGGCCCCUUGGGCGCGCCAAGGGAGGAGGAAUNNNNNNNNNNNNNNNNNNNNNNNNNNNNNNNNNNNNNNNNNNNNNNNNNNNNNNNNNNNNNNNNNNNNNNNNNNNNNNNNNNNNNNNNNNNNNNNNNNNNNNNNNNNNNNNNNNNNNNNNNNNNNNNNNNNNNNNNNNNNNNNNNNNNNNNNNNNNNNNNNNNNNNNNNNNNNNNNNNNNNNNNNNNNNNNNNNNNNNNNNNNNNNNNNNNNNNNNNNNNNNNNNNNNNNNNNNNNNNNNNNNNNNNNNNNNNNNNNNNNNNNNNNNNNNNNNNNNNNNNNNNNNNNNNNNNNNNNNNNNNNNNNNNNNNNNNNNNNNNNNNNNNNNNNNNNNNNNNNNNNNNNNNNNNNNNNNNNNNUCCGGUUUUCUCCGAAAUCACCCGGAACAAUUUCGGUGUCCGAAUAUAGUCGUCCAAUAUAUCAAUCUUUAUGACUCGACCAUUUCGAGAUUCCUCGUCAUGUCCGUGAUGACAUCCGGGACUCCGAACAAACUUCGGUACAUCAAAACUUAUAAACUCAUAAUAAAACUGUCAUCGUAACGUUAAGCGUGCGGACCCUACGGGUUCGAGAACUAUGUAGACAUGACCUAGAACCAUUCUUGGUCAAUAACCAAUAGCGGGACCUAGAUGCCCAUAUUGGUUCCUACAUAUUCUACGAAGAUCUUUAUCGGUCAAACCGCAUAACAACAUACGUUGUUCCCUUUGUCAUCGAUAUGUUACUUGCCCGAGAUUUGAUCGUCGGUAUCCAAUACCUAGUGCAAUCUCGUUACUGGCAAGUCUCUUUACUCGUUCCGUAAUACAUCAUCUCAUAACUAACUUAUUAGUUACAAUGCUUGCAAGGCUUAGGUGAUGAGUAUUACCAAGAGGACCCAGAGAUACCUCUCCGACAAUCGGAGUGACAAAACCUAAUCCCGAAUUAUGCCAACUCAACAUGUACCUUCGGAAACACCUAUAGAGCACCUUUAUAAUCACCCAGUUACGUUGUGACGUUUGGUAGCACACAAAGUGUUCUUCCGGUAAACGGGAGUUGCACAAUCUCAUAGUUGCAGGAACUUGUAUAAGUCAUGAAGAAAGCAAUAGCAGUAUACUAAACGAUCAAGUGCUAGGCUAACGGAAUGGGUCAUGUCAAUCACAUCAUUCUCCUAAUGAUGUGAUCCCGUCAAUCAAAUGACAACUCUUUUGUCCAUGGUUAGGAAACAUAACCAUCUUUGAUAAACGAGCUAGUCAAGUAGAGGCAUACUAGUGACACUAUGUUUGUCUAUGUAUUCACACAUGUAUCAUGUUUCCGGUUAAUAUAAUUCUAGCAUGAAUAAUAAACAUUUAUCAUGAUAUGAGGAAAUAAAUAAUAACUUUAUUAUUGCCUCUAUGGCAUAUUUCCUUCAGUCUCCCACUUGCACUAGAGUCAAUAAUCUAGAUUACAUGGUAAUGAUUUUGACACCCAUGGAGUCUUGGUGCUGAUCAUGUUUUGCUCGUGAGAGAGGCUUAGUCAACGGGUCUGCAACAUUCAGAUCCGUAUGUAUCUUGCAAAUCUCUAUGUCUCCCACUUGGACUUGGUCCCGAAUGGAAUUGAAGCGUCUCUUGAUGUGUUUGGUCCUCUUGUGAAAUUUGGAUUCCUUUGCCAAGGCAAUUGCACCAGUAUUGUCACAGAAGAUGUUCAUUGGUCCCGAUGCACUAGGUAUGACACCUAGAUCGGAAAUGAGAUCCUUCAUCCAGACUCCUUCAUUUGCUGCUUCUGAAGCAGCUAUGUACUCCGCUUCACAUGUAGAUCCCGCCACGAUGCUUUGUUUAGAACUGCACCAACUUACAGCUCCACCGUUUAAUAAAAACACGUAUCUGGUUUGCGAUUUAGAAUCGUCCGGAUCAGUGUCAAAGCUUGCAUCGACGUAACCGUUUACGACUAGCUCUUUGUCACCUCCAUAUAUGAGAAACAUAUCCUUAGUCCUUUUCAGGUAUUUCAGGAUGUUCUUGACCGCUGUCCAGUGAUCCACUCCUGGAUUACUUUGGUACCUUCCUGCCAAGCUUAUUGCUAAGCAUACGUCAGGCCUGGUACACAGCAUUGCAUACAUGAUAGAGCCUAUGGCUGAAGCAUAGGGAACAUUUUUCAUUUUCUCUCUAUCUUCUGCUGUGGUCGGGCAUUGAGUUUGACUCAACUUCACACCUUGUAGCACAGGUAAGAAUCCUUUCUUUGCCUGAUCCAUUUUGAACUUUUUCAAAAAAAAUUCAAGGUAUGUGCUUUGUGAAAGUCCUAUUAAGCGUCUUGAUCUAUCUCUAUAGAUCUUGAUGAGUAAUAUGUAAGCAGCUUCACCGAGGUCUUUCAUUGAAAAACUUUUAUUCAAGUAUCCCUUUAUGCUAUGCAGAAAUUCUAUAUCAUUUCCAAUUAAUAAUAUGGCAUCUACAUAUAAAAUUAGAAAUGCUACAGAGCUCCCACUCACUUUCUUGUAAAUACAGGCUUCUCCAAAUGUCUGUAUAAAACCAUAUGCUUUGAUCACACUAUCAAAGCGUUUAUUCCAACUCCGAAAUGCUUGCACCAGUCCAUAAAUGGAACGCUGGAGCUUGCAUACUUUGUCAGCACCUUUUGGAUCAACAAAACCUUCCGGCUGCAUCAUAUACAACUCUUCUUCUAGAAAUCCAUUCAAGAAUGCAGUCUUGACAUCCAUAUGCCAAAUUUCAUAAUCAUGAAAUGCAGCAAUAGCUAACAUGAUUCGGACAGACUUAAGCAUCGCUACGGGUGAGAAAGUCUCAUCGUAGUCAACCCCUUGAACUUGUCGAAAACCUUUUGCAACAAGUCGAGCUUUAUAGACAGUUACAUUACCAUCAGCGUCAGUCUUCUUCUUAAAGAUCCAUUUAUUCUCAAUGGCUUGCCAAUCAUCGGGCAAGUCAACCAAAGUCCAUACUUUGUUUUCAUACAUGGAUCCCAUCUCAGAUUUCAUGGCUUCUAGCCAUUUUGCGGAAUCUGGGCUCAUCAUCGCUUCCUCAUAGUUCGUAGGUUCACCAUGGUCAAGUAACAUGACUUCCAGAAUAGGAUUACCAUACAACUCUAGUGCGGAUCUUACUCUGGUAGACCUACGAGGUUCAGUAGAAACUUGAACUCCUCACUAAUUGGUGUAGUUGUCACAGGAACCGGUUCUCGUGAUGAACUACUUUCCAAUAAGGGAGUAGAUACAGUUAUCUCAUCAAGUUCUACUUUCCUCCCACUCACUUCUUUCGAGAGAAACUCCUUCUCUAGAAAGGAUCCAUUCUUAGCAACGAAUGUCUUGCCUUCAGAUCUGUGAUAGAAGGUGUACCCAACAGUCUCUUUUGGGUAUCCUAUGAAAACACAUUUCUCCGAUUUGGGUUCGAGCUUAUCUGGUUGAAGUUUCUUCACAUAAGCAUCGCAGCCCCAAACUUUAAGAAACGACAACUUUGGUUUCUUGCCAAACCACAGUUCAUAAGGCGUCGUCUCAACGGAUUUUGAUGGUGCCCUAUUUAACGUGAAUGCGGCCGUCUCUAAAGCAUAACCCCAAAACGAUAGCAGUAAAUCAGUAAGAGACAUCAUAGAUCGCACCAUAUCAAGUAAAGUACGAUUAUGACGUUCGGACACACCAUUUCGUUGUGGUGUUCCGGGUGGCGUGAGUUGCGAAACUAUUCCACAUUGUUUCAAGUGUAGGCCAAACUCGUAACUCAAAUAUUCUCCUCCACGAUCAGAUCGUAGAAACUUUAUUUUCUUGUUACGAUGAUUUUCCACUUCACUCUGAAAUUCUUUGAACUUUUCAAAUGUUUCAGACUUGUGUUUCAUCAAGUAGAUAUACCCAUAUCUGCUCAAAUCAUCUGUGAAGGUGAGAAAAUAACGAUACCCGCCGCGAGCCUCAACAUUCAUUGGGCCACAAACAUCAGUAUGUAUGAUUUCCAACAAAUUAGUUGCUCGCUCCAUAGUUCCGGAGAAUGGCGUUUUAGUCAUCUUGCCCAUAAGGCACAGUUCGCAAGUACCAAGUGAUUCAUAAUCAAGUGAUUCCAAAAGUCCAUCAGUAUGGAGUUUCUUCAUGCGUUUUACACCGAUAUGACCCAAAAGGCAGUGCCACAAGUAAGUUGCACUAUCGUUAUCAACUCUGCAUCUUUUGGUUUCAACACUAUGAACAUGUGUAUCACUACUAUCGAGAUUUAAUAAAAAUAAACCACUCUUCAAGGGUGCAUGACCAUAAAAGAUAUUACUCAUAUAAAUAGAACAACCAUUAUUCUUUGAUUUAAAUGAAUAACCGUCUCGCAUCAAACAAGAUCCAGAUAUAAUGUUCAUGCUUAACGCUGGCACCAAAUAACAAUUAUUCAGGUCUAAAACUAAUCCCGAAGGUAGAUGUAGAGGUAGCGUGCCGACCGCGAUCACAUCGACUUUGGAACCGUUUCCCACGCGCAUCGUCACCUCGUCCUUGGCCAGUGCUCGCUUAUUCCGUAGUCCCUAUUUCGAGUUGCAAAUAUUAGCAACAGAACCAGUAUCAAAUUCCCAGGUGCUACUACGAGCUCUAGUUAGGUACACAUCAAUAACAUGUAUAUCACAUGUAGCUUUGUUUACUUUGCCAUCCUUCUUAUCCGCCAAAUACUUGGGGCAGUUCCGCUUCCAGUGACCAGUCUGCUUGCAGUAGAAGCACUCAGUUUCAGGCUUAGGUCCAGACUUGGGUUUCUUCUCUUGAGCAGCAACUUGCUUGCUGUUCUUCUUGAAGUUCCCCUUCUUCUUCCCUUUGCCCUUUUUCUUGAAACUAGUGGUCUUGUUGACCAUCAACACUUGAUGCUCCUUCUUGAUUUCUACCUCCGCAGCUUUUAGCAUUGCGAAGAGCUCGGGAAUAGUCUUGUUCAUCCCUUGCAUAUUAUAGUUCAUCACAAAGCUCUUGUAUCUUGGUGGCAGUGAUUGGAGAACUCUGUCAAUGACGCUAUCAUCCGGAAGAUUAACUCCCAGUUGAAUCAAGUGAUUAUUAUACCCAGACAUUUUGAGUAUAUGCUCACUGACAGAACUAUUCUCCUCCAUCUUGCAGCUGUAGAACUUAUUGGAGACUUCAUAUCUCUCAAUCCGGGCAUUUGCUUGAAAUAUUAACUUCAACUCCUGGAACAUCUCAUAUGCUCCAUGACGUUCAAAACGUCGUUGAAGGCCCGGUUCUAAGCCGUAAAGCAUGGCACACUGAACUAUAGAGUAGUCAUCAGCUUUGCUCUGCCAGACGUUCUUAACGUCGUCAGUUGCAUCAGCAGCAAGCCUGGCACCCAGCGGUGCUUCCAGGACGUAACUUUUCUGUGCAGCAAUGAGGAUAAUCCUCAGGUUACGGACCCAGUCCGUGUAAUUGCUACCAUCAUCUUUCAACUUUUCUUUCUCAAGGAACGCAUUAAAAUUCAACGGAACAACAGCACGAGCCAUCUAUCUACAAACAAACAUAGACAAGCAAAAUACUAUCAGGUACUAAGUUCAUGAUAAAUUUUAAGUUCAAUUAAUCAUAUUACUUAAGAACUCCCACUUAGACAGACAUCUCUCUAGUCAUCUAAGUGAUUACGUGAUCCAAAUCAACUAAACCAUAACCGAUCAUCAUGUGAGAUGGAGUAGUUUUCACUGGUGAACAUCACUAUGUUGAUCAUAUCUACUAUAUGAUUCAUGCUCGACCUUUCGGUCUCCGUGUUCCGAGGCCAUAUCUGCAUAUGCUAGGCUCGUCAAGUUUAACCUGAGUAUUCUGCGUGUGCAAAACUGGCUUGUACCCGUUGUAGAUGGACGUAGAGCUUAUCACACCCUAUCAUCACGUGGUGUCUGGGCACGACAAACUUUGGCAAUGGUGCAUACUCAGGGAGAACACUUCUUGAUAAUUUUUGUGAGAGAUCAUCUUAAAAUGCUACCGUCAAUCAAAGCAAGAUAAGAUGCAUAAAGGAUAAACAUCACAUGCAAUCAAUAUAAGUGAUAUGAUAUGGCCCUCAUCAUCUUGUGCUUGUGAUCUCCAUCUUUGAAGCACCAUCGUGAUCACCAUCGUCACCGGCGCGACACCUUGAUCUCCAUCGUAGCAUCGUUGUCGUUACGCCAUCUAUUGCUUCUACGACUAUCUAUACCGCUUAGUGAUAAAGUAAAGCAAUUACAGGGUGUUUGCAUUUCAUACAAUAAAGCGACAACCAUAUGGCUCCUGCCAGUUGCCGAUAACUUCGGUUACAAAACAUGAUCAUCUCAUACAAUAAAAUAUAUCAUCACGUCUUGACCAUAUCACAUCACAACAUGCCCUGAAAAACAAGUUAGACGUCCUCUACUUUGUUGUUGCAAGUUUUACGUGGCUGCUAUGGGCUUAGCAAGAACUGUUCUUACCUACGCAUCAAAACCACAACGAUAGUUCGUCAAGUUGGUGCUGUUUUAACCUUCGCAAGGACCGGGCGUAGCCACACUCGAUUCAGCUAAAGUGAGAGAGACAGACACCCGCCAGCCACCUUUAAGCACGAGUGCUCGUAACGGUGAAACCAGUCUCACGUAAGCGUACGCGUAAUGUCGGUCCGGGCCGCUUCAUCUCACAAUACCGCCGAACCAAAGUAUGAAAUGCUGGUAAGCAGUAUGACUUGUAUCGCCCACAACUCACUUGUGUUCUACUCGUGCAUAUAACAUCAACGCAUAAAACCUAGGCUCGGAUGCCACUGUUGGGAAACGUAGUAAUUUCAAAAUUUUCCUACGCACACGCAAGAUCAUGGUGAUGGCAUAGCAACGAGAGAGGAGAGUGUUCGUCCAUGUACCCUCGUAGACCGUAAGCGGAAGCGUUAGCACAACGCGGUUGAUGUAGUUGUACGUCUUCACGAUCCGACCGAUCCAAGCACCGAACGUACGGGGCCUCCGAGUUCAGCACACGUUCAGCUCGAUGACGAUCUCCGGCCUCCGAUCCAGUGAAGCUCCGGAGAUGAGUUCCGUCAGCACGACGGCGUGGUGACGAUGAUGAUGUUCUACCGGCACAGGGCUUCGCCUAAACUCCGCGACAAUAUGACCGAGGUGGAAUAUGGUGGAGGGGGGGCACCGCACACGGCUAAGGAACGAUCCGUAGAUCAACUUGUGUGUCUAUGGGGUGCCCCCCGCCCCUGUAUAUAAAGGAGCAAGGGGGAGAGGCCGGCCGGCCCCUUGGGCGCGCCAAGGGAGGAGGAAUCCUCCUCCUAGUAGGAGUAGGACUCCUCCUUUCCUACUCCUACUAGGAGGGGGAAGGAAGGAGGAGAGGGGGAAGGAAAGGGGGGGCGCCGCCCCCCUCGUAGUCCAAUUCGGACCAGAGGGGGGGAGGGGGCGUGCGGCCCAUGCUGGCCGCCCCUCUCUCCUUUCCCCUAAGGCCCAUAAGGCCCAAUACUCUCCCGGGGGGUUCCGGUAACCCCCGGCACUCCGGUUUUCUCCGAAAUCACCCGGAACAAUUCCGGUGUCCGAAUAUAGUCGUCCAAUAUAUCAAUCUUUAUGUCUCGACCAUUUCGAGAUUCCUCGUCAUGUCCGUGAUGACAUCCGGGACUCCGAACAAACUUCGGUACAUCAAAAGAUAUAAACUCAUAAUAAAACUGUCAUCGUAACGUUAAGCGUGCGGACCCUACAGGUUCGAGAACUAUGUAGACAUGACCUAGAACCAUUCUCGGUCAAUAACCAAUAGCGGGACCUGGAUGCCCAUAUUGGUUCCUACAUAUUCUACGAAGAUCUUUAUCGGUCAAACCGCAUAACAACAUACGUUGUUCCCUUUGUCAUGGGUACGUUACUUGCCCGAGAUUUGAUCGUCGGUAUCCAAUACCUAGUUCAAUCUCGUUACUGGCAAGUCUCUUUACUCGUUCCGUAAUAUAUCAUCUCAUAACUAACUUAUUAGUUACAAUGCUUGCAAGGCUUAGGUGAUGAGUAUUACCGAGAGGGCCCAGAGAUACCUCUCCGACAAUCGGAGUGACAAAACCUAAUCUCGAAUUAUGCCAACUCAACAUGUACCUUCGGAAACACCUGUAGAGCACCUUUAUAAUCACCCAGUUACGUUGUGACGUUUGGUAGCACACAAAGUGUUCUUCCGGUAAACGGGAGUUGCACAAUCUCAUAGUUGCAGGAACUUGUAUAAGUCAUGAAGAAAGCAAUAGCAGUAUACUAAACGAUCAAGUGCUAGGCUAACGGAAUGGGUCAUGUCAAUCACAUCAUUCUCCUAAUGAUGUGAUCCCGUCAAUCAAAUGACAACUCUUUUGUCCAUGGUUAGGAAACAUAACCAUCUUUGAUAAACGAGCUAGUCAAGUAGAGGCAUACUACUGACACUAUGUUUGUCUAUGUAUUCACACAUGUAUCAUGUUUCCGGUUAAUAUAAUUCUAGCAUGAAUAAUAAACAUUUAUCAUGAUAUGAGGAAAUAAAUAAUAACUUUAUUAUUGCCUCUAGGGCAUAUUUCCUUCAGUUACCGGAGUCCUGUUAGCCCAGUGUUACAGCCCGGAUGUAUACGUUGAUGACCGACAUGCUCGAUGUGACUCAUGUAUGCCUGUCCCCAUAGGUUAGCGCCGCUUUGGGUUCAUGACUAGCCAUGUCAGCCCGGGUUCUCUGUCAUAUGGAUGCUAGCGACACUAUCAUAUACGUGAGCCAAAAGGCGCAAACAGUCCCGGCCAUGGUAAGGCGACACCCGUGGGAUUACCGUGCGUGAGGCCGCAAAGUGAUAUGAGGUGUUACCGGCUAGAUCAAUGUGACUUGGAAUCAUGGUCCAGACAGCAUUGGCAUCAGAGCCGGACUGCCUGUAGGUUCCUAAGCCAAACUGGUCGAUGUCGAGUCUAGAAAUGCUUUAGUUAUAUGUAGGGGAAUUUAUUGUGGGAGGAAACGUAAGGCUCUUUUUACCCCUUUACCUUAUGCCCUCUGAUCUGUGUCAUCCUCUUCUCAUUCUACGUGGGUUAAGGACUAGGCUCUCUUCUCUCUAUCAGGUUCACGUGUUACUAAUCCGUAGUAACUUAUAGGAUUGUUGGUUACCAGUCUCAGUACAGUUCCUACUACUUUAGUAUGUUAUCAGUUGAACCUGAACCUUGAUAUGAUGUUGUUGAGUGGUUUUGCAAUCCGUUGUGAAUGUCUCAAAUCUGCUCCUGAGCAUUUACAGCUGUUAUGUUGUCCAAUUUUCCCUAGGAAUUCUAAUGUCUUUGCAUUGUGGUUGUGCUUUCAGAUGGCCACUCGCGCUCAGAACCAAGUGGUUCGCCUGACGCGGUGCCUCAAUGUGCCCGGUCAUACUGCUAUGUUAGUCCGGGUCAUGAUCGAGACAGGUUACCGUUGGUAUCCCGAAUACAUUGCCGAAGAGCAAUUCCAAGACUUUAAUCAAAGCCAAUACUUCUGCACUGUCAGGAUAUUUCCUUCAUAUCCUGGAUCCACCGAGCCCCUUCACUGCUCCUAUGGACUCGGGGUCACCAUUGAGAUGGCUGUACAGGAUGCGGCCUAUUCUAUGAUGACCAUCAUGCGAGUCAGGACUGGUCUGCUUCGGAACACCGACUUCCGUUAUAUGCCAGCAUCGCUCCCAGGAGCGCAAGGGUAUCUCCAGGCUAUCUAUGCUGAUUCCACCCAUGAGGACUCACUAACUCGCACCAUUGCGGAGAUGCUCGAGGAUAAGGACCGAGAGAAUCAGGCCUUGAGGUUGGAGCUUUUCAACACCUGCGCCGAUCAUUGGGCCACUUUGACUCGGUUUGCACCGGCUGUGCAAGCUGGAUGUAUGGAUAUGAGGGAUCUGUUUCCUGUGAGAUCUGCUCUGCCAGACAUGGUGGAUUGGCGUGAUGUGGGAGGCAUCAUCCCACCCCGUGGUCCCCGUAGGCCAUCGUUUGUUGGUCCAAGACCUCAUCCUAGCCCCUAUGGUCCACAGGCUCCUCAGGACCGUCUGUUCCCGGAUGAUCACGUUGAGCUUCCAAGCUAUGGAGGGGACUUCUAUGAGGACUACUACGGAGCUGUCUGAGUUAGUAGUAGUAUCUUUAGUAUUGUAAUAGUUGUAAUUCCAUCGUCCUGCGUGACCUGUGGAAUAUGACUUAGUGUGUAUCAGUUCCGGAGGUGUAGAAAAAUAAUGUAUCGGAGCUUGGAAUGCCUCCGAUGAGAUGUAACUUCUUCCACCGUAGUUGUACUAUAGUCGGGCUUGUACUAAACUAUGUAUGGUGUGUAUGACUGUUGGUGCAUAUAUGGCAGUUUCUGUAUUACCAUGUCAUACAGAUGAACAUCUCUGCAUUCCUUGUUAUCCAUUACAUUCUGCACUUCCUUGUCCAGAUUUGCCAUCCUUGUCUAAAGCGAUGUCUUGUUUUCCUAGGAUGGUCAACACCCGUAACAACCCUGCUACUCCGGAGCAGGGUGAAGCCAGUGCAGCUAGGAAUGAAAAUCUGCCUCAACCACCUUCUCUGGUCGAAGUUAUGCUGGAGGCAGAGCGAAAUAAGCGUGAGACCAAUCGCUUGCUGGAGCGGAUUGAGCAGAAUACCGCACGCCAGCCGAGGAACGACCUGGUGUCACUUAAUGACUUUGUCAAGCUGUAUCCACCGAAGUUUAAACAUUCCGUCGAGCCCCUUGAUGCGGAUGAAUGGCUUCGCAGCAUUACCCACAAGCUACGUUCUGUCAAUGUGGCCGAAGCUGAUAAGGUUAACUUUGCUACCUAUCACCUCGAAGGCCCUGCUAGCCUUUGGUGGGAAAACUUUGAGGCUAUGCGCCCGGUCGGCCAAAUUACUACUUGGGCUGAAUUCAGUAUGGAGCAUCACAUUCCGGAAGGUCUUAUGGAUCGCAAGCGUGAAGAGUUCUGCAACUUCACCCAGGGUAGACUGACUGUGGAUGCAUACAGUCGCGAGUUUGGAUAUCUAGCACGAUAUGCUCCUAAAGAGGUAUCCACCGACGCCAAGAAGCAGGCAAGGUUCCGCAAGGGACUUAGCCCCGAGCUUCGUCGUGAUCUUCGUCUGCACGAGUGCACCUCCUUCCAGAAGUUAGUCAACAAGGCCAUCAGUGCUGAGACAGGGCAGUCGGACUUUGAAGCUUCACGCAAGCACUCCCGUGACUUUGGACUUCAUCCGGCUGUGCAUCUCAGAAGCGCCGGGUCUGGAUUCCAAGCACUGCUCUGCCACCCAGGUUCACCCCGAGGCCAUCCUUUGACGCGCCUCGCCCCAACCAAUAGUAUACACCGCCCAAGGCCUAUGGUGGCCCCACUGCUAAUGCUACUCCAUGCCCCAAUGUGAUAACUUGUUUCAAGUGUGGGGAGACGGGUCACUACAUUCGUGAGUGUCCCCAAAACAACCCCAACCAGAUUGGAAAGUCUGUUGGCCGUGGCAAGCCAGCAGGAAAGGUGCUCUACGCCAAGCCAGCCACCACUGCCCGUGGCCAUGUCAACUAUGUCUCAGCAGAGGAGACUCAUGAGGAUCCCAACGUCGUUCUCGGUACGCUUCUUGUUAAUUGCCACCCGGCAACCAUUCUCUUUGAUACUGGAGCAUCUCAUUCAUUUAUAUCUGAAAGCUAUGCUCGAUUGCACAACACCACAUUUUGUGACAUGCCCACCUCCAUGGUAAUUCAAACCCCUGGUUCUAAGUGGCAAACCUCUAAAAUCAGCCAUGGAAAUGAAAUCCUUGUCGACAGAUUAGUCUUCCUUGCAUCACUAAUAGCUCUCAAGUCCUCGGACAUAAACAUCAUCUUGGGUAUGGACUGGAUGUCAGCCCAUUACGCUAAGAUCGAUUGCUCCACUAGAACUGUUCAACUCACCCACCCUUCGGGCAAGACAGCCAAUGUUUUGACCCGAGUGUCUAAGCGUCAGCUUUACUCUUUAAAUGCCAACCCCCUUCCAGACCUUGAAGAUAUUCCGGUAGUCCGUGACUUCCCGGAUGUCUUUCCAGAGGAACUGUCAGGUGUUCCACCUAACAGAGAUGUCAAGUUCGUGAUAGACCUUGUUCCAGGAACCAUGCCAACAUCUAGGAGACCUUAUAAGAUGGCACCCCUAGAACUAGCUGAGCUUAAGAAACAACUCGAUGAGUCCUUGCAAAAGGGUUUCAUCCAUCCUAGCUCUUCUCCAUGGGCUUGCCCCGUCCUUUUCGUCAAGAAGAAGGAUGGAACGGAUCGGAUGGUUGUAGAUUACCGGCCAGUCAACUUGGUCACUAUCAAGAACAAGUAUCCGCUCCCCAAGAUCAACGACCUGUAUGAUCAGCUCGCUGGAUCCUCAGUCUUUUCUAAAAUGGAUUUGAGGUUGGGCUACCAUCAAAUCAAAAUUAAGAACGGGGACAUUCCUAAAACGGCCUUUGUUACUCGAUAUGGCCAAUACGAGUACACCGUCAUGUCCUUCGGUCUAACCAAUGCCCCAGCCACCUUCUCUCGGUUAUUGAACUCGAUCUUCAUGGAGUAUUUUGAUAAAUUCGUCGUGGUUUACCUUGAUGAUAUACUCAUCUACUCCAAGAAUGAAGAAGAACAUGCCGAACAUCUAAGGCUAGUGUUGAUGAAACUUUGAGAGCAUUGUCUUUAUGCCAAAUUCUCUAGGUGUGAGUUUUGGUUGCCAGAAGUAACCUAUCUAGGACAUGUAAUCUCUGGUAAGGGCAUUGCUGUCAAUCCCAAGCGAGUUCAAGCCAUCCUUGACUGGACUCCACCUGAAACGGUCAAGCAAGUUCAGAGUUUUGUUGGUUUAGCGAGCUAUUGCCGCUGCUUCAUCGAGAAUUUCUCCAAGGUUGCUAAGCCUCUAACCGAACUCCUCAAGAAAGAUAAAAAGUUCGAAUGGACGCCAUAGUGCGAGUUCAGUUUUCAGGAACUGAAAAGACGCCUGACAUCUGCUCCUGUACUUGUUCCACCAGAUUUCUCUAAGGACUUCGUUAUCUACUGCGACGCCUCGCGACAAGGACUAGGUUGCAUACUCAUGCAAGAUCGUCAUGUGAUUGCCUACGCUUCUCGACAGCUGCGUCCACAUGAGGAUAACUAUCCCACACAUGAUCUACAGCUUGCAGCAGUGGUCCAUGCACUCAAAACCUGGCGACAUUACCUUCUCGGUAAUCGUUGCGAGAUUUACACCGAUCACCAAAGUCUGAAAUACAUCUUCACCAAACCGGAUUUGAAUCUCAGACAAAGACGUUGGGUCGAGUUGAUUACGGAUUACGAUCUAGGAAUAACCUACACCCCAGGAAAAGCCAAUGUCAUGGCUGAUGCAUUAAGCCGUAAAUCUUAUUGUAACAACCUGAUGUUACAACAAAGCCAACCAUUUCUCCACGAGGAAUUUCGUAAGCUUAACCUUCACAUCGUUCCUCGAGGUUUUCUUUCCACCCUGGUGGCGAAACCUACCCUUACGGAUCAGAUCAUCAAGGCACAGAAGGUAGAUCCGGGAAUAUCCCGUAUCAAGAGAAACAUCAAAAGGGAGUUGGACUGUUUCUCCAUAGAUGAUCAAGGUGUUGUGUUCUUUGGAGGCCAUCUAGUGGUUCCCAAGGUAUGCAACCUGAGGCGAUUGAUCCUUAAGGAAGCUCAUGAAUCCCCUCUCACUAUUCAUCCCAGUAGUACUAAAAUGUAUCAAGACCUACGCCAGAGGUUUUGGUGGACUAGGAUGAAGAGAGAAAUCGCUCAAUACAUUACCAAUUGCGACGUCUGUCGUCGAGUUAAAGAAGAGCAUCAACGACCUGCUGGCACCCUGCAACCUUUGGAAAUUCCCGAAUGGAAAUGGGAUAAAAUCGGUAUGGAUUUCAUUACCGGGUUUCCCAGGACCAAGAGGGGGAAUAAUGCUAUCUUCGUUGUUGUCGAUCGUCUUUCCAAAGUAGCCCACUUCCUACACGUUCGUGAGAGUUUAACCGCUAGCCAGCUAGCUGACUUAUACAUCUCCCGAAUAGUGUCUCUUCAUGGUGUUCCAUUGGAGACUAACUCAGACCGUGGAAGUCUCUUCACCUCUCGAUUUCGGGAAAGUUUCCAAAAUGCGAUGGGAACUCGUCUUUCUUUUAGCACCGCUUUCCAUCCUCAAUCAAGUGGUCAAGUAGAACGAGUCAAUCAAAUUCUAGAGGAUAUGCUUCGAGCUUCUGUCAUCUCUUUUGGUAUGAAUUGGGAGAAGUGCCUUCCAUUCGCUGAGUUCGCUUAUAACAAUAGUUAUCAAGCUAGCUUGGACAAAGCUCCUUUCAAAGUUCUCUAUGGAUGAAAAUGUCGAACACCUCUUAACUGGUCAGAAACCGGGUAAAGACAACUCUUUGGCCCGGAUAUGAUCCAGGAAGCAGAGGAGCAGGUUCACGUUAUUCGUGAGAAAUUGAAAACAGCCCAAUCUCAUCAAAAGAGCCAAUAUGACCGCAAACAUACACUAGUAGAAAAGGGGCCAAUGGUCCAGGCCGGUCCAGCCCAUUAGUCCCGGUUCAAUCCAGAACCGGGACCAAUGGGGGCAUUGGACCCGGUUCGUGAGCCCUGGGGGCCGGCCGGGCCACGUGGGCCAUUGGUCCCGGUUCGUCCUGACCUUUCGGUCCCGGUUGGUGGGACGAACCGGGACCAAUGGGCCUCGCUCCUGGCCCACCAACAUUGGUCCCGGUUGGUGGCUUGAACCGGGACCAAAGGCGUCCCUUUAGUCCCGGUUCAAGUCACCAACCGGGACCAAUUAGUUGCCUAUAUAUACCCCUCGCCUGCGAGCAGAGCACUCCCAGUGCUCUGUUUUUCGUGGCUGGCGAGGGGAGAGCUUUGUGGUGCUCUAGCUCACGUCCUAUGCACACAAGGUGUUCGAUGGAAUGCCCGAGCCACACUACUUAAGCUUUCUCCUCUCCAAGCUCGACCUCCAAGCUCCAUUUUCCUUCAUAUUUGUCUAGGUUUAGCGGUUCGUCACGUCCCGUCCCCAUCUUCACCACCGUUGAUCGCCCGCGCCGAUCUCGUCGCCGGCACCACCGUGGUGAGCCUCUUGUUCUUAUCUUCUUUCUGAAAGGAAAAAAAAUUCUUACUUGUAUGUUUAUAUAGAUACUUGUAUAAUUUUCUUACUUUUAUUAUUGCAUCUUAUAUAGUGCGAUGGUUUUGGUAUCCGCCCCCGUCGGCCCUCGUCCUGUCUAUGAUUCAGAUGUGGUAUAUAUAUAUUAUCUUUUCAUAACUAGUGGUUCAUUUAUUGUUUAUGACAAUUAUGCCGACCAACGUGACAUAGAUUUUAUUUAUCUAGGAGGUUGUUGAACCGGAAAUUCCAACCGACCCUAUUGUCGAGAGGUUAAAUUUAGUUGAAGAAAACAAUUUGUUGAAGGGAAAAAUUAGAAAAAUUGAGGAGGAGAAGAUGAUAUUGGAGUUGCAUGUUGCGGAUGUCAUCGAUGAUCACAAGAUCAAGAUGGAUGCAAUGCGCUUGAAGAUUAGAAAGAUUAGAAAAUAUGCCAUUCAUACCGAGGCUUGGUAUCAUUAUGUCGUUGGAUCAGUUGUUACAUUGGUUGCGAUUAUGAUCGUAUUUGUUUUCGCAUUGAAAUGUUUUACAUAGUUUCAGUGUAUGGUUUAAUUAAUUUAGAUGCCCUGCAGAGCUUUAUGUUGUUAGAUGAGAACUAUGUAUGUACUUUGGUUUUAAUGUGAUGAUGAACUUCUAUUAAUUUCGUCACUUAAUUAUCUAUUCAUGAUGUUCUGUAAUGAUUUUUGACACACUUAAUUAUAUAUAAUGCACGCAGAUGAACCGGCAAUGGAUGUACGGUUCAAGACACACCUCCGAGUACAUUAAGGGCGUGCAUGAUUUUCUCGAAGUGCCUGAGGCAACAAGAAGAAUGGUUUUAUGUGUUGUCCAUGCCCUAUAUGUGGGAAUACGAAGUCUUACUCUGACUGGAAAAUCCUCCACACCCACCUUCUUUACAAGGGUUUCAUGCCACACUAUAAUGUUUGGACGAGGCACGGAGAAAUAGGGGUUAUGAUGGAAGACGGCGAAGAAGAAGAGUACGAUGACAACUAUGUGCCCCCUGAAUACGGUGAUGCUACUGAAGAUCAAGAGGAACCAGACGAUGUGCCCGAUGAUGAUGAUCUCCGCCGGGUCAUUGUCGAUGCAAGGACGCAAUGCGAAAGUCAAAAGGAGAAGCUGAAGUUCGAUCGCAUGUUAGAGGACCACAAAAAAGGGUUGUACCCCAAUUGUGAAGAUGGCAACACAAAGCUCGGUACCGUACUGGAAUUGCUGCAGUGGAAGGCAGAGAAUGUUGUGCCUGACAAAGGAUUUGAGAAGCUACUGAAAAUAUUGAAGAAGAAGCUUCCAAAGGAUAACGAAUUGCCCGACAGUACAUACACAGCAAAGAAGUUCGUAUGCCCUCUAGGAUUGGAGGUGCAGAAGAUACAUGCAUGCCCUAAUGACUGCAUCCUCUACCGCGGUGCGUACAAGGAUCUGAACGCAUGCCCGGUAUGCGGUGCAUUACGGUAUAAGAUCAGACGAGAUGACCCUGGUGAUGUUGACGGCGAGCCCCCCAGGAAGAGGGUUCCUGCGAAGGUGAUGUGGUAUGCUCCCAUAAUACCACGGUUGAAACGUCUGUUCAGAAACGGAGAGCAUGCCAAGUUGAUGCGAUGGCACAGUGAGGACCGUAAGAAAGACGGGAAGUUGAGAGCACCCGCUGACGGGUCGCAGUGGAGAAAAAUCGAGGGAAAGUACUGGGAUGAGUUUGCAAGUGAGCCAAGGAACGUAUGGUUUGCUUUAAGCGCGGAUGGCAUUAAUCCUUUCGGGGAGCAGAGCAGCAAUCACAGCACCUGGCCCGUGACUCUAUGUAUGUAUAACCUUCCUCCUUUGAUGUGCAUGAAGCAGAAGUUCAUUAUGAUGCCAGUUCUCAUCCAAGGCCCUAAGCAACCCGGCGACGACAUUGAUGUGUACCUAAGGCCAUUAGUUGAAGAACUUUUAUAGCUGUGGAAUGGAAAUAGUGUACGUACGUGGGAUGAGCACAAACAGGAGGAAUUUAACCUAAAGGCGUUGCUGUUCGUGACCAUCAACAAUUGGCCCGCUCUCAGUAACCUUUCAGGACAGACAAACAAGGGAUACCACGCAUGCACGCACUGUUUACUUGACACCGAUAGUAUAUACCUAGCAAGUUGUAGGAAGAAUGUGUACCUGGGCCAUCAUCGAUUUCUUUCGACCAACCAUCAAUGUUGAAAGAAAGGCAAGCAUUUCAAAGGCGAGGCAGAUCACCGGAAGAAGCCCUCCAUGCGUACUGGUAUCACGUACUUGCUAUGGUAGUGAUUUACACGUAAUCUUUGGAAAGUGUCCCGGCGGACUAGCUGUUCCGAAUGACGCUGAGAAUCACGCACCCAUGUGGAAGAAGAAAUCUAUAUUUUGGGACCUACCCUACUAGAAAGACCUAGAGGUCCGCUCUUCGAUCGACGUGAUGCACGUGACGAAGAACCUUUGCGUGAACCUGCUAGGCUUCUUGGGCAUGUAUGGGAAGACAAAAGAUACAACUGAGGCACGGGAGGACCUGCAACGCUUGCACGAAAAAGUGGGCAUGCCUCCGAAGCAGUAUGAAGGUCCUGCCAGCUACGCUCUUACGAAAGAAGAGAAAUAAAUCUUCUUUGAAUGCCUGCUCAGUAUGAAGGUCCCGACUGGCUUCUCUUCGAAUAUAAAGGGAAUAAUAAAUAUGCCAGACAAAAAGUUCUAGAACCUAAAGUCUCAUGACUGCCACGUGAUUAUGACGCAACUGCUUCCGGUUGCAUUGAGGGGGCUUCUACCGGAAAACGUCCGAUUAGCCAUUGUGAACCUAUGUGCAUUCCUCAAUGCAAUCUCUCAGAAGGUGAUCGAUCCAGAAAUCAUACCAAGGCUAAGGACUGAUGUGGUGCAAUGUCUUGUCAGUUUCGAGCUGGUGUUCCCACCAUCCUUCUUCAAUAUCAUGACGCACGUCCUAGUUCAUCUAGUUGACGAGAUUGUCAUUCUGGGCCCCGUAUUUCUACACAAUAUGUACUUCUUUGAGAGGUUCAUGGGAGUCCUAAAGAAAUAUGUCUGUAACCGCGCUAGGCCAAAAGGAAGCAUCUCCAUGGGCUAUCAAACAGAGGAUGUCAUCGGGUUUUGUGUUGACUUCAUUCCUGGCCUUAAGAAUAUAGGUCUCCCUAAAUCGCGGUAUGAGGGGAGACUGACUGGAAAAGGCACGCUUGGAAGGGACUCAAUUAUAUGCAGGGACGGAUAUUCUUGGUCUCAAGCACACUACACAGUUCUACAGAACUCUACCUUGGUGACCCCGUAUGUCGAUGAACACAAGAACAGUCUGCGCUCCAAACACCCGGAGCAGUGCGACGACUAGAUUACAUGUGAACACAUCAGGACUUUCAGUAGUUGGUUGGAAGCACAUAUCAGAGGUGACAACACUGUUUGUGAUGAGUUGUACUUGUUGUCCAGGGGACCAUCUUUGACUGUAUUGAUUUGGAAAGGAUACGAGAUAAAUGGGAAUACAUUUUACACGAUUGACCAAGAUCAAAAGAGCACCAACCAAAACAGCGGUGUCCGCUUUGAUGAAACAACCGAGAGGGGAAAGGACACAUAUUGUGGUUACAUAGUGGACAUAUGGGAACUUGACUACGGACACGAUUUUAAGGUCCCUUUGUUUAAGUGCAAAUGGGUCAAUCUGUCAGGUGGCAGGGUACAGGUAGACCCACAGUACGGAAUGACAAUAGUGGAUCUGGAAAAUCUUGGAUACACUGACGAACUGUUCGUCCUAGCCAAUGAUGUGGCACAGGUUAUCUAUGUGAAGGACAUGUCUACCAGACCAAGAAAGAGAAAAGAUAAGGAAGCGAAUACAUCAUACGAUGAGCCAAAGUGCCACAUAGUUCUUUCAGGAAAAAGGGACAUCGUGGGAGUGGAGGACAAGACAGACAUGUCUGAAGAUUAUGAAAAGUUUCAUGAAAUUCCUCCCUUUAAUGUCAAGGCUGACCCCAGCAUCCUGAUAGACGAUGAAGAUUAUCCAUGGUUACGGCGCAAUAAGCAAAUGACACAAGCGAAGAAAAAGUGAAGACUUUCUCCCGCAACUAUUAUGAUGAUACCAUGCCAAAUUUGUAACUGACGAGUAUGAUACCAUUGUCCGUUUUGUACAUGCACAUGCUAUGUGGGUCAAUUUAUGAUACCAUGCCAACUUUCAACUUUUUCAGAGUUCAUUUGAAAUGCUUUAAUGUCUUAUGGUUCGGCCCUCGUAAUGAUUAAAAAUAGCAACAAUAAGUAUUUUGUUGUAAGUAGAAACAAAAUAAAAUAAAUAAAGCAAGAAAGAAAACAAAAAAAACAAAAAAAGUGUUUUCAAAUUUGAAAACUAAUGGUACUAACAGAAAGUUUAUAAUUUUCCUAAAACUAAAAGCAAAAAGAAUUGAAAAAUAAAGCAAAAAACAAAAGACAAUAAAUAAUGCAGAAAUCAAAACAAAAAACAACAAUAAGUAUUUUGUUGUAUGUAGAAACAAAACAAAAUAAAUAAAGCAAGAAAGAAAACAAAAAAACAAAAAAAGUGUUUUCAAAUUUGAAAACUAGGGCACUAACAGAAAGUUUAUAAUUUUCCUAAAACUAAAAGCAAAAAGAAUUAAAAAAUAAAGCAAAAAACAAAAGAAAAUAAAUAAUGCGGAAAACAAAACAAAAAAACUGGAAAAAAAAUAAAAUAGCAAAAAUAAGUAAAGAAAACAAAAAAAUGCCUCCUACUGGGCCCCCACGGCCUGAAUACGACUAGAAACCCUACUAUGGGCCAGGAUUCAGGCCCGCAGUAGGCCCAGAAGGCCCAUCAGGCAAAGCAAUAGCAAGUAGGCCCGAAAGCCUGCGGUGGAGAGGAGCUCGAGAGGGGUGCGGCAGUGGGGCUUAUAAACCACUGCACGCCCCUCUCAACUAGCGAGGUGGGACUAAACUUUGGCCCCGACGCGGGAAGCACAGGGGCCUUUGGUCCCGGUUGGUGGCACCAACCGGGACUAAAGGGGGGGGCAUUGGUACCGGUUCGUGGCACCAACCGGUACCAAAGGCCGCCGCUUCCCGCCCUUUGGGCUGCCGAAAAGGAGGCCUUUGGUCCUAGUUGGUGGCACUAACCGGGACUAAAGGGUGCAUUAGUCCCGGUUGAUUUCACGAACCGGGACCAAUGCCUUUGCUAUAUAAGCAAACACUUUGCAAAAUUUCAGAAUCCCAUCGCCAGUUGCCCCCGACGACGCCGACCCUCCUCGACGCUGCCAGGCUGCUCCACCUCGCCGUCGUCGCCGCCACCGCCAAGCCGUCGCCUCCCCGAGCCCGCGCCAUCCUCGUCGCCGGCCUCCCUGAGCCCGCGCCGUCCUCGUCGCCGGUCUCCUCGAGCCCGCUCCCCGUCCCGCCCCCGCGCGCCGCCGCCCCGAGCCCCUGCCCCGUCCUGCCCCCAUGCGCNNNNNNNNNNNNNNNNNNNNNNNNNNNNNNNNNNNNNNNNNNNNNNNNNNNNNNNNNNNNNNNNNNNNNNNNNNNNNNNNNNNNNNNNNNNNNNNNNNNNNNNNNNNNNNNNNNNNNNNNNNNNNNNNNNNNNNNNNNNNNNNNNNNNNNNNNNNNNNNNNNNNNNNNNNNNNNNNNNNNNNNNNNNNNNNNNNNNNNNNNNNNNNNNNNNNNNNNNNNNNNNNNNNNNNNNNNNNNNNNNNNNNNNNNNNNNNNNNNNNNNNNNNNNNNNNNNNNNNNNNNNNNNNNNNNNNNNNNNNNNNNNNNNNNNNNNNNNNNNNNNNNNNNNNNNNNNNNNNNNNNNNNNNNNNNNNNNNNNNNNNNNNNNNNNNNNNNNNNNNNNNNNNNNNNNNNNNNNNNNNNNNNNNNNNNNNNNNNNNNNNNNNNNNNNNNNNNNNNNNNNNNNNNNNNNNNNNNNNNNNNNNNNNNNNNNNNNNNNNNNNNNNNNNNNNNNNNNNNNNNNNNNNNNNNNNNNNNNNNNNNNNNNNNNNNNNNNNNNNNNNNNNNNNNNNNNNNNNNNNNNNNNNNNNNNNNNNNNNNNNNNNNNNNNNNNNNNNNNNNNNNNNNNNNNNNNNNNNNNNNNNNNNNNNNNNNNNNNNNNNNNNNNNNNNNNNNNNNNNNNNNNNNNNNNNNNNNNNNNNNNNNNNNNNNNNNNNNNNNNNNNNNNNNNNCGCUGCAUUGGCUCUGUUUUUUUUUCAUUUUUAUUAGUUUAAUUAUUUUUUUGUUCAUAUAUAUAUAUAUAUAUAUAAUGUAUAUGUGUAUGUAUGUGGCUAUAUAUGUGUAUGUAGAUGUUCAAAAAUUAUUCAGAGCACGUUUUUAUUCAUAUAUGUAUUUUUUGUUCAUAUGUGUAUUAAUGUUUUCAUAUAUGCAAAAGAUAGAUUUUUAGAAAAGUUAGGGUUUUUUUUUCUAUUCAUAGAUUUUUUUGGUGAUAUUAAUUAUUGUAGAAUAUGCAAAUGUUUGUAUAUUCAUAUGAACAAUGCAUUAGGCAAAACCUUUGUUUUUUUUGAAAUUUUUUAUUUGAACAUUUUUUAAAAACAAGCAAUACUAAAAGAAUGAGAGGAAAAAGGAAAAUAAGAAGAGGAAGAAAGGAGAAGAAGAGGAGAGGAAGAAGAGGAGAAAUAAAUAAGAAGAGGAAAAAAGAAGAGGGGAAGAAGAAAGGAAUAGAGGAGAAGAAGAAAAAUAGAAAUUUUCUAUUUUUCUUCUUCUCCUCUAUUCCUUUCUUCUUCUCCUCUUUAUUUUCUUCUUUUUUUUCUUCUUCCUUCUUCCUCUUUUCUUCCUUUUCCUUAUUUUCCUUUCUCGAGGGAGAAGAAGAAAAAGAAGAGUAAAAGAAGAAGAAAGGAAUAGAGGAGAAAGAAGAAACUUCAACACAAGGGGGGGUUACCGAUACCCCCUCCCCGAUAACAUUAUUUUCCCAUGUAUAUGUAUGUCGCGUCAUUGUCGAUAUAACCCCCUCGAGAUAACUUCGACAUGAGGGGCGGUCGAUAUAUAUACCCCCUCUCGACCGUGAUAACUUAUACAACGGCAGCACCCCCCUCGGCCCUCUCGCUCGACCAAAACUCUUGAGGACACCCAAACCCUAGAGAGAAAACGAUGUUGGUCUCCUACCCCCUCCCGCCGCGCCCCUACCCGACAUAUUAACUCUCUCGAGGCCACCCAAAUUUACCAAGUUAAAAGAGCGUUGUCGUCGAGGCCACCCCAAACCCUUGAAGCGUUGUGUCGAGGAGACCCCAAACCCUAGAGAAGCAGCGUCGAGGCCACUAACAUGGAUCGAUCCAUCUGUAAUAAUAAUUGACAUGGUGUAAAUAUUUGCAGAAACUAUGGAGCACUCCCGAGACGAAGAAACAGAAGCGAUGUUGGGGGACAUUAUCGCACAAGGAAGUGAUGAAGUUGCGUCAUUUCUCAACGACACCGAUGGUCAGGAACGACUGGGUGAAGAAGAGGGCUAUGUUCAUGAUGGCUUCGACCCAUUAAUGCCGGUACAAGAAGAGGACUAUGUUCAUGAUGGCUCUGGUGACACAAUGGAGGUACAAGAAGGAGACCGUGCUGACUGCUCCGGUGACCGAACCGAGUCCGGCCAGGUAUAUAUAUAUAUAUUAGUUAAGCCCGUGCUGACUAGUUAAUUGAUGCAUCCAUUGUUUUGGUAUAUGUACACAUAUUAAUUACUCUCGUCUUUCUUCCUUAUAAUUUCUAGCCCUCCGGAUCGAGCACAACUUCGGUAAGAAGACGAAGCCCGAAGAAAAAGUUGAGCUCGGAUGAAAAGUUUGAGAUCAUAGAAAUCGCGCCCGACGGCGAACCGAUUGAACCCAUCCGGACAAGGAAGGCAUUUUCUGCUCAGUGCGGGGUUCUUGUUAGGGACAAGAUCCCGAUCAGCAUCCAUCAAUGGUAUAAGCCUAAGGAGGAAGACCCCGAGGUGUCUUAUGUCAAUGAUAUGCAGAAAGAAGAUCUUUGGACUGAGCUAAAGGCAAAUUUCACCCUACCGCUAGAGGAGGAUCCGGAGAAGCCAGUUAUAGAGCAAUUAAUCAAUUCUUGUGCUCUUAAGAAGAUGGCAACCCUAAUGAGGAGGUGGAGGAAAGAGGUGAACCAGUUUGUCGAGAAAGAUAAGACACCAGAAUUCAUCGGCAAAUAUGAGAAGAUCAAAGAUCACUGGCCCGCAUUUGUGGCCCACAAGACAUCGGAAAAGAGUAAGAAGAUGUCGGCAACAAACAAGAAAAAUUCUGCAAAGAAGAAGCUUCACCAUCGCACGGGGUCAGGUGGCUACCUCAAAGCCCGGCCUAAGUGGUCCAAGGCUGAGCAUGAUCUGCUUGAAAAAGGGAUCGAACCAGAGACAAUGUACUGGCCAGACCGUUGUCGGACUUGGUUCUUCGGGGCUGGCGGAACCUUGGACCCUGUAACAGGGAAGUGCCAGUGGACGGAUGAGCAACUACAAAUACCAGUCAAGAAACUUCGACACUAUAUCGAUGCAGCGUAGCGAGGGACGCUCCUUCCAAACAGGGAGAAGGACGAGCUCACAAUGGCCCUUGGGAAUCCUGAGCACCCUGGAUGGACACGAGGCACGCCAGGCUCCAUUCCAUGGAAGGUUGGUCUUCCGCACACAGGGGGUUACAAAACCCACGAGAGGAGGAAGAAACUGGAGCAGGACCAAAUGCAGGCGCUGCACGAAAGGGUAAUGGGGCUAGAGGAACGAGAAGCAGCAGAUCGCAGCAAACGACAUGCCGAAGCUUCCCCCGAAGCUACCUCGCCAUCUCAGCGGAGAAGCAGCGUGGCUUCCACCGAGCUGCUUCAGCCGGAGCAUGUCUUGACGUCUCCUGCCAGCUAUCCCGUGGAUGGUAUCACGGAGUCUCAAAGUUGCCACAUUAUGACGCAAUGUAUGAAUUUGAAGGUCAAGGCGGCUGUUGGCCAAGUUUAUCCUAGUGGACCCGGCACAACUUAUCACUGCCAGCCGAUUCCAGAAGGAUUUGCUAAGGUGAUGGUGGAUGAAAUAACGGAGGGAUUUGAGGACCUCCUGCUUGAGCACCCUACCGGUGAAGGGGAGACUAGGCUGGGUUCUGCUCUGAAGACUCCAUGCCUAUGGCGGAAGGAGCUCAUCAACCUUCCGAACUGGACGCCUCCGCCUCCUCCUCCUCCUCCGGCGAGUCAGGGCACUCCGCCUCCUCCACCGCCUCCUCCUCCGGCGAGUGAUGAUCAGGGCACACGUGGCAGCACUCCGCCUCCUUCUCCGCCUGCGCCGGCGCGCCCGAGCAGCCAGCCUCCUCCUUCUCCGCCUCGUCAGCAAGGGCGAAAGAGACCCGCCGCUGCUCCGGCUGCUCCGGCGCGUCGUAAUCCUUCUCCUCCGCCUCACAAAAAGCAAGCAAAGAAGACAUCCACUCCGUCUGCUCUGUCGGUGUCUAGCAGUACAGCCAAAGGCGGGAAGAAAUACAGAUUUGGUCCUUCUCCGAAGACUCCAGAGAAGUUACCGUACGAGAGGACCGAGGAGGAAAACGCGGAGAUCACGCAGAACGAACUGGAUGGCUGGUUUGCAGGGUUGAAAGCAAAGAGACAUCCACCUCCGGAGGAGAAGGUAGAUCCGGUGAAAGUGAAGCGCACUCUGGCUGCCCUGAGGAAACCGGCAAAGUCUCCGCCGAGAACCAACUAUGAGCGCAUUACUGAACAGACAUAUCUCCAAGCGGAGCAGUCGGGAAGUACUGUCAGACAUCAAAGAGCAAAAGAACGAGCAGCUGCGAAAAAAGUUGACCAGCUCGGCGAACAACCAAACCAAUCGUGCCCCCCGCUCAAUGUGUCUAGCGGCAACAUCGUCGCUAAUGUUCCGGGGAUCAUGGACGGUUAUGGCAAUCCACAAUAUUACCUGCCUGACGAUGCACUUCCUGAAUUCAUGAUGGUGGAAGAACGCAGAUACGAGUACGGGAAGCCUCUCAUCAAAGAUGUAAAAUCUCUAACAACGAUGAUGCGAAGAUUCCAUACUUGGUACAUGAAAACCUGCAGAGAGUCUGGGGGGACGAAUAGUUUGUAUCUACACAUUAAAGAGGAGCACGACCUCGUUGGAACUGAUCUGUUGUGUGUUCCAUUUGAGGAGUUCUUCGCGUUCUUCAAUCAAAUAGCCCUCGAUAAAUUAACGGUCUUUUGCUACUGCCUGUAAGUACUAUUUCUGUCAUUAAGUCUCUAUAUAUAGCUUGGCUUUCAUUACAUGUAUUUAUAAUUAAUUAUCCUCAAUAUAUUAUGCAGAUUGAAGAUCGUCGAGUGCAAAAAAAUGAAAUCUAUGAUAUUGGGUUCAUUAACACAAAUAUCAUAGAUGUAUUUCUGGUUGAAAAGCACAUCGAAGAGGCCGAGGACAACUUGCUACGAUCAUUGAUCAAAAAUCAAAACAAAGAUACCAUACUCUUUCCUUACAACACCAAGUGAGUGUUACUGAUCAUUUGCAUAUUCGGUUUCCCUUAUUACUCGAGCGAGGUUAUAGUAAUGUAAUUGAUGAGUUAUGCAUGUGUGCGCAGGUACCACUAUAUUCUUCUGGAGAUUAAGCUUGAGCGUGGACUAGUAACCGUCUUAGACUCGAGACGGAAAGAUCCCAGCACCUAUGCGGACAUGACUGAAAUGCUCAGCAAGUAAGUUCAAUCGAUCAUUAUCGCACCAUAGCGGCAACUUUUUGUUCAUUUCCUGAUAUCUCAAGUAAUAAUAAUUAUUUUCUUUGUCUUGCAGGGUUUGGAAACAGUUCACCACAGUAGCUCGGGGACUGCCGAAGGAGCUGCGAUAUAUAUACCCGAAAGUAAGUACUACUGGCUAGCUAGUUGUGUGCAUCUCCUGUUGAUUCUAUAGCUAUACUUUCAUCACAUUUAUAAUGCUUCAUUAUCAGUUUGAUAGACCUCUAUUUCUCGUAAAGUGCUUGUGGUAGGAACAAGGGAAUGAUUUCUAUAGAUACUACGUGUGCGAGUUCAUCUACAACGCGACUUUGAAAAAUAAGCGGGGCUACUCUCAAAGACAAUAUGAAGUGCGUAAGCAAUUAAUAAUAUUCACAAUUUCUGUUGAGUUUCAUUCAUAUAUAUAUAUAUAUAUAUAUAUAUAUAUAUAUAUGUAUUAAUUAACCCCCUUCUUCAAAUUAGACGUGGCAGAUGCGGAAUGAACUCCUAGAACCAGAUCGCAUGAAAGGAAUUCAAGAGGAAUUGGCGGGAUUCUUUCUUGACCACGUCAUCAAUAAAGCCGGAGAAUACCAUGUGGAACUUGAUUUCAAAUGCUAGGGGACUGUAAUUGAGAGAUCUUAUAUAUUGUACAUGUUGUAUGUAGCCAGUAGCGUCGGACAUACAUGAUACAAAAACUUGUUGUUUGACCAAUCUCUCGGAGAAGGAGACGUCGAUCGAUCACUUCUCUCGGUAUGCAUGACGAACUUCUGUACUUAAUGGUUUCCUUCAUUUUCUUACUAGCUAGCGUGUCGAGAGCCUCUCUAUGUAUAGUACGUAGCGUCGACCAAGCACGGACAUAAGAGAGGACACUUCUCUCUAUUAAUUAGCUAGCUAACACAAUAUAUGAAACACCUAAAUUAACCCCCAAAACCNNNNNNNNNNNNNNNNNNNNNNNNNNNNNNNNNNNNNNNNNNNNNNNNNNNNNNNNNNNNNNNNNNNNNNNNNNNNNNNNNNNNNNNNNNNNNNNNNNNNNNNNNNNNNNNNNNNNNNNNNNNNNNNNNNNNNNNNNNNNNNNNNNNNNNNNNNNNNNNNNNNNNNNNNNNNNNNNNNNNNNNNNNNNNNNNNNNNNNNNNNNNNNNNNNNNNNNNNNNNNNNNNNNNNNNNNNNNNNNNNNNNNNNNNNNNNNNNNNNNNNNNNNNNNNNNNNNNNNNNNNNNNNNNNNNNNNNNNNNNNNNNNNNNNNNNNNNNNNNNNNNNNNNNNNNNNNNNNNNNNNNNNNNNNNNNNNNNNNNNNNNNNNNNNNNNNNNNNNNNNNNNNNNNNNNNNNNNNNNNNNNNCCCCCUGCCUGGGCUCGGCGCGUGGAUGCCUUUUGGUCCCGGUUGGUGCCACCAACCGGGACCAAAGGCCCCCCUGCCUGGGCUCGGCGCACAGGCCACGUGGAGGACCAUCUAUCCCGGUUCGUGUUACAACCGGGACUAAAGGGGGGAGGUAUUAGUAACGACCCAUUAGUCCCGGUUCAUGAACCGGGAGUAAAGGCCCUCACGAACCGGGACUAAUAGGUGUUUGUCUACUAGUGAUAAGCCUAUGACUUAUGAAGUUGGUGAGAAGGCUUACCUUCGGGUUACACCUUUAAAGGGAACCCAUCGAUUCGGUAUCAAGGGCAAGUUGGCCCCUUGUUACAUUGGACCCUUUUGCAUUCUUGCCAAACGAGGGGAAGUUGCCUACCAGUUGGAACUACCUCCACAUCUUUCUAGAGUUCAUGAUGUCUUCCACGUCUCUCAACUCAGGCAUUGCUUCUCGAAUCAUAUCCGCGAAGUAGACCAUGAAACGCGUGAUCUCCAAGAAAAUCUCACUUAUCGAGAAUAUCCAAUUCGCAUCCUUGAUCAAGCCGAGCGUACCACUCGACGCCAGAAUAUCAAGUUUCUCAAGGUUCAAUGGUCACACCACUCCGAUCAAGAAGCAACUUGGGAAAGGGAGGAUCAUCUACGACUUGAGUAUCCCACCUUCUUCCCGAUAGACCCUAAAUCUCGGGAUGAGAUUCUUUUGAGUGGGGGUGAGUUGUCACAACCUAGCUAGUCCAUGCAUUAGAGUGUUGCAUCAUGUCUACCUUUUAUCAGAAACUUGAAUUGGGGAAGACAGAACCCCCCCAGAACCCCUCUAAAUUCAACUAGUGCUUACUAAAAAUAUUUUCAAUGAACCUGAAAUGCCCUUCUAAAAAGUUCACCCUCUUUGUCUUGGGUUAGAACCUCUGGCAAAAUUGGUGCACAAUUUUCUAGGUCAACAGAAGGCCAUUGAAUUAAAUCAUAUCUACUUUGAGUUUGGGCAUUUAAACUAUAUAAAAUAUUUCAAAUGCUCAAAUAACUCCAAACUAAAAUGUUCCAUACUGGAUAUAUUCCAACUAGCGACCAUGUGCAGUUUGGUGAUUUUUGGAGUUGCCUAAGUAUUUUUAGAAAUGCAACAAACUUACAGAAACAAUUAAAAACAGAAACAAAUGGGGAAAAAACCCUUACCUGGCCGAACCAAGCCCCAGCCCAGCUGGCCGGCCCAGCACUGUGCUGGCCCAUGCCAGCCAGCUGCUUUGCCAUCGCCACGCAGGCACAGAGCUGACGCCAGCGAGUGUGAGCUCGCCACGGCGCCAACUGCUUGCCGCCCGCGCCACCGAGCACCUGGGUGAGCUCCACGUCGCCACCCCGACCCCGUGGACACCUCAUUCGCCCCCCUGCCUCUUCCCUCGCUCUCCCGCACCAUGGCCGACGCACCCGUCGCCGCACCGCCGACGUAGUCGCGCCCUCCAUCGUCCCCGUGCUGCACCACCGUGUCCCUUCGCUCCGUCGUCAUCAACUACAUCGAGCAGGCCGAGCCCCGAGCGCUCGUGGGCCUUGCUUCGUCUUCUUUGACCUCAUCUUCACCGAGCACCACCGCAGAUCCCCUUCGCCGUCGCCGCUGCACCAGCUCGUCCCCGACCUCGCCGACCACUCCGUUGUGACCGCCGUGAGCUCAGCCACCUCCCCAUCCUCCCCGUUUGCCUUCUCGUGCACCGUAGCAGCCGCAUGGAGCUUCAUCGCACGCACCACCGCCGAGCUCGUCGCCGACGUGCCUCCGGCCAUCCACCGUCCACACCACGGUAUCUAACAUGCUCAUUGCAUCGCGUAGAGUCUAACGCCCCACUCCACGCGCCUCGCCGUGCCCCGUAGCCACGGGUCAAUUUUCACCCGACUCCGGCGACCGUCGCGGUCGUCGCUGCCGACGUUCCUGGCCACCUCGACCUCAACCACCACCACCAAACGCCGCGGCUUGUUCCUGGCUACACGUAGAUGGUCUUCGCCGUCCAUUUGGUCGCCGGAACGUGCUAACCCACUUCCUCUGCCGCAUCUGGCCUCGCCAGCGGCUAGACGCCGGCGUGUUUGACCCGUUGACGUUGACUGGGUGGGCCAGGUUGACUCCCCUGAGUCUAUGACAAGUGGGCCCCCCCCUCUGCUAAUUAACCUAGUUUAGUUCUUACUAAAAUCAGUUAGUUUAAAUAAGUGCUGACAUGCGGGACCCACUGGUCAGUUUGACCUGAACGACCCCUUUGACCAUUGACGUCACCCUGAUGCACUGCUGACGCAAUAACCAAUUUCUGGAUUUAUUGUUAUAUAGGAAAUUCCAGAAAUUGUUGCAAACUUCAAAAAUUCAUAGAAAUUAAUCUGUAACUCCAAAUGCAAAGAUUUAUAUAUGAAUUUCGAUCAAAAAAAUUCAAUAUAUCCAUUGGUAAUGGUUUCAUGCAUGUCAGAACAAGUUAACCUUGUUGUUUAAUCAAAACAAGUUAAUGCACUAAUAUGACUAUGUUAAAUGAACUACCAUUUGCAUCUUUGAUUCAAAUGAGUUCAUACCUUUCUGUUCUAGCUUGCAUUAGGCCAGGACACAUUCAUGUUGCCAUGUCAUAGCAUGCAUCAUAUUGUUGCAUAUCGUCAUGUGUGGUUCAUGUUCGGUGUGUUUUCGUGAUAGGUUCUGCCUCCGAGGAUAACCCCGAAUAUCCGUCUGAAGGGCAGUAUCCUACUACCACUACAUCAGGCAAGCAACCCAUUGAUCAUUCUGAUACAAACCCAUGUUCUCGCCUCUGCUCUUGUUUACUGCAUUAAGAUAACGCGAUUCAAACUGUUGUGUGUUGUGGUAGUUGAACCCACUUCCUUUGCAUGACCUGUCAUUGCCACGGUAACUAGAUGAAACCCACUAGCAUGUGUAGGAGUUGAUUGAGCCAUAUCUGUGUUACCUACCAUGCUAUGCUUGCUAUGCUUAGAGUUGUGUCAGGUCUGGCUCAUCAGGAUGAUGAACUAGAGUGAAAGGUUGUGUCGGUAACGAGAGUGAAGUGUUGAACACGAUUUGGUAAAGGUAUCGAUGAGAGGCCAUGUAGGAGUACAUGGUGGGUUGUUUCAUUGAGGCCGUCCUUAAGCACUGAGAUCUGUGUGUGUGAUUUAAGAUUCAGCUACUACCACGCAUUGGGCCCAAAACCAAUGGACCCUCUCGACUUAUUAACCACUCUUGUCCUCAGUCCGGGAGUUGCAAGUAGUUUCUGGUGUUUGUAGCAUGCUGGGGGCCGCACGCAGCGCUGACCUUAGGGGUGGGUUGUGUUGCGGUAGGCACGUGGCACGGUGUAUCGAUUCGCCCGUUUGGUGUCUCGGGAACCCUGUUCACAUCGUUCGGGGCCGUUAGUGGAAACCUCGGCCGGACUCCCUGCGGAUGGAACCCAAAUAGGCGAUAAACCUGGACUAGGGACUCGUGUGUUUAGUCAGGCCAUGGCCGACACCCUUGCUGGGCUUCCGCUUGAAGGUUGCCGAGUACACGUCAUGUAGUGGCGAUAAGUGGUGAGAGCGUGUGUGAAGAAGUACACCCCUGCAGGGUACAAAACUAUUCGAAUAGCCGCGUCCACGGUAAAGGACUACUUGGUCACCUAUACAGUUCAUAGACAAGUAAAUGGAUACUUCUAAAAGCCUCAAGAUAAGUGUGAGUGCCGCGGAUGGCCCUGUCGUAGGUUGACGAGAGAGGAUCCACGGUGGAGUAUUGUGUUGGUGAGUAGUGGACUCGUGUGCGACAAAUGUUUUGCAAGUUGUGUCUAUCGUUGGAUAGCUUAGCCAAGAGUCAAAGCUGGCUUGCUGCAAUAACUCCACUACCUUCUUGAGAAUGUGCAUGUAUGAUAGGAUUCUGUUGUAAGACUUGCUGAGUACCUCUGUACUCAUGUUUGCUUAAUUAAUGUUUUCAGACGACAACACCAACCCCUCCGAUGGGUUCUACGUAGACCUCGACGUUGACGAGUGACUAGCCACCCAAGUGGUGAUCCAAGACUUGUGAAGGGCCGAUGUAGAUAGAAAGGCUUCAUCAAGCCCUCUUUCUUUCUAGUGUCUGUACUCAGACUAGUUGCUUCCGCAUGUGCUUGUAUGCUUGUAUGACUUGAGUGUCAGGUCAUGUGACCCCUAUCUGUAUGAACAUGUUAUGUAUGGCUCCUCGGAGCCACUUAAAUAAAGUACUUUGAGUUGUAGAGUUUUGUUGUGAUGCCAUGUUGUAUGUACUCAUAUCGGGCAUAUUGUGUGUAUGUUUGAAAUGCUUGGUAUGAGUGGGAUCCGACAAUCUAGUUGUUUAUCCUUGGCAGCCUCUCAUAUGGGGAAAUGUAGUCUAGUGCUUCUUGAGCGAUAGUAGUCCGCUACAGCCCGGUUCACCGGAGUCCUGCUAGCCCAGUACUACUGCUCUGGACACUUGACUGGCCGGCAUGUGUUUCACUUUGUUCCUGUGUCUGUCCCUUCGGGGAAAUGUCAAGCGGUGGCAUCCGGAGUCCUGCCUAGCCUGCUACAGCCCGGGUUACCGGAGUCCUGUUAGCCCAGCGUUACAUCCCGGAUGUAUACGUUGAUGACCAACAUGCUCGAUGUGAUUCAUGUAUGCAUGUCCCCAUAGGUUAGCGCCGCUUGGGUUCACGACUAGCCAUGUCGGCCCGGGUUCUCAGUCAUGUGGAUGCUAGCGACACUAUCAUAUACGUGAGCCAAAAGGCGCAAACGGUCUCGGGCCAUGGUAAGGCGCCACCCGUGGGAUUACCGUGCGUGAGGCCGCAAAGUGAUAUGAGGUGUUACCGGCUGGAUCAAUGUGACUUGGAAUCGGGGUCCUGACAAUUACUUGCUCCUAUCAUAUGUUUGGUUGCAACAAUGUCACUUCUUCACAUAUGCCAUGUCCCAUUGCUUGUCUCAUGCUUGACUUCAUUGCCUCACACAUGAUGAACAAUUGCUCUUUAUAUUGUGUUGAGUGUUACACUAUAUUCACUACAUCCUAUGCACGUUAUGUUUGGAUUGUCUUGCACUUGACCCAUGUGUUUAGACACUUCAUUUUAUUUGGUGUUGUGAAUCCUUCCUAUGCCUACCAUAGACCUUUCAUUGAGCAAUUUGUGAAUGCUUGCUAUGACCUCGAGGUAGAUGCUUAUGCUCUUGUCACACAUAUUUGCAUCUCUACCUCACAUUUACAUGCUUGUUCCCAUGAUAUUUUUGCUUGUGCUCGAUUGAUAUGCUUACAUGCCAUGUCACAAUCCUUUGUCACACCCUAUGCUAUGCUUGAUGACAACACUUGUUUGGUGAAUCACCUCUUGAAUGCUUGGUUUUGCACGAACGCAAACCACAUUUGUUUUUCCACGGGUUUGUUCUAUUUGCUCCUUUUGAAGGAAUCACAAGAUGGUGCGACACUGGAGAGUGCCCACUUCGAGCUACUAGACGAUGAGUGCUUGGUGAUCGACCACUUCGAUAUGGCACCGCCAUCUCUUUCCUAUGGUGAUUUGGUUUUCGAUCCGAGGUCGAAUCCUUCUCAAGGGGGAGGGGAUGAUGCGGAGCAUCCUAUGGACAUCACCAUGUCAAGAGUCCAUUCGGCAAGUGACACGUGCGACAUCUACUUCUCAUACAUAAAGGUGAAUCUUCUCCUUUACACGUGUUCACUUGACCCCUUCGAGGAUGGUAUACUACUUGACACUUCUCCCGUGUGCAUGCAUAGGUAUUGUCAGAGCUUUACGGAUGUCGAGGAGUGCAAGCGCCAAGGAACGACUACACCGUCCGCGAGGGAAGCAUGGAAGAGAAGGAGGAAGAGAACCUGGUGUUGGGGAACGUAGUAAUUUCAAAAUUUUCCUACGCACAUGCAAGAUCAUGGUGAUGAUAUAGCAACGAGGGGAGAGUGUUGUCUACGUACCCUCGUAGACCGAAGCGGAAGCGUUGACGCAGCGUAGAGGAAGUAGUCCUACGUCCUCCCGGUCCGACCGAUCCAAGCACCGUUACUCCGGCACCUCUGAGUUCUUGACACACGUACAGCUCGAUGACGCACCCUCGAUCUCCAAUCCAGUAGAGGCUCCAAGGGGGAGUUCCGUCAGCACGACGGCGUGGUGACUAUCUUGAUGUUCUCCUGUCGCAGGGCUUCGCCUAAGCACCGCUACAAUAUGACCGAGGUGUAAUAUCGUGGAGGGGGGCACCGCACACGGCUAAGGAACGAUCAAUGAUCAACUUGUGUGUUCUAGGGUGCCCCCUACCCCCGUAUAUAAAGGAGGGAGGGAGGAGGUGGCCGACCCAAGGAGGGGGCGCGCCAUGGGAGGAGGAAACCUACUCCAAGUAGGUUUCCCCUCUUUUUCCUUAUCUUAUUUGGAGGGGGAAGGAAGGAGUACUAGUAGUAGGAAGGAGUACUAGUAGUAGGAAAGGAAGAGGGGGAAGGAGAAAGGAAAGGGGGGGCCGGCCCCCCUCCCCAAUUCGGAUUGGGCUUGGGGGGGCGCGCCCCCCUCCCUUGCUCCUUCUCCCUUCCUCCUACAUGGGCCCAAUAAGGCCCAUAUACCUCCCGGGGGGGUUUCGGUAACCUCCCGGAGCUCCAAACUCUUCCGGAACCUUUCCGGUGUCCAAAUAUAUCCGUCCAAUAUAUCGAUCUUUAUGUAUCGACCAUUUCGAGACUCCUCGUCAUGUCCGUGAUCAUAUCCGGGACUCCGAACAAACUUCGGUACAUCAAAAUACAUAAACUCAUAAUAUAACUGUCAUCGAAACCUUAAGCGUGCGGACCCUACGGUUCGAGAACGAUGUAGACAUGACCGAGACAUGUCUCUGGUCAAUAACCAAUAGCGGGACCUGGAUGCCCAUAUUGGUUCCUACAUAUUCUACGAAGAUCUUUAUCGGUCAAACCGCAUAACAGCAUACGUUGUUCCCUUUGUCAUUGGUAUGUUACUUGUCCGAGAUUUGAUCGUCGGUAUCCAAUACCUAGUUCAAUCUCGUUACCGACAAGUCUCUUUACUCGUUCUGUAAUACUUCAUCUCAUAACUAACUCAUUAGUUAUAUGCUUGCAAGGCUUAUGUGAUGAGCAUUACCGAGAGGGCCCAGAGAUACCUCUCCGACAAUCGGAGUGACAAAACCUAAUCUCGAAUUAUGCUAACUCAACAUGUACCUUCGGAGACACCUGUAGUACUCCUUUAUAAUCACCCAGUUACGUUGUGACGUUUGGUAGUACCCAAAGUGUUCCUCCGAUAAACGGGAGUUACACAAUUCUCAUAGUUACAGGAACAUGUAUAAGUCAUGAAGGAAGCAAUAGCAGAAUACUAAACGAUCAAGUGCUAAGCUAACGGGAUGGGUCAUGUCAAUCACAUCAUUCUCCUAAUGAUGUGAUCCCAUUAAUCAAAUGACAACACAUGUCUAUGGUUAGGAAACAUAACCAUCUUUGACUAAUGAGCUAGUCAAGUAGAGGCAUACUAGUGACUAUAUGUUUGUCUAUGUAUUCACACAUGUAUCAUGUUUCCGGUUAAUACAAUUCUAGCAUGAAUAAUAAACAUUUAUCAUGAUAUGAGGAAAUAAAUAAUAACUUUAUUAUUGCCUCUAGGGCAUAUUUCCUUCAGUCUCCCACUUGCACUAGAGUCAAUAAUCUAGUUCACAUCGCCAUGUGAUUUAACACCAAUAUUCAUAUCUGUAUAUGAUUAACACCCAUAGUUCACAUCAUCAUGUGACCAACAUCCAAAGUGUUUACUAGAGUCAAUAAUCUAGUUCACAUCGCUAUGUGAUUAACACCCAAAGAGUACUAAGGUGUGAUCAUGUUUUGCUCGUGAGAGAAGCUCAGUCAACGGGUCUGUCACAUUCAGAGCCAUAUGUAUUUUGCAAAUAUUCUAUGUCUACAAUGCUCUGCACGGAGCUACUCUAGCUAAUCGCUCCCACUUUCAAUAUGUAUCCAGAUUGAGACUUAGAGUCAUCUGGAUCGGUGUGAAAACUUGCACCGAGAUAACUUUUACGACGGGCUCUUUUAUCACCUCCAUAAUCGAGAAAUAUUUCCUUAGUCCUCACUAAGGAUAUUCUUGACCAAUGUCCAGUGAUCUACUCCUAGAUCACUAUUGUACUCCCUUGUCAAAUACAGAGCAAGGUAUACAAUAGGUCUGGUACAUAGCAUGGCAUACUUUAUAGAACCUAUGACUGAGGCAUAGGGAAUGACUUUUCAUUCUCUUUCUAUUUUCUGCUGUGGUCGGGAUUUGAGUCUUACUCAAUUUCAUACCUUUGCAACACAGGCAAGAACUCUUUCUUUGACUGUUCCAUUUUGAACUACUUCAAAAUCUUGUCAAGGUAUGUACUCAUUGAAAAUCUUAUCAAGCGUCUUGAUCUAUCUCAAUAGAUCUUGAUGCUCAAUAUGUAUGUAGUUUUACUGAGGUCUUUCUUUGAAAAAACUCUUAUUCAAGUAUCCUUUAAUGCUUUGCAGAAUAAUUCUACAUUAUUUCCGAUCAGCAAUAUGUCAUUCACAUAUACUUAUCAGAAAUGCUGUAGUGCUCCCACUCACUUUCUUGUAAAUACAGGCUUCACCGCAAGUCUGUAUAAUACUAUAUGCUUUGAUCAACUUAUCAAAGCGUAUAUUCCAACUCUGAGAUGCUUGCACCAGUCCAUAGAUGGAUUGCUGGAGCUUGCACAUUUUGUUAGCACCUUUAGGAUUGACAAAACCUUCUGGUUGUAUCAUAUACAACUCUUCUUUAAUAAAUUCAUUAAGGAAUGUAGUUUUGACAUCCAUUUGCCAAAUUUCAUAAAAUGUGGCAAUUGCUAACAUGAUUCGGACAAACUUUUAAGCAUCGAUACGAGUAAGAAAAUCUCAUCGUAUUCAACACCUUGAACUUUGUCAAAAACCUUUUUUCGACAAGUCUAGCUUUGUAGAUAGUAACACUACUAUCAACGUCCGUCUUCCUCUUGAAGAUCCAUUUAUUCUUAAUGACUCACUGAUCAUCGGGCAAGUCAAUCAAAGUCUACACUUUGUUCUCAUACAUGGAUCAUAUCUCAGAUUUCAUGGCCCCAAGCCAUUUCGUGGAAUCUGGGCUCAUCAUCGCUUCCUCAUAGUUCGUAGGUUCAUCAUGGUCUAGUAACAUGACUUCCAGAACAUGAUUACCGUACCACUCUGGUGCGGAUCUUACUCUGGAAGACCUACGAGGUUUGGUAGCAACUUGAUCUGAAGUUUGAUGAUCAUCAUCAUUAACUUCCUCACUAAUUGGUGUAGGAAUCACUGGAACUGAUUUCUGUGAUGAACUACUUUCCAAUAAGGGAGAAGGUACAAUUACCUCAUCAAGUUUUACUCUCCUCCCACUCACUUCUUUCGAGAGAAACUCCUUCUCUGGAAAGGAUCCAUUUUAGCAACGAAUGUCUUGCCUUCGGAUCUGUGAUAGAAGGUGUACCCAACAAUUUCCUUUGGGUAUUCUAUGAAGACGCACUUCUCCGAUUUGGGUUCGAGCUUAUCAGGAUGAAACUUUUUCACAUAAGCAUCGCAGCCCCAAACUUUAAGAAACAACAGCUUAGGUUUACUGCUAAACCAUAGUUCAUACGGUGUCGUCUCAACGGAUUUAAAUGGUGCCCUAUUUUAAAACGUGAAUGCAGCUGUCUCUAAUGCAUAACCCCAAAACGAUAGUGGUAAAGAGACAUCAUAGAUCGCACCAUAUCAAAUAAAGUGCGGUUACGACGUUCGGACACACCAUAACGAUGUGGUGUUCCAGGUGGUGUGAGCUGUGAAACUAUUCCACAUUGUUUUAAUUGAAGACCAAACUCGUAACUCAAAUAUUUGUCUCCGCUAUCAGAUCGCAGAAACUUUAUUUUCUUGUUACGAUGAUUUUUCCACUUCACUCUGAAAUUCUUUGAACCUUUCAACUAUUUCAGACUUAUGUUUCAUCAAGUAGAUAUACCCAUAUCUGCUCAAAUCAUCUUGUGAAGGUCAGAAAAUAACGAUACUUGCCACGAGCCUCAACACUCAUUGGAUCGCAUACAUCGGUAUGUAUUAUUUCCAAUAAGUCAGUAGCUUGUUCCAUUAUUCCGGAGAACGGAGUUUUAGUCAUCUUGCCCAAAAGGCACGGUCCGCAAGCAUCAAAUGAUUCAUAACCAAGUGAUUCCGAAAAUCCAUCUUUAUGGAGUUUCUUCAUGCGCUUUACACCGAUAUGACCCAAACGGCAGUGCCACAAAUAAGUUGCACUAUCAUUAUUAACUUUGCAUCUUUUGGCUUCAAUAUUAUGAAUGUGUGUAUCACACGAUCGAGAUCCAACAAACCAUUUUCAUUGGGUGUAUAACCAUAGAAAGUUUUAUUCAUGAAAACAGAACAACAAUUAUUCUCUAACUUACAUGAAUAACCGUAUUGCAAUAAACAUGAUCAAAUCAUAUUCAUUCUCAACGCAAACACCAAAUAACACUUAUUUAGGUUUAACACUAAUCCCGGAAGUAUAGGGAGUGUGCGAUGAUGAUCAUAUCAAUCUUGGAACUAUUUCCAACACACAUCGUCACUACACUCUUAACUAGUCUCUGUUUAUUCUGCAACUCCCGUUUCGAGUUACUAAUCUUAGCAACCGAACAAGUAUCAAAUACUUAGGGGCUACUAUAAACACUAGUAUGGAACACAUCAAUAAUCUGUAUAUCAAAUAUACCCUUGUUCACUUUGCCAUCCUUCUUAUCAACCAAAUAUUCAGGGCAUUUCCGCUUCCAGUGACCAUUUCCUUUGCAGUGUAAACACUCAGUUUCAGGCUAUGGUCCAGCUUUGGGCUUGUCUUUCCACUUGAAGUUCCCUUUCUUUCCCUUUGCCCUUCUCUUGAAACUAGUGGUCUUGUCAAUCAUCAACACUUGAUGCUCUUUCUUGAUUUCUACCUUCGUCGAUUUCAACAUCACGAAGAGCUCGGGAAUCAUUUUUUCGUCAUCCCUUGCAUACUAUAGUUCAUCACGAAGUUCUAGUAACUUAGUGAUGGUGACUAGAGAAUUCUGUCAAUCACUAUCUUAUCUGGAAGAUUAACUCCCACUUGAUUCAAGCGAUUGAAGUACCCAGACAAUCUGAGCACAUGCUCACUAGUUGAGCGAUUCUCCUCCAUCUUUUAGCUAUAGAACUUGUUGGAGACUUCAUAUCUCUCAACUCGGGUAUUUGCUUGAAAUAUUAACUUCAAUUCCUGGAACAUCUCAUAUGGUCCAUGAUGUUCAAAACAUCUUUGAAGUCCCGAUUCUAAGCCGUUAAGCAUGGUGCACAAAACUAUCAAGUAGUCAUCAUAUUGAGCUAGCCAAACGUUCAUAACGUCUACAUUUGCUCCUGCAUUAGGUCUUUCACCUAGCGGUGCAUUAAGGACAUAAUUCUUCUGUGCAGCAAUGAGGAUAAACCUCAGAUCACGGAUCCAAUCCGCAUCAUUGCUACUAACAUCUUUCAACACAGUUUUCUCUAGGAACAUAUCAAAAUAAACAUAUGAAAGCAACAACGCGAGCUAUUGAUCUAUAACACAAUUUGCAAAAUACUACCAGGACUAAGUUCAUGAUAAAUUAAAGUUCAAUUAAUCAUAUUACUAAAGAACUCCCACUUAGACAGACAUCUCUCUAGUCAUCUAAGUGAUCACGUGAUCCAAAUCAACUAAACCAUGUCCGAUCAUCACGUGAGAUGGAGUAGUUUCAAUGGUGAACAUCGCUAUGUUGAUCAUAUCUACUAUAUGAUUCACGCUCGACCUUUCGGUCUCCGUGUUCCGAGGCCAUAUCUGUAUAUGCUAGGCUCGUCAAGUAUAACCUGAGUAUUCCGCAUGUGCAACUGUUUUGCACCCGUUGUAUUUGAACGUAGAGCCUAUCACACCCGAUCAUCACGUGGUGUCUCAGCACGAAGAACUUUCGCAACGGUGCAUACUCAGGGAGAACACUUCUUGAUAAUUAGUGAUAGAUCAUCUUAAAAUGCUACCGUCAAUCAAAGCAAGAUAAGAUGCAUAAAGGAUAAACAUCACAUGCAAUCAAUAUAAGUGAUAUGAUAUGGCCAUCAUCAUCUUGUGCUUGUGAUCUCCAUCUCCGAAGCACCGUCGUGAUCACCAUCGUCACCGGCGCGACACCUUGAUCUCCAUCGUAGCAUCGUUGUCGAUUACGCCAUCUAUUGCUUCUACGACUAUCGCUACCGCUUAGUGAUAAAGUAAAGCAAUUACAGGGCGUUUCCAUUUCAUACAAUAAAGUGACAACCAUAUGGCUCCUGCCAGUUGCCGAUAACUUCGGUUACAAAACAUGAUCAUCUCAUACAAUAAAAUAUAGCAUCACGUCUUGGCCAUAUCACAUCACAACAUGCCCUGCAAAAACAAGUUAGACGUCCUCUACUUUGUUGUUGCAAAUUUUACGUGGCUGCUACGGGCUUAGCAAGAACCGUUCUUACCUACGCAUCAAAACCACAACGAUAGUUUGUCAAAUAGACUCCGUUUUAACCUUCACAAGGACCGGGCGUAGCCACACUCGGUUCAACUAAAGUUGGAGAAACAGACACCCGCCAGUCACCUGUGUGCAAAGCAUGGCGGUAAAACCAGUCUCGCGUAAGCGUACGCGUAAUGUCGGUCCGGGCCGCUUCAUCCAACAAUACCGCUGAACCAAAGUAUAACAUGCUGGUAGGCAGUAUGACUUAUAUCGUCCACAACUCACUUGUGGUCUACUCGUGCAUAUAACAUCAACGAAUAAAACCUAGGCUCUGAUGCCACUGUUGGGGAACGUAGUAAUUUCAAAAUUUUCCUACGCACAUGCAAGAUCAUGGUGAUGAUAUAGCAACGAGGGGAGAGUGUUGUCUACGUACCCUCGUAGACCGAAGCGGAAGCGUUGACGCAACGUAGAGGAAGUAGUCGUACGUCCUCCCGGUUCGACCGAUCCAAGCACCGUUACUCCGGCACCUCCGAGUUCUUGACACACGUACAGCUCGAUGACGCACCCUCGAUCUCCAAUCCAGUAGAGGCUCCGAGGGGGAGUUCCGUCAGCACAACAGCGUGGUGACUAUAUUGAUGUUCUCCUGUCGCAGGGCUUCGCCUAAGCACCGCUACAAUAUGACCGAGGUGUAAUAUCGUGGAGGGGGGCACCGCACACGGCUAAGGAACGAUCAAUGAUCAACUUGUGUGUUCUAGGGUGCCCCCCUACCCCCGUAUAUAAAGGAGGGAGGGAGGAGGUGGCCGGCCCAAGGAGGGGGCGCGCCAUGGGAGGAGGAAACCUACUCCAAGUAGGUUUCCCCUCUUUUUCCUUAUCUUAUUUGGAGGGGGAAGGAAGGAGUACUAGUAGUAGGAAGGAGUACUAGUAGUAGGAAAGGAAGAGGGGGAAGGAGAAAGGAAAGGGGGGGCCGGCCCCCUCCCCAAUUCGGAUUGGGCUUGGGGGGGCGCGCCCCCCUCCCUUGCUCCUUCUCCCUUCCUCCUACAUGGGCCCAAUAAGGCCCAUAUACCUCCCGGGGGGUUCCGGUAACCUCCCGAAGCUCCAAACUCUUCCGGAACCUUUCCGGUGUCCAAAUAUAUCCGUCCAAUAUAUCAAUCUUUAUGUCUCGACCAUUUCGAGACUCCUCGUCAUGUCCGUGAUCACAUCCGGGACUCCGAACAAACUUUGGUACAUCAAAAUACAUAAACUCAUAAUAUAACUAUCAUCGAAAACUUAAGCGUGCGGACCCUACGGUUCGAGAACGAUGUAGACAUGACCGAGACAUGUCUCUGGUCAAUAACCAAUAGUGGGACCUGGAUGCCCAUAUUGGUUCCUACAUAUUCUACGAAGAUCUUUAUCGGUCAAACCGCAUAACAGCAUACGUUGUUCCCUUUGUCAUCGGUAUGUUACUUGUCCGAGAUUUGAUCGUCGGUAUCCAAUACCUAGUUCAAUCUCGUUACCGACAAGUCUCUUUACUCAUUCUGUAAUACUUCAUCUCAUAACUAACUCAUUAGUUAUAUGCUUGCAAGGCUUAUGUGAUGAGCAUUACCGAGAGGGCCCAGAGAUACCCCUCCGACAAUCGGAGUGACAAAACCUAAUCUCGAAUUAUGCUAACUCAACAUGUACCUUCGGAGACACCUGUAGUACUCCUUGAUAAUCACCCAGUUACGUUGUGACGUUUGGUAGUACCCAAAGUGUUCCUCCGGUAAACGGGAGUUACACAAUUCUCAUAGUUACAGGAACAUGUAUAAGUCAUGAAGGAAGCAAUAGCAGAAUACUAAACGAUCAAGUGCUAAGCUAACGGGAUGGGUCAUGUCAAUCACAUCAUUCUCCUAAUGAUGUGAUCCCAUUAAUCAAAUGACAACACAUGUCUAUGGUUAGGAAACAUAAUCAUCUUUGACUAAUGAGCUAGUCAAGUAGAGGCAUACUAGUGACUAUAUGUUUGUCUAUGUAUUCACACAUGUAUCAUGUUUCCGGUUAAUACAAUUCUAGCAUGAAUAAUAAACAUUUAUCAUGAUAUGAGGAAAUAAAUAAUAACUUUAUUAUUGCCUCUAGGGCAUAUUUCCUUCACCUGGCCGCUCCAGAACGAGCGGUACUACCGCCCACUCCAAGCGGUACUACCGCUGAGGCCACCCAAGAGGCACUACCGCCCAGCAUCCGCCCUACUACCGCUCAACCCGACAAACUCCAGUGAUCGAGCGGUAUAAGCCCGGUACUACCGCCCCUCCAAGCGGUACUACCGCUCAAGCGGUACUACCACCCAUGAGUCCGGUACUACCGCCCUGCUUGUGAGCAGCCGCGGGCCUUUGGCCUUGUAUCCCUCUCCCACUUACCCCUUCGUGGCUUAGACUAUAAAUAGACCACCUCCACCUCCUUUCUAGGGUUAGAACAGAUUGAGCUUAUUUUGAGAUAGAGCUUUACUCAUCCAUACGGAUCUACUCCUCGUGAGAGACUGCGGCCUCUUCGGAGAAGAUCGAUCUUGGAUUCAAGACCCCUCGUGGGAAGAUCCGUCUAGGAUCAUCAAGACCUCCUCUUGGAGAUGAACCUUACCUUGUAUCUUUCCCUUUGUUGUUCAUGUACCCUUGUGGAUCUUGUGUGUUUGAUUGUCUAGUGGAUGUGUGAUUGGACUUGUUCUUGAGUGUUUCCCCUUGUGAUUUCUCUCCGUUCUUCCCUGUGUUCUUCGUGUUCUUCGUGGGGAUCCACUCCAAACGUGAAAAAUCGGCCUCUAGGGUUCUACCCUACAUCAUCAUCCUUCAAAAAUAUGGAGGGCCAUUAUUGACGGAAGGGAUAUUAUAUGGCGCAAGGUAUAAUCAGACGCAUCGGGGAUGGAGCGACUACACACAUAUGGGAUCACAACUGGAUUAUGAUGGAAAGCUAUAAGAGGCCAAUAACUAAGUUAGUGCAGAACCCCCCUCAGAAACAUUUUAUGUAUACACGUUAACAUUUCCCAGAUAUAUGAUUAAUAUUUUUGGAAAACUUCUAUUUUUUAUGUGUACUUUUUUAUACAUUUUGUAAUAUCAGAAAUAGUUUUUAUAGAAGGUUUAACAUUUUUCAAAUACAUGAUUACCUUUUUGUAAACUUAUAUUGUUUGACGUUUACUUUUUUUCAUAGACAUAGUGAGGGGUUAUAUCUAAGGAAUAGGCCCAAGUACAUGUAUGGCACAACCAAAUGCCCAUGUUAAUCAAGGAUGUUCCACAAGACAAAUGGGGAAACACACCAAGGCCAAUGGAGCUACAAGGCCAAGGCAUCGGAUACAAGGGGAGAGUCAACUAUGUACAGUCGGAUUACACAGCCCUUAACAGACAAGACUCAUCAGUUGGUCCACUAUUGGAAUCAGGUCAUUUGCCGUCAGCCCAGAAUAGACGCGAAGACUUUGCCGUGAGCAAGUUGACGACAAACACAAUCAGCAAAGACUAUAUCGGCAGAGAGCUAAUUUGACGUCAACUUUUCAUCGCGCUGAUGACAAAGACUUUGCCGUCAAUUAAACUAUGUGUUUGUAGUCUGUAGAGAAAACACAAACGGCAAAGAAAUUAAAAAAAUGGUCAUUUUAAAAUAAUUUUUAGAAAUCUAUAUACUGUUUUUUAAAAUGUUUAAUAUGUACCAAGAAUUAUUUCGUAAGUAUACAAAAGAUGUAUAACGUGUAUGAAAAUUACGUAGACAUCAGAACAUAUUAUAGAAAUGUUAAUCUUGUAUUUAAAAAUUUUAAAUACACAUGCAUAAAAAUGUUUUUGAUGUACAUAAAAAAAUUGUACAUAGUGUGUGAACAAAGUAUGCAUUGAAAAAACAAAAAUCUUGUUGGAAAAAAAUCUCGUGUUGUAUACGAAAAUGUAAAAGGUGUAUGAAAAUAAUUAGAUAUAUGUUUAAUGAAAAAAGGAAAGAAGGCGCAAAAAAUCCGAUUAACACCAAGAUAGGAACAAGAAAACCUGAAGAAGACCAUUGAAAAAAAGAAAUGAAUACAAGAAAGAGGAAGAAAAACAAAAAAAAUGAAGAAGCUGAUGCAGAACAGGGAACUUAGUGAAAACGAAUAAAAAUUGAUGAAAACCGAGAAGAAAAACAAGAAAACUGAAGCAAAAAUUAAGAAAAAUAUGUAAAAAAAAUGAUGAAACAUUGCGAAACAGUGAAAUACUAUGAAAACCAAAGGAAAAAAAGACUCAAAAAUAAGAACGUACAGCAAGCGAAUGAACAACAACUGAGUGAACGAGCGAACAUGCGAGAAUACGUUAAUUGUCUGGCCCAUACUUGUGGAUUCCAGAGGCGAGCCAGAAUAGGCGAGAUAUAGCUAUGACGAUUUGAUACCCUUCAUAGCUUCACGAAUGCUAUAUCUCGCUCACAGCGAAAGUAUUUUUUGUCUGGCCUGAAGGUGAAAGAAUAGCAUCAGGUCGCUGUAAGUUUUGUGAUCCUACAAUCAGAGCUCGAUAAGAUUAAAAUUCAUGUUUCUGACAACCAGUCAUUCGCUCACUCAAUUCCACGUACUAGUUUGGUUAGGUUUUUUUUUCAUUUUUUUCUGUUUUUUAUUUCUUCACUGGCUUUCUUUGGUUUUUUUAUCGGUUUUCUUUGUUUCCUUCACGUUUUACUCUUUCUUUUCCUUUUUACUGGUUUAUCUAUUCCUUUUUUCUUUGUUUCUUUCUUGGUUUUCUUUGUUUUUUCUUUCUUUUGAUGUCAACCUUUUUACAUACACAUUCAACAAUUUUCGUAUACAUCAGAAACAUUUUAUGUAUACACGUUAACAAUUCCCAGGUACAUGAUUAAUAUUUUUGGAAAACUUCUAUUUUUUAUGUGUACUUUUUGAUACAUUUUGUAUAUAUCAGAAAUAUUUUUUAUAGAAGGUUUAACAUUUUUUAAAUACAUGAUUACCUUUUUGUAAACUUAUAUUGUUUGACGUUUACUUUUUUUCAUAGACAUAGUGAGGGGUUAUAUCUAAGGAAUAGGCCCAAGUACAUAUAUGGCCCAAGUACAUUUAAUCAAGGAUGUAGUCCACAAGACAAAUGGGGAAACAGACGGGGGCCAAUGGAGCUACAAGGCCAAAGCAUCGGAUACAAGGGGAGAAUCUACAGUCGGAUUACACAACCCUUGACAGACAAGACUCAUUAGUUGGUCCGCUAUAGGAAUCGGGUAAUUUGCCGUCAGCCGAGAACAUACUCAAAGACUUUGCCGUCAGCAAGUUGAUGACAACUUUUCAUCACGUUGAUGACAAAGACUUUGCCGUCAAUUAAACUAUGUGUUUAUCGUCUAUAGAAAAAACACAAACGGCAAAGGAAAGCACCUUUGCCAUCAGCGGCUAAUCUGCAUGUGUCUUCAACAAGACUCGUCUUGUCACUAGCCUCAAACAUCACAGAUGGAAAAGAAAUUUUUUAUUUUAAAAAAUCUGCGUCGACCACCCUACUUCGCACAUGUAGCCACCGCCUGGCCGCGCUCGCUGAUCACCCACAAGUGUAGGGGAUCUAUCGUAGUCCUUUCGAUAAGUAAGAGUGUCGAACCGAACGAGGAGUAGAAGGAAAUGACAAGCGGUUUUUAGUAAGGUAUUCUCUGCAAGCACUGAAAUUAUCGGUAACAGAUAGUUUUGUGAUAAGGUAAUUCGUAACGGGUAACAAGUAACAACAGUAAAUAAAGUGCAGCAAGGUGGCACAAUCCUUUUUGUAGCAAACGACAAGCCUGGACAAAUUCUUAUAUGAAGGAAAACGCUCCCGAGGACACAUGGGAAUUAUCGUCAAGCUAGUUUUCAUCACGCUCAUAUGAUUCACGUUCAUUACUUUGAUAAUUUAAUAUGUGGAUGGACCGGUGCUUGGAUACUGCUCUUUCUUGGAUAAGCAUCCCACUUAUGAUUAACCCCUAUUGCAAGCAUCCGCAACUCAAAAGAAAUAUUAAGGUAAACCUAAUCAUAGCAUGAAACAUUGACACGGCACAUUAUAAAGAGUUCAACCCAAAUUUUGUAGUAACACUAUUAUAUUUAAAUAGUGAUUAUUCCAACACAUGGAUAAUUAAUUAAGGCACCAGGUUGCGCUUGUGACCAGGAAAGACAAACUUAUGAACUUGCAAGCAUGACAAUCAGAUCGACAUCCACACAAUGUCAAUAUGAACAUUGUCUUGAUACAACUUUAUUUGUAUUUUAUUUCAGAAUUUAAACAACUAGUUUGGGCGGGUCACACACGACGUUGUGUGACACUUUAUUUGUCACCGCUGCAUCGACAUAUCCAUCGACUAAACAACGGUGAUCCAACUAUAUAUUACUAGAGACCUUUCCUUAUCAGUAGGCACCAACUCCAGUGCCAACGCCAAAUGGCACACUAGUGGUGGUCCUAUACAACGGCACAUUGACACGGCACAUCAUUGGCAGGGUACGGAGCGCAAUGGAAGUCAUCACCUCAAGCUGAGCUAUCUGGUGUGGCUGCAAAAAGGUACCCUGUGCCAAUUGUUGUUGUUGAGGUUGUUGCCCGAGUUGCUGCUGUGACUGCUGUUGGGGUUGGGAAACGCAUUGGCCCAACUGUUGCGGUUGCUGCUGCUGAGUUUGGAUGGAACCCCGAACCUGUUGUUGUUCUUGCAGGACGAUGGAGUAGAUGAUAGCACGGAUUGCCUCAUAGCGGGAUUGCUGGGGGAUUUGCGGCAACUGCUGGCAACAUUGUUGUUGCAUCACAUGGCAACUACUCUGCUGCAACAUUUGCGACCUAGCAAGACUUUGUGGCAUUGCCACAGGGCUGCAUUGCUGCUGGAGGAAUACCUUGCAUGGGUUCAGCUGCUGCAAGAUAGAUGGAUGAACAAAUGGUAUUUGUUGUUGCGGUAGAACUAGUUGUUGUUGUUGUUGCGAAAAUGAUGGUUGUUGUGGUAGAAUUGGUUGUUGUUGUUGUUGUUGCGAAAAUGGUGGUUGUUGCGGUAGUACUGGUUGUUGUUGUUGUGAAAACGGUGGUUGUUGUUGUGAAAAUGGUGGUAGUUGUUGCUGCGAAAAUGAUGGCUGUUGCGGUAGAACUGGUUGUUGUUGCUGCGAAAAUGGUGGUUGUUGCUGUGAAAAUGGUGGUUGUUGUUGCUGUGAAAAUGGUGGUUGUUGUUGCUGCGAUAAUGGUUGUUGUUGUUGUUGUUGUUGUUGUUGUUGUUGUUGUUGUUGUUGUUGUUGUUGUUGUUGUUGUUGUUGUUGUGAACAUGGUUGCUGUUGUGGAAAUUGUUGUGGUUGUUGUUGGAUGGGUUGUUGUGGUUGUUGGUGCGAUAAUGUUUGUUGUGGUGGUAAUGGUUGUUGCUGCGAUGGUCUCUCCAAACCAGGGAUGUGGCUAUUCUCCAUUUGUGCAAUGGCACUUGUCGCCGCAACGGCGAGGAGGGCAAAGAUGAGGAAGGUCUUCAUGGUGGACUAGUGUUAACUAGUAUUUCCUGGUUUUGAUGCUUGUGUUUGUGAUGAUCUUUAUACUUCAUGCCUAUUUAUAGUAGCCAGGGCACCACCUCUUUUCUUCUUUGCAUUAGCUUUAAUAAUUCUGUUUGGAUGCAUCUAAAAUGAUUUUUGAUACAGUGUGUUAGGUUGCACUAGCUACACGCAUACUUUUGGAUUGAUCAUCAAAGUUUCUUUUUAGUUGUGCAUAUGAUCAUACACAAAGUAUAGAAAUCCUGAUGCUUGCUAAAGAUGACUUGCCUUAUUCACUUUACAUGUCACACACUUAUCUGUAUAGUAUCACUUUUGCAACCGAGUUUGGAACCUUGUAUAGGUUGUCAGCCAUAAACAAGAAAGGCAAAACUUGUGUAGGACUAAGUUGCAAUCGUGUGUGGGCUGUUAAGAUAUGCUCGAUUGUUAAAGCCUUGCGUCUGGAGGGUUCUUCUAGACUCGGUUGCUUUUCAUAAAACUAACUUUGUAUUUUCCUCUAAGAUGAUAAGAUGAAAUGACGCCUGUAGAGCAUGACAUGACUCAUUGAAUUCCCUUUACACGUAAAGGAUGGUAAUUGCUUACAAGCUACUCCUACUAGCAUAUAUCCGGUCCUAACUCUAGACACGUCAUCACCAGUUCCAUCUUUUUUUUUUAGAUAAAUCAUCAGUUCCGUGUUUUUUUUUUUUGAGACAAUCAGUUCCAUCUAUGUUUUUUUUUGAGAGAAAUAGUUCCAUCUAUGGGUGAAGGAUUUUUUUGGGGGCAAAUGAUAGAUGGGGCUGGAACAGAGGCCCCAGCCUGGAACGAGAGAUUAGGCCCAACGUAAGCGAUGUGUGUGUUAGGGCACCAAAUUCGAACUGGGCUAUAGUUUUCGGAGGCCCCAACGUCAGAAGCCCAGCCCACACUCCGCCGAUCUGCGUCGUCUUCGUCUCCCCUUCCCCGUCCUCCUCGCCGGCCGGAUCGCUCGCCGGCGCACGACGUCUCCCGGACCCCACCGCCCGCGGCCGCUCCACGUACGCGCGCGGCGGCGGAGGCGUCGGCCUCCCUCCCACCCUCCGCAUCCGGCCCCCCACCACCACCGCCACCGCCACCGCUCGAGGUACCCACUCGUUCCCCUUCCCAUUCCUCCCUACCCUCAACCUCUCUCGUAUCCUCUUCUAACAGCUCUUUUUACUUCCGUUGCAGAUGGUCUCUGAGCUCCCCCGUCGGCUGCGCGCCGUAGGCCUCCCCUCCCGGUCGACACAAGGUAUCGAUCCUGUCCGUCCGUCUCUUCCAGCGAUUCGAUUCACAUGAAUUCGAGAGGCGUGCCCAUCUCCAUGCUAGCUGCGUGGAUCAGGAGGGUCAGGAAGCAGAAUUCAGAUGCCUGACAGUGACAUACUACUACAUUUGUGGCUUUGGAAGCUGAGCAACUCCGUGCUUUAUGUGGAUGUCACUUCAAGUAAUCAUCAAAUUUCCGCCUACGCGCGCUACCCAGGUGGAGUGGAGGAGAAGCAGUUGGCAUGGGCAUUCCGUUUCUCUCCCAUGUCUGAGAAGAAAGUUCGUCUCCGGUGCAGCGAUAUCCAAGUUAGUUACAGCAUCCAGUCAUCUAUAUAAUCUCAGUGUUUAUUCUGUUUUGUACUGUCGUAUUUCAUAUGUGCAUCAGAGCAAAUGUGCUUUCUAGAGGCAUGUUGCAGCUGGCCGAGUCCCAGAUCUCGUUUCAUGUAUAUGGCCAUAGGCAGCGAUCAAUAAAAGGGUACUGGAAUUGAUCUUCUAACGUCACUGUUGUUUCUAGCUCCCUGUCUUUGUUUUUGUUGCUUCCGUCGUAUGGUUGCAAAGUUAGGCUUCAUCUGAUUUUAGUUAGUUAAUCUGAUCUCGUUAACCUGAUAAAGAGAAUUCCACCCUGCCCUUUAUUCCGCUCUUCACUGUCUCACAAUAAGGGAACAUAUUAAGCUCACCAAAUUGUGUCCCUCAAAAAUAAAAAAUAAACUCACCAAAUUGUAUCACAGGAGAUUGUCAAGUUGUGUUUUAUCAUAUCAGUAUAGUAAGUGUAUCAUUUGUCCAUAUCAACAAGGGAUAGUCAUCUGCCAGCUUAUUAUGCUCAUCUCUGAGCUCGAUCAUGCCCUUCAAUGUUAGUUAGAGGUGUCAUUAAAACAGGACAAGAAAUUAACCACUUUCCACCGGGUCUUCUCUCUUGAGCAGGAAGCAUGUGAUGCAUUCAAGAUUCGAUGAAUUCACGAAAACCAAUAUCGUGGUCCUCCCUGUGCAGCAGGUACCUGAGAUGAAUUGUAUUUUGUAAGUGCUCUGUAUGCGUGCUGUCAGCCGGCAGUGGAGGUAAUUGUUUAAUUUGCAUUCCUGCAACUUCUUGUAUUUGUAAAGAAAAUUCUUACUAUUUGCUGAGUGCACAGCCAUUGCAUUGUCACUUUUGAAAAACCGCAUUGGAUGUACUGAGAUAAAUAAUAGUAUAAUCUCUACUUGCAUACUACGAACGAGAAAUCUUCAUUCUGACUUGCAAUAAGGGAGUUUGUUUAGCUGUGCCUUAUUAGGAAAUGAAGAUACCCCCAGCUGUUAACGUGGUAUCCAAGCUAUCCUUAUUAUAUGUCAGCUCAAAAGGAAUGCCAAGUGCCGAGCUGUUGUGAGAGUUGAUGGUUGUGAUUGGUUACCAAAAAUCAAAGUCACCCACUCAAGAGAGAAAGUCAAUGCUCACGUUGGCUUCCAUUUUUCUCACACGCAAACCAAACACAUCUUGCUCACACCAUUAUCUUCUCCAUUUUGCACUGUGCUUGUGCUAAUCUGUGUAGUAUUGUUGGCAAUUUGGGAUAUGUUGGUCUCGCCAGGAGGCCUGUGCUAAUCUGUGCUAUUUCUGAAAAUAUGCUCCCCUAAUCUCCAAUUAUAUUAUGCGUAAAACCAAAAAGGUCAGACUUCUUGAGAACAUGCCAGUGCUGAUUUGUGUUUUUCCUGCUGAUAUGCACUUUAGUAUAUCAAAAUGUACACUUAAUUAGAUGUUUUAAUUUUAAAGUCACAGUUAGAGAGAGGGACAGUGCACCAACCAGCUGGUGCAAACGAAUGACCUGUGUGACGACCUGAGCGUAUUCUUGAAAAAGAAACCCGAAAUACCACCUAGAUCCAUCCACCAUUAUUGCCAGUGUUAAAAAAAAAUACAGGCGUCUUCUGGGCUCUAAAAGCCAUUUCUGGGUCUUAUCUCUUGAAGAAGCAUUUGAUGCAUUUAAGAUUCAACCAAUUAAGAAAACCAAUGUUCUGGCCUUCCAUCCGUGGCAGGAACUCAGAGAUGAAUUGUCUUUUGCACAAGUAUGCUGACACACGUCUAGUCAGUCGAGGUAAUUUUUGGAUUUGCAUUCCUGUGACCUCUGGUAUUUGGAAAAAGUAAAUCAUAUUUGCUAAGUUCACAGCCAAUGGAGCGAAAAUUUUGAAAAACUGCUUUGGAUUUACUGGCAUAAAUAUCUAGAGAGAAUUCCUUAUUAGACACUCCCUUAAAAUCAUGUUCCUUAUUUGACACUAGAAAAAAUUUCUUCCCUAUAUGACCUAUAGUCUUAAUUUCUUUCCCUAUAUGACACUCUAGUGCAUUUUGUUCACGUGAAAAGACCAUUUUACCCAUAUGUAUAAUGUGACCGCAAAUAUGUACAAGAUAAUAGUUGUUCCAAAAAAAUCAGUCGAGUUAUCCAUAUGUGACAUCAUAUAUGCUGGUAUUGUCAUGUCAGUCGAUUUACUAUUGUGCUAAGAAAUCAUGACCGAGGCCUUCGAUGGUUCAUGUGCUAAUUGACCUCAGCUAGUUGUCUAUACGUAUUUGUGUACAUAUACGUGGCCAGCUUGCCGGCCGGAGCGUAGAUAUUUAAAUACGUACGCGCACCCUGACGAUCAAGCGAAUACAUGUAUUCUAGCUUCGUAUGACCCGGUUCAUAUACAUACGUAUGUUGGCUGCACCGAACCGGGCCUACAUUCGUGCUAGCACGCAACUUCCUUCCAUACUUGCAAAUACGUGCACAUGCACUAAUGGCAUGCACGUAGGCGAUCACGGAAGCACACACAAAAAUGCUUAAAAAAUUCAUUCAUUUUUAAGAAUGCAUUUUAGUGUUAAAGCACACGUACAAAAGUACGUCAAACAAUCACACUCACAAACCAUACCGCAUGAACUAGACCCACAGCUGAAUACGUUCUAAAUACAUUGGAUGCAUGCGCUCAGGUAUACAGAAUACACAUGCAUCCCAAAAAAGACCAACGGAGGAGAUAACAUGUUCAGCUGUGCUCACUCUUAGAAACGAUUUUUUCCUAAUUAGGCUCAAUGCUACAUAUUUCUGGUCACAUUAUGUACAGGGGCAAAAAGGUCUUUUCACGUGUACAAAAUGAACUAGAGUGUCAUAUAGGGAAAGAAAUUAAGACUAUAAGUCAUAUAGGGAAGAAAUUUUUUCCCGUGUCAAAUAAGGAACACAAUUUUAAGAGAAUGUCAAAUAAGGAAUUCUCUCAAAUAUCUAAUACAAUGACCCACUUGCAGAAUUCAGCUGCGUAGCCUGACAGUGAUGUACGUACAUUUGUGGCUUUGCUAGCUGAGUAACUCUGUGCUUUAUGUGGAUGCCACUUCAAAUAAGCAUCAAAUUUGUGCCUAUGCGUGCUAUGCAGGUGGACGAGAAGCAGUUGGCAUGGACAUUCCUUUUCUCUCUGAUGUCUGGCAAGAAAGUCCGUCUUCUGUGCAGCGAUAUCCAUGUUAGUUACAAUAUCCAAUCAUCUCUAUAAUUAUAAUCUCAGUGUUUAUUCUGUUUUGUAUUGUCGUAUUUCAUAUGUGCAUCAGAGGAAAUGUGCUUUCUAGCUAGAGGCAUGUUGCAGCUGGCCGAGUCGCAGAUCUCAUUUAUAUGGCCAUAGGCGGUGACCAAUACAAGGGCACUGGAAUUUAUCUUCGAAUGCCACUGUUGUUCUAGCUCUUUGUCUUUACUUUUGUUGCUUCUGUUGUAUGGCUGCAAAGUUAGGCUUCAUCUGAUUUUAGUUAGUCAAGCGAUCUCGUUAAGAUGAUAAAAAGAAUUCCACACGAUGACACGACCCUUUAUUCCGCUCUUCACCGUCUCACAAUAACGGAACAUAUUAAGCUCAACAAAUCGUAUCCCUCAAAAAUAAAAAAGCUCACCAAAUUGUAUCGCAUACUCAUACAUAUCUUUCAUCGUCAAAUAACAGGAGAUUGUCAAGUUGUGUUUUAUCAUAUCAGUAUAUUAAGUGUAUCUUUUGUCCAUAUGAGCAAGGGAUAAUCAUCUGCCAGCUUAUUAUAUGCUCAUCUCUGAGAUCGAUCAUACCUCUUCAAUCUUAUUAGAGGUGUCAUUAAGAAAUGACAAGAAAUUAACUACUUGCCACCGGGUCUUCUCUCUUCAGCAGGAAGCAUGUGAUGCAUUCAAGAUUCACGAAAACCAAUAUUGUGGUCCUCCCUAUGCAGCAGGUACUUGUGAUGAAUUGUAUUUUGUAAGUGCACUGUAUGUGUGCUGUCAGCCAGCAGUGGAGGUAAUUGUUUAGCUUGCAUUCCUGCAACUUCUUGUAUCUGGAAAGGACACUCUUACUAUUUGCUGAGUUCACCGCCAAUGUAUCUUCACUUUGGAAAAACUGCAUUCGAUGUACCCACAUAAAUAUAUAAUAUAAUGAUGAUCUAAUAGCAAAUUAUAUGGCCAUAGGCAGUGAUGAUCAAUAAAAGGGCACUGGAAUUUAUCUUCUAAUGUAUACGUCACUAUUUUUUUAGCUCUCUGUCUUCAUUUUUGCUUCCUCUGUUGUAUGGUUAAAAAGUUAGGUUUCAGCUGAUUUUAGUUAGUUAUAAGCGGAUCUCGUUAAGCUCUUUAUCUUUAUUUUUGCUGCCUCCGUUGUAUGGUUAAAAAUUUAGGUUACAUCUGAUUUUAGUUUGUUAGGCGGAUCGCGUUAAACUGAUAAGAACUCCGUAUAGUCCUUUAUUCUGGUCUUCACUGCCUCAAAAUAACAGAACCUAUUAAGUGUCGAAAUUGUAUCUCACAAUCAUACAUAUCUUUCAUCGUUGAAUAACACAAAUUAUCAUAUCAGUACAAAAGUAUAUAUCGUUUGUCCAUAUGCACAAGAGAUAAUCAUCUGCCAGCUGAUUAUUCUUAUCUUUGAGAUCCGAUCCUGUACUCAAUGUUAAUUAGGGGUGUCAUUAAAAAAGACAAGAAAAUAACCACUUGCCCUCGGGUCUUCUCUUGUCAGCAGAAAGCAUGUGAUGCAUUCAAGUUUCAAUGAAUUCACGAAAACCAAUAUUGUGGUCCUCGAGAUGAAUUGUAUUUUGUAGGUGUACUGUAUGUGUGCUGUCACCCGUCAGUUGAGGUAAUUGUUUAAUUUGCAUUCCUGCAACCUCUUGUAUGUAUUCGGAAAGAAAAUUCUUACUAUUUUCCGAGUUCACAGCCAAUCCAUUAUCACUUCCGAAAAACUGCAUUGGAUCUACUGACGUAAAUAUAUAAUAGAGUGAUCUACUUGCAAUAUUAAGAACGAGAAAUCUUCAUUCUGACUUGCAAUAAGAGGGGUUAGUCUAGCUUUUUCCUGCUAAUAAAUGAAGGUACCCAUUACUGUCACCAGUUAAUGUGGUAUGCUAGUUGUCCUUAUUAUAUAUCAGCCCCAAAAAAGAAUGCCCAGUGCUGAGCUAUUGCAAGAUCGGAUAGUUUGUGAUUGGUUCCCAGAAAUCAAGCUCAUGCACUUGGCUCCCAGAAAGUCAACACUCACGUUCGCUUCCAGUUUCCUGACCAGCAAGACGUGCUUCUGCUAAUGUAGGCUUGUGCUCCAAAAUUCCCCAUCAAGCUGGCUCCUGCUCCCCCGAAUCCUACCCCCACCCAUCCAAAAGCUUCAAGAUCUCACAGAAAUCUCACAACUUCCGUUCGUCGGAGUAGAGCCUUCAAACAGCCCCGCCCACACAUCCACGCGGCGGCUGCUGCCAUAACUUCACCGGAGUCGCCUUCUCCUUCCGCGCCACGUCACCGGUGCCGGCCAGGCUCUGAAUCUUCUGCUGCUGCCGCCGAUACGAUGCUGGAGCUGGCAUCGACAUGCUUGUGAGGGCCACUUCUUCCGUGCUGUUACUGUGCUGCUGGUUCUGGGUGCUGCUGAUCAGGGGCAAGCUCGUGAAGGUAACUAUGCCUGCAAGAUUGGGAUUUUACUUGUAAUUCGUUCAAGAUCUACCUAUGAACGUCUUGCUCACACCAUUCUCUUCAUUAAUUUCUGCAGUGCACCUGUGUUGGAGGAGUUUCCUCCGAGAGUUCCAAUGGCAGAGCUGGUGGUCACCAUGGCGCUCCGGCCACUGGUCGCCAUGCUCAGGGACAAGGCGUCCAGCUAUCUCCUUGACCAGUACAAUGUGAUGGAGGGAAUGGAGAAGCAGCACAUGAUUCUGAAACGCAGACUUCCUAUCGUCCUGGACGUCAUCACUGACGCCGAGGAGCAGGCGACAGCCAACAGAGAAGGGGCGAAAGCCUGGCUCCAGGAGCUCAAGAGAGUAGCCUAUGAGGCAAAUGAAGUCUUCGAUGAAUUCAAAUAUGAAGCACUUCGCCGUGAAGCCAAGAAGAAUGGACACUACAAAAAGCUUGGAUUUGAUGUGAUAAAACUCUUCCCCACUCACAACCGUGUUGUCUUCGUUCAGAGAAUGGGUAGCAAGCUUUGCAGGAUUCUGGAGGA